rnacentral:lncRNA from 1 species
ACACUUUGACUAUCGCAAUGCACUUUAACAUACUUCUAUUUAAUUUCUAGUUCACCAAGCAGUCCUUGAAGCCAAAUUGUCUUUUCUAUAGCUUUUGUGAUUGUCAUAUACUCCACUUCUAUAGUAGAUAAGGUAACUAUUGAAUGCAAAGUAGACUUCCAACAAACUAGUGCCUUUGCAAGAUUAAACACAUAAUCAAUAGUUGACCAUCAUUUUUCUAUAUCACCAGCAUAGUCUUAAUCACAAUAUCCAACCACACCCUAAUUAUCUUCUUGCUCAAACAUCAAUCCAAUGUCCAUUGUAUUAUGGAUAUAUCACAAAGUCCAUUUCACAGCUUGCCAAUGCUCCUUUCUUGGAUCAUGCAUAGACUUGCUCGCUAAAUUUUCUUUUCCAGCAACCUUGAAUCUCUCUAGCUGAGUCAUAUAGAUUUCAUCUUCCAAGUAUCCAUGUAGAAAAACAAUUUUUACAUCCAACUGAACAAGUUCCAAAUUCAACUGUGCCACUAAAGUAAAAAAAAUUCUAAUGGAGGAGUGCUUCACAACUGGAGAAAAUACCUCAUUGUAAUUAAUUCUCUCCUAGGUGUAACCUUUUGCCACCAAUCUUGCUUUGUAGCACACCUCAUCUUGGCUAGGAAAUCUUUCUUUAUUUGCAAACACCCACUUGCACCUAAUUGUCUUCUUUCCCUACGGCAGAUUAGCAAGCUUCCAAGUAUGAUACUUAUGAAGGGGUUGGAUUUCUUCAUUCAUGGAAAUCCUCCACUUUUCUUCUUCAAAGCUAAAUUGCUUCAUCAAAAGUAGUAGGGAUGUUAUUAGCUACAAUUAAGAAUGCAUAAGCCAUCAUAUUAGCUAAGCGGACAAGCUUUUUAAUUAUUCUUGUUGGCUUAUUAUUUGCAAUUGAUUUAGGUUGUUAUGGAAGUUCUUAAGUCUGAACCUCCUCUUCAUUAGAGUCUCCUUCUUCCACUGGAUCCUCCCUACUAGAGUCUCAUUCUUUCAUUGAAUCCUCUCUACUAGAGUCUCCUUCUAGCAUAAAAGACUCAUUAACUUCAUUUUUUAGAAUCAUCAUUCUUUCAAACUCCACUUGCUUAUGAGUAUCAUUUGAAUUCUUCCACUGAAAACAUGGUCGAAUCAUCAAAAGUGACAUCGCUAUUAAAGAUAAUUUUCUUUGUUUCUAGACACCAUAGGUAAAAACCCUUUAUGCUAGAAGUGAUCCUUAAGAACGCUGCUUUCUUAACUCUUGGAUUCAACUUUGAUUUCUUAACAUGAUAGUAUGCAGCGAAACCAAACACAUGUAAGGAAUCAUAAUCUGUAGUAGGCUUCCCACUCUAUUUUUUUAAUGGUGUUUUUCCUUCAAUUGUGAUGUAUUGUAGACGAUAAAUUAGAUAGAAUGCAUAUGUUAUAGCCUCAGCCCAAAACUCUCUACCUAAUCUAGCAUUGGAUAGCAUACAUCGAACUUUCUCUUGCAAUGUUCGAUUCAUGUGUUCUACCACCCCAUUCUAUUGUGGUGUAGAUUUGACAGUGAAGUGUCUGAUGAUGUCAUCUUCUUUACAAAUCUUUGCAAAUGGAUCACUUCUAUACUCUCCACUAUUAUCUGUGCGAAGGUGCUUGAUCCUUUUGUCCAUUUGAGUUUCCAUAAUCUUUCUCCACUUAAGGAAAAGUCUUAACACUUCAUUUGCCUUCAUUGUAUACAUCUAUACUCUUCAGAAAUAAUCAUUAACAAAAGUUACAUAAUAAUGUUUCCUCUAAAAUAGCUUGUUUUAGAGGGACCCUAGACAUCUGGGUGAACAUAAUCCAAGAUGCCUUUAGUAUCAUAGAUUGUUGUCCCAAACUUCAUCCUUAUCUACUUUCCUUUGAUGUAAUACUCAUAGAAAUCCAACUUACAGGUUCUUACUCCUUUCAAUAAUCCUUAAUUUUUGAGUAAGUUCAGGAUUUUACACCUGCAUGCCCUAAGCGCACAUGCCAUAACUUUCGUGUUUCAAACUCUCAAUUUUCAGUUGAUGUAGCAAUUGUCCCAUUAACUGUACUACUUCGAUAAUGGUACAAGUUAUUAUUCUUGCAAAUCCCCUUCAUUACCACACAUACAUCAGAAAUAAUCUUCAUCAACCCAUCCUUAGCUCUAACUUUAAAACCUUUUGAUUCUAAGGUUUCACAGAAAUGAGAUUCCUCAUCAAAUCUGACACAUAACGACCAUCAUGUAAAGCUAUGAUUGAUUCAUCCUGAUUUCUCAAUCGAAUAUAAGCAAACCCAUAUGUGGUAAGAGGGGUAUUAUUUGUUGUAUAGAUAUCUCCACCCUUUAGUUCUUUAAAAUCGAAGAACCACUCCAAAUGAGGACACAUAUGAUAGCUACAAGCUAAAUCCAACAUCCAUACAUCAGAAUGGUUAGUUACUAAUGUAACAAGUAAGAAAUUUGAAUCUUUAUCCCCACACUCAGCUACAUUUGAAUCUACAAAAGCUUUUCUUUUUUCAAAUUUACCUUUAUUUUUCAACUUUGGGCAAUAAUUCUUCUACUAUUGUUUUUCUCGACAGAAAGCAGACUCAUUUUUUUACUUGGUUUCCCCUUUGACUUGGAUCUCUACUUCUAAACUUUACUCCGAGUGUGUGAAUAACCCCAGACUGCCAAAGCUUCUACAUCUCCGGUUGAAUUUCUUUAUUUUCCUUAUUUAUCAGUUCAUAACUAUAUAAAGCAGCAUACACUUCACUAAGAGAUACAUCAACCUUCCCCUGAAGUAGCAUCGUUUCGAGGAACUCAAACUUCUCAAGAAGUGACCCCAACAACAUCAAAGUCAAAUCUUAAUAUUUAAAGAUUUCAUCCAUGUUCACUAGAUUAAUGACUAAUUGAUUAAAACCGGUGACAUGAUCAUUCAUAGUGGUACCGAAACAUAAGUGAAGCAAAAUAUCCUUUUCUUCAUGUGAGACUUAUUCUAACUAUUUUUUUCCAAAAUUUUUCUUCUAGUGCCAACCAUAAUCUAUUUGCAAAAGUCUUUUUUGAGAAAGCAUACCUUUGCUCUCGAGAAAGGCACGAUUGAAUUGUACAACAUGCCAAACAAUUGAUAAUCUUCCAAUCUUUUCCUUCAUAUCAUUUGGUUUCUUCUCAUCAAUGGAAACAUCUAGACCUUGCUGAAAUAGAGCAUCUAGAACCUCACUUUGCCACAUACCAAAAUGGCCUGUGCCAUUGAAGAUCUCCACUGCUAAUCUCAUAUUUUCCACUAUAGGCCUCAUUGACAUAAACGAUGUUAGAGCUCUUGGAUUGUCCACCAUUUUAGCCAUAAUCAUUCAAUAUGCCCAAGAAAAUCUUUUUUGGAUAUGGAAGAUAAAUUUAAAUUGCAACUUUCAGUUCUGAUACCACUUGUUGUGUGAAUAGGGUAAAAAGAGUAAAGUAUUUUACUAGAAAAUCAUACUAGGUUCAAUUCCUAAAAAAGAUUGAAGGGGUCAUAGACGGUCCUGCUUAAAACUCAACCUCUUACACAAAAUCUCCCUCCAACAUAAUUUAAUAGCACAGUAUAUCAUUACAAGUGUACCCUAUAAAAAAUUGAAAGAGAAACAAUAAAGAACAUCAAUAAUUUAACAAGGUUCAAAAAAUUAUGCCUAUGUCCUCAAACACUACAAAAUAUAUUUCACUACAAAAAUAUAAGUGAAAAAUUAUAAGAGGGAAAAUUUCCUUAUGAAGGAAAUGGAAAAUUUUGGGAUAAUUUAGAUGUGGUCUCGUUUAUAGUUGUACAAGCACUCUACAACAGUAUAUUUUUUUAGAUGUGGGAUUGUUCUAUUUCAACAGGUAUCCAGGUUGAGGACUUAGGGAAAUAUCUCGGGAUUCUACUUUUUCACAAAAAAGUAAGUUAGAACUUUUCAAUUUAUCGUUGAGAAAAUUCAUGAUAAGUUUAAUGGGUGAGAGGCAAGGUCUUUAUCUUUAAUUGGGAUAAUAACCCUUGCAAAAUCGGUCUUACUUGCAUUUCCGAGUUACUUCAUACAAAUUGUGUAUUUACCCAUUAGUGUGUGUAUGAAAUUGGGAAGUAAAAAAUUGACUCUUGUCUGUUGGGAUAAAUGUUAUAUGCUUAUUGAAAAUAGUAGUCUUAGACCGUGGAAGGUCCAAGAUGAAAAUAAAGUGUUUUUUCUUAAAGUGGAUUUCAACAUUAUUUCUUCUGAUAAAGAUUCCUUUUGGGUUCAAGUUCUCAAGAAUAAAUAUGGGGUGAUUAGUAGAUAGCCGACAUCAAUUUCUCGCUCCAAUUGUUUGUUUCUAUGGAGGGCCUUAUCUAAUGUUUGGUCGAAUGUUCUUAAAUGGGUAUAUUGGACUUUUGGUAAUAGGAGAACAAUGAGCUUUUGGAAUGAACCUUGAAUUUCAAACUUAGGAUUGUUGAUGGGUUAUUGUUUCAUAGCUCUAGUGGAAGAUGCCAAUGUGGUGGUUAGAGACAUGGUUCGCGAGGAUGGAAAUUGGAAAUGGGAGAUAUUCUCCAUCAACUUUCCUAUUAAUAUGUUGUCGAUGAUUGCAACUAUCGUUACCUCUUCAGAUGAAGCGGGACAGGAUAUGUUGGCUUGGUGGUUCCUUGGAGGUCUAAACAUAUUCAAGAAGCAAAGUCCAUAAUGGAAUCCUCUUGUUCCAAGAUUUUGCGAUGGAUGAGACCAGGUUUGGGAUAAAUCAAACUCAAUUUUGAUGCAACUAUUUCAGUUAAACGAGAGAAAGCCUCUAUUUGUGGCUUGUUGUGUGAUCAUGAGGGUCGAUAGAUUCGUGGCUACUAUUGAAAUAUAGGAUUUUGUGUUGUUAUCCAAGUUGAGGCUUGAGCAUUAAUCGAAGGUCUUAAGCUAAAAUGAGCUUUGGGUUUUAAGAACAUUAAAGUGGAGGGUGACUACUUACAACUUGUUAACUUGCUACAAAGGAAACAUAAUGAGGAUGCGGAUGACACUUUAUUUCACUAUCUGAGGAAGCUUUGUCAUAGGUCUUGAAUGGUUUUUAUAAGUCAUGUUGCAAGAUGUGUCAAUGGAACACUUGAUGGUUUAGCUAAGUUAUAGAUUUCAGAUUCACCAGAGGCUAUUAUCUUUAUUAACUAUAUAACAUAGCCACUUUGCAAGCUUAUUAGUUGUAUGAUACGACCACGUCGCAAGUUUGUUGCAACAUCUUUUGUCUCUCUUCUCCAUUUUGUUACAAAGGACAUUCUUAUGAUAUUACAUAUUUACACUCACAGUUAUUGUAAAGAAUAAGUUUUUUUAGGAAUACAAUGAUUUAGCAAAUAUUUUCUCUAUAUUCACUCUACCCAAGCAUAGUUAAUAUGGUAUCUAAGCCUAGUUUUUCGACCCUCCAUACCUCAACUUGAUUCUGUUGGACCUUUUUUCUUUAUAGAUAAUGCAUGACUUAGAUGAUAGUCCACCAUCCCUCACUGUUGCUCUCACCUCAGAUUCUCAAUCAUUAUUAUUUUUCUCCACUAAACGUGUCAAUGUUAGAUUGGAUGAGAAAAAUUACCUCAUUUGGAAACAACAAAUCCUGUUUACUAUUCUAGGUCAUAAUCUGAAGCAUUUUCUUGACAGUUCCACCACCCCAUCCCCAAAAUUUUCUAUCACUGCAUCUGGUGAAUCUAUCCCAAAUGAAGCCUAUACUUAGUUUGUCAAACAAGAUUGUGCCCUUGCCUUAUAGCUUCUGUCCACUGUUUGCCCUAAUAUCCUACCACAACUUGUUGUUGCAGAAACCUCAGCCUCCAUCUGGUCCACCUUAACCUGCCUUUUCUCGACUCUGUCCACUACCAAGGUGAUGCACCUUCAUUGUAAGCUUCGCUCUCUCUGCAAAGGUGCGCUCUCCAUACGCGAUUAUCUUUCCCAAAUUAAAGAAGUGUGUGACACCCUAGUCACUUGUGGAAGUUCCAUCUUUGACAUUGAACACAUUGCAACUCUAAACCCUAACACCUGCACCUAUAACAACCCUUCUCAAUGCUAUGAACUUGCAUUUCAUAUCCAUACUCCUUUACGAGUAUUGCCCAUUUGUUCAACCUUCCUCAGAUGCUAUAAGCCCCAACACAGCUAUUUCUUUUUUGACACCUCCCCCAACAAAUGCAUAUUCCCCACCAGUUACCAACACUCUCACUGCUACGGUAUCAUCUCCCAUUACACAGAACUAACUUCUCGAUUUUGGUGCUUCUCAUCACAUCCUAACAACAUCGCCAAUCUCUCAACUCAUAGUCCCUAUAGCAGGUCUAGUAAGGUUACUGUGGGUGAUGGUUUCCCCUUCCAAUUAAUCAUAUUGGCACUUCCGCAGUAUCUUCUUUAUCUCGACCGUUAUUAUUGAAUGAAUUACUACAUGUGCCUACUGUUUUUAACAAUUUACUCUCAGUUUCCAAAUUCGCAAAAGAUAAUUUUGUUUAAUUUGAGUUUCAUCCUGGUUAUUGUCUUGUCAAGGAUAAACGUAAAAACAAAGUUCUCUUGUACGGUGUAGAACAGGAUGGUCUGUAUCAAUUUCUCGCUACACCAACUUGUCCUCAACUAAUGCAAACUACUAUUAUGGAUGCUAUUCAUUCUACUUUACCUUCCUUACCUAUUGAAUUUUGGUUAUGGCACAGACAUCUUGGUCAUUCCUCAGUCAAGGUGCUAAAUAAAUUCAUGAAGAAAUGCAAAAAAUAUCAGUUUGUACGACAAAAAAUUCCUUUAUGUGAGGCUUGUUGCAUGGGGAAGAGCCAUCGUUUACCUUUUUUCAGCUCCACCACCACUUACACUGAGCCUUUUUAGUUAGUCGAGCUUGACUUAUGGAGACCAGCUAAUGAACCUUCAUCGGGUUAUCAUUAUUACUUGCCCUAUAUUGAUGCCUUUUCAAGGAACUGUUAGUUGUAUUUACUAAAAUCAAAAGAUGAAGCCAUUGUUGCCUUUGAUCUUUUUAAGAAACUCAUCUAUAAUUAAUUUUCUACUACUAUUACUGCUUUUCAAAUUGAUUGGGGAGGUGAAUUUUGAAAUUUCAUUUUAUGUUGGGCUAACUUUGGUAUCCAACAUCAUGUUACUUUCUUUCAUACAUCUCAAUAGAAUGGGAUUGUCAAGUGGAAACAUAGGCAUAUCGUUGAGACGGCUAUUACCUUAUUAGCUUAGGCAAAUCUACCCUUCCAAUUUUAGACAAAUGCAUUUCUUAGUGUUGUCUAUCUUAUAAAUUGGCUUCCAACCAAUGUUCUUGGUGGAAUCUCAUUGCAUGAGAAAAUUUAUGGACGACCACCAAAUUAUGAGUUCUUAUGCAUCUUUGGAUCUCAAUGCUUCCCUCACCUUCGUCCAUUUAUGCCGCACAAGUUGAAUUUUCGUUCCAAAGCUUUCAUUUUUCUAAGAUAAAGUCUAAUGCAUUAUGGAUAUAAGUGCCUCGACAAAUACUCUGGUAAGUUCUAGAUCUCCAAACAUGUAGUAUUUAAUGAACAUGUUUUCCCAUUUGCAGCUAGCCAGUCAUCCUUAGUGACCAAUACUCUUAUUGAGUUUGAAUCCCCUCCUCUCUUUGUGGUUUCCUCCCCUUGGUUGAGCUCUUCUACCACUCAGUUUGGGUCUUUACCACCAUCUCCCUUGCCAAUGAUGCAUGUUUCCCCUUCUAAAGCUAUUAGUCACUCCAAUGCUCUAGAAGACUCUUCUGAUGCUAUCAUUCAAAGUUCAUCUUCUCCAUAUGAGGCACCUCUUGAUUCACUUCGCACACAUGAUGAUACUCUUGAAGAUACUAACACCACCAAUAAAUGUCCCACCACCAAUGUGCACCCCAUGAUUACAAGCAGCAAAAACAACAUCUAUAAACCUAAGCUUUAUUCUGCCAUUCUUGAGAACCAGUGAACAUCGAAGAAGCUUUGACGGAUUCAAAAUGGAGAGAAGCAGUCAUGACAGAAUACAACCCUCUCAUUGCAAACAACACAUGGUCUUUAAUUGAAUUUCCACUUGAUUGCAAACCUAUAGGGUGCAAAUGGCUCUUCAAGUUGAAGAAAAACCUAGACGGUACAAUAGCAUGGUAUAAGUCAAGACUUGUUGGCAAAGGCUUCUUUCAAGUCCCGGGGUAUGAUUUUCGUGAAACCUAUAGUCCAGUAGUUAAAUUUUCUACUGUUAACAUGUUUCCUGCUUUAGCAGCAUAUAAUUGUUGGAAUCUAAGACAUAUUGAUAUCAACAAUGCAUUCCUAAAAGGAGAUUUAUCUGAGGAUAUCUAUAUGACUCAACCCCUUGGUUUUGAACAAUAUCGUGAUGACGACAAGGCUCUAGUUUACAAACUUCAUAAAGCCUUAUAUGGCUUACAUUAAGCACCAAGAAACUGGUUUUACAAACUACAACAAUUUCUGCUUACUAUUGGUUUCACUCAUUCUAAAGCAAACCCCUUACUAUUUAUUCUUAAAGAUGGGGGAAAUAUUACCUAUAUAAUUGUGUAUGUUGAUGAUAUACUACUAAUGGGAAGCUCACAAGAGACAAUCGAAAAUAUAGUUGAUCAAUUUCACAAAUAAUUUCCGUUGAAGAAUUUAGGUGUUAGAACGCCGGCACCCUUACAGCACAGCGAAAAAUAAAUCAUCCGGUAAUCCUAACCAUGGAUCCAUGUGUGGAACGAAUCAGGGUGAAAUAAAGGUUUCUAAAUUACCGAAUCUUUAUUCUGAGUAGACAGCGACACCUCGACAAUGAGUAAUCUGAUCUGCUGUCGAACCAAGCCGCAAUCUAUCGUGACUUCGGCCUCUACGUAAUCCACCCAGUUGACAAUGAACGGAAGGAAUCCCCAAAACUGUUUUGGAAAAGACUUUACUUUGACGGCUGCUAGCCCCACCAAGCAAAUAAAAAUAGUAUUUUAUAUCCAUUUUUAGGGUUUCUAGAAAUUAAAUAAAUAUAACAAUGUUUUUAGACCGAAAAUUAUAAUUACAUUAAUUAUAAUAAUGAUUUCGGUAAACUAUAUAUUUAUUUGAAUUUAUAUACGAACCAAAUUCAUGUUCUCAUUAUGCGUAUAACAACCUUGUACAUAUAAUGUAUUCGAUAUUUGAUUACCCAAUAUAAUUAAUUUAAUUCAAGCGACAACUAAACACAAUACCAACUAUGUUUUAUUCCGUUCAUUUCAACUAUAAGGUGUGACCGUAUAAGUUCUUGUAACGUUAGCAGUAAUACUAGAACGAUUCCAAUGUUACAAACAAUGAGUGGCACCUAGCAAUGCACCAUUGCUACCUAAGUUACAAGAAAUCAUGAUUCGACAUAACAUUUUUAUGAUUAACCUUUCAUGCAAUAAUCCUUAAGUCCUUUAUCUCUGGAUUGGACACAAGUCAUGGAAUAGUCACACUUGCAUAGUCCAUUCCAUGUUCCUUGAUAUCUUAAGUAGACUAUGAUAUACAAAUAAGUAUGACAUCUCAUAUCAGCUUAUUUGAGCAUGGCCAUGCAUUUCUAGUCUCACUCAAUCAAGUGGCUUAAGAUAUUACUCCCAUUAUGUAGGAGGGACUUAUCCUAUAUCGAUCAACCAUAUCCCUCUACAUAGAUCGUGGUAUAUCCAACAUCAGCCUUUAUAGAACAACCAGUUACGAUGUACGUUUGACUGUAUCAAAAUAUACAACUCACGAUGUUGGGAUUAUGAUGGUCUCAAGUCUGGGGAUCAAAUACAUAUUAAUCACUAUGAAUAAUGUUGUGACAAUUACAUAAUAAUCCAAGAAACAUACUCAUAACAGGUCAGUCCAAUAUGUUGUUCUCUAACACACAUAUUUAUGCAUCGAUUUUGACAUUCCAUAUCAAUGACAACUCUUUAUUAUCAAUCAACUACAUGUUAGUCUUAAUGCAUUAUUGUUGUCCUAGCCAACAAUAAUACUUGACUAAGGACCUUUUAAGAAUAAUCAUAUUAUUCUCAGGACAUUAUUAUAAAACAGUUUAUUUAUACACUCAGAAAAGAAACUGAAAUAAUAAUGGUAACGCCUUAUAUUAAUGAACAUGAUAAAUCAAGUAUGUUAUUACAACCAUCUCAUGAUUGAUCUUUGGGCAUACUUUAGCACUAGGUAGUCUUGAGUAUUUUCUAGGGAUUGAAGUUCAAUCUAUUGGUAAUGGUUUCUCCAUCAAUUAAAAGGAAUACACCUUGGAAUUGCUUGCUCAAACUGACGUGAUGAAUUGUCAACCUACAACAACACCAAUGGCAAUCGACAAUAAACUAGCUAAAGAUGAUGGCAAUGCUCUUAGCAAUCCUCAACACUAUAAAAGCAUAGUAAGGUCACUACAGUAUCUCUGUCACACAAGGCCGAGCAUAUCGUAUACUGUCAACAAGGUUGCUCAGUAUAUGCAAAAUCCUAGAGAUUUUCACUAGGUUUCUGUCAAGUGAAUUCUUCGCUACUUGAGAGGUAUUCUAGAUUAUGGAUUGAUGUUCACCUCUGGUACAAUGGUGAACCUCAUAGCAUACACCAAUGCCGACUGGGGAAGCAGUGCUGAUGAUUGAAGAUCAACAUCGGGUCAUUUCAUUUUACUAGGACCCAACAUCAUCUCAUAGAGUUCCAAGAAACUAAGGCCUACCUCUCAAUCAACGGUGGAAGCAGAAUACAGAAGCCUUGCUAAUACGGCCUCAUAAAUCAUAUGGUUACAGUCCCUGUUAUUGGAUUUCCAAAUCAAUUUAAUUGAACCACCUAAGAUUUGGUGUGACAACUCAAGCACUGUUGCCAUGGCUGCCAACCCUGCUCUUUAUUCGUAAACAAAGCAUGUUGAUUUGAAUCUUCACUUUGUUAGCGAAAAGGUGCUCAACAAUCAAAUUCAUGUUGGAUAUGUUCUAGCAAAACGUCAAGCUGCUGAUGUUUUCACUAAACCUCUCCUGACCAAGGCAUUUCAAGAAUCAUAAGAGAAGUUGUGUGUCAUCUCCUACGAUGAUGCUACCACUCUGCUUAACAAAGAAAAGACAGAAAACAUGGUUAAUAUCAACUAUAUAGCAUAACCACGUUGCAAGCCUAUUAGCUAUAUGAUACAUCCAUGUCGCAAGUCUGAUGCAAAGUCCUUUGUCUCUAUUCUUCAUUCUAUUACAAAGGACAUUCUUAUGAUAUUAUAUAUUCACACUCACUAUAAUUGUAAAGAAUAAGUUUUUUAGCAAUACAAUGAUUUAACAAAUAUUUUCUUUAUAUUCACUCUACCUGAGCAUAGUUAACAAUGUUCAAGCACCCCUACAAAGUGGUUUGCCUUGUAGAGGCCAACAAAGAAGGAAACUUUAAUGUUUAAAGUGAGGACUUAUUUUCUUUAUAAAAAAAAUUCUUUAUUUUCAUAAAAUAAAGAGAUAAAAAUAUAUAAUUAGAUGUUAAGAAGCAUCAAAAGUCUUAUUACGUUGAAAGCCGCCAGGCCGUCCAAAUUAAUUUUUUUUCUUGAAAAUGGAAUAAAAAAUCUAACUAAAUAUUUCAAAAUAGUAAUAAAUUAAAUGGUCCAAAUAAAUGAUAAUAAAUACAUAGAAAUUAAGUUCCUUUAGGCUAAAAAAGUAAACUCAAAUUUUUGACUCAAUUGAUGUCUUUGUAAGGGAAAUUUCGACCAAAAUACUUGGAAUUUUGCUUAUUAAAUUCGUCUUCGUUCAUUGUAUUGAAUCAAAUUUCAAAUUUGACGUUAUUCUAUCUCUCCUACAAGAUAAAUUUUCAUAAAAUUUGAAUUCCAUCACAAUAUUUAAAAUUUCAUUUUUUAAAUUAGUAGUACACCAUAUUUUUUAAAAUCAAGAUUAUUGUGGUGUUCGUCAUUACUAACCCGCUACCUAUUUAUUUGUCUGGGAUUGAUUCGAUCUUCUUUACUUCAGUAGUGAUCACCAACAUAGUUCGCUUACAUGAGUUCGCAUCAUCAUGCAAGCGAACCCACACUUAGGGAACACAUGUUAAUCUUAAAAUAGGGUAUGUGUUCGCAUACAUUGGGACUUACAUAGGACAUCACAUCCAGAAAUCGUAUCAUAUAAAUAGAAAAUUAACCUUGAGAGAUAGAUUCACAAAAACACUCAACAAAAUUCAAAUUUAAGUCUUAAUCUAAAUUGUCACUAUCUCUUAAAAAAUGGGUUUGUCAAGCAUUUUAUAAAUUUCCAUUCUUUAAUUACCCUUUAAACCUUGACCUCCUUUUUGUACUGCAAUUUGGUCUUAACAAGUGGAAAAUCGUACAAAUAAGUGUAGUUUUUUCCAUUUCGUGUGACCAGGAAAAAACAAUAGAAUUUACAAAUUUCUUGCAGCGUACCACUUAAAACACUAUGUUUUUGGACCACACAAUAAUGCUAAUUAGUCUAUUUUAAUCUAUUAGGAAGUUUCAUAGAAGGAGAAUUGGAAGGAUUUUGAAAUUUAGUCACGUCUAGUUGAUAACUCUAUUAAGGAUUUAAAAAUAAUAAUAUUAAAAUCCAAUUGACAAGAUGACAAAAGAAGUAAAUUAUUUGGAUUUUAAUAUUCAAAUAAGAUAAAUAGAGAUAAUUAAUUUCUAAAAUUAAAAACAAAGACACUAAAUAUCAUAGGCAUGGAGAGUUAAAAGAUCAAAAGUUAUAGACUAUUAAUAGUGCAUUAUUGUUUUUCUCUUUUUAGUAAAAUCAAAUAAAUUAAUUUUUAUCAUAUUUUAUAUUUUUUGGUGAAUUAUAAGCGGAGAAUAAAGUCUUAACAGUAACGAAACUAGGUCAAUUCGAACUCAAGCCACACCUGAAGAGGUGAACAAGAUCUUAUUAGAAAAGACAAAAUUCUAGCUACCCUAAUUGAGAUUUUAACAUAAAUUUUUUUAAUUUUAAUUUUAAUUUUAUUUGGAACUAUUUGACUUGUAUAAAUGAAAAAUUACACGCAUAACACAAAAUUAUAACUUUUUAGCACACAAUUGGGUUUUUGCAAUCUCAAUUAAAAUGGUGACUAAGACCACAUAUUUGGAAUAAUGUGAAGUAGUUGUUGAUUAUAAUUUAUAAUAAAUUGAUUAAGUUAACUUUAUCAAAUUGCCCCCUAAAAAGUCAACAAUUAAUUAUUUAUUCAUUUUAAGUUAUCUUAUAAGCAAAAGUAAUUAGCUAACAACAAACCAUUAAAUUAAGCCACCCUUACUUGUAGAGCAUGCCUAGACUAGAUAUCUUCUAAUUCUUUAAGUCACUAUAGCAAAUCAAAUGAAUAUAUGUCGGUGCAUAUCAAUAAUUUAAUUUUGCUUUUUGCUGUACAUUCUAAAUAUUCGUUAAUUUAUGAACUAUUCAUAUCAUUUCCAACAUUUUUUUUCCUUUACUAAUUCAUGAAUGAGACCUUCAUCUAAGCACAUCAGAUUCACAUAUACAAAAGAGGUAAGUCCAUUAUUUUUCUUAUUUUUAUUUUAUUAAAAACAUCUAAUUAUAUAAUUUUUUUAAAAAACUGAAUUGGAGGUCCAAAAUCGACUUAUUCAUAUGCAAUGCUACACUUUAGUUUUAAGAAAGAUUUCAACUCCAAAUCCCAACUUGAUUUGACCUAACAAUAUGUAUUUUACGAUUCAUAUAUUAUAAUUGAAUUUAAAUAAAAAUAUUAUUUUAAUCAAUUUGAAUCUAUUCUAGGUCAAUUUUAACCCGUCUAAAGAUUGGACAGGACCAAGUUGCUUGGUCCAUGCCUACUUCAAUAUGAGUUUAUUCUGAUUAUAUUUAAAAAAUAAUUUAAAUAUUUAAUAUAGUAAAUAUUUAAAAUAUGAACUUAAAUAUUUAAUAGUGUAAAUAUUAAGAGAAUUAUAUAUUUGGAUAACUAGUUAAUACUUAAUAUGAAUUCAAUUAGUUGAAGUAUUAAAUUCCAUCAUAUACAAUAAUUUUUUGGAGAAUAUUUGAUGUACUCUCAGUGCAUAAAUUUCAUAUACCAUCGAUGAAUAAUAAUAAUAUGACAUUUCAUCAUUAAAUAAAAUAAAAAAUAGUAGAGGAAUUAUGGAUAAUACUAAUAAUUUUUAACAUAAUUAAAUAAUUAUAAUUCAUUAUAAAUAAAGGCUAAAACCCUAAACUCUAAGCUUGGGAUGUUAAACCCUUAAAUCGAAUAUCCUAAACUCAAAAGUUAUUAAUAUUUAUUUAUAACAGUUACAAAUAAAAUUAUCAGUAUUUUUUUAGAUUCUUCAUAUUUUUUGUUUAAUUUAAUAACAAGAUGUCAUAAUUCAAUAAUGGUGCAUGAGACUUUACAUUAACGGUACAUCAAAUAUUAUUUCUUUUAAUAUAAAAAAUAAAUUUAAAACAAGUUUUUUCAAGUUGUAUCCUAAUCCAAAGAAUUUUAUAUAUAUCAAAUCAUAUAAACUACAUAUUGUUGAUUCAAUUUAUUUUAUCAACAAAUUUUUUUUGUUAAAUUGUACCCUGUUAAGAGAAAUUUACUUGAAUCCUAUCUCGAAUUUCAACAAAAAUAGGCUCAAAUCAUAAAAUCAUAAAAUUAAUGAAAAUACAUGUGAUUAUACGGAAAGAACAAAAAAAAUCUCAAACUUGAUUUUUCUUACUUUUCUAGAAUGCCUAAGGAGAAAGUUGUGAUUCCAAUAUUGAUGUAUAUAUUAAGCAAGAAAUUUCCAAAAUAAUAAGGAAUUUUCAAAGCCAAGUAUAACCUAUGUUUUUUUUCUUGGUAUUUAUGUAUUAAUUUAUAAUUUUCCCUUGAAACAAGGAAAUAAAUAUUUCAUAAGUUUUUGCAAAUCAAUUUGAAGACAAUUAAGUAAACAAAGACUUGGAAGUUAGAGCAACAACACUUAGAUAAGAUUUAUCUGUACGCCACGGCAAGUUUGGAAAUUUGUUCUCUCAAUUUUAUUCUAGAAAUUUAGACUUUGAAUUGGGAAAACAAAAUCCAUUUCCGUUUUCUAUUGGCAUGUAACAUGCACGUCUAGCAAUUCAGCAACCAUUUAAAAAUUUAAUUUCCUGUGGAUUGAGUCUUAAUUCAAUUGGUAUAGGUAUUAUUAUUAAUGUAGGAGAACGUGAAUUUGAGUGUGCUGAAGCGUAUUAUCCUCCUAUUUAUGGGUUGAGGAAUUACUAUAGAUAGUUCUAAGUAUUGUCUCAAAAAGAACAAAUAUGAUUAGAACGAAAUUGAUUUACCUAAUACAAAAGUUUAAAAGUAUUGAUCAACUUGACAAAUUUUCAAUCUUUGGGAUUUUAUUUGACAAAUUGAUGCUUACGGAUUUAUUUGUCAAUUAUUGUAAUAAAUGUGAUGAAGUUAUUAUAUUCUCAAUUAUUAUUUCUAAUAUUCCAAAAAGAAAUAAGAUAAACUAUAAAAAUAGUCACUCUUGUUUGCUUAAGAUUACAUUUUAGUCACUUAUGUUUGAAAUGUUAUGUUUUAGUCACUUAUGUUGUUAUGAAGUGGUCAUUCUACCGUUAAGCUCCAUUAUCUCCCUAACGGCGGUCUUACGUGGCAGUCCAAAUGGGUUUUAAAUGCCAACUUGGAUGUCCCACGUGGUAAUCUAAAUUAAAUUUAUUUAAUUAAAAACCUAUUUUUAUCCCAGCAAUUGGACAUCCAAGUUGGAAUUUAAAACCCAUUUUGACUUCCACGUAAAACCACCAUUAGGGAGGUAACGGAGUUUAACGGUAGAGUAACCACUUCGUAACAAAACGAUAACUUAAAUUACUAAAAUGUAACAUUUUAAAAAUAAAUGGCUAAAAUAUAAUGAGGCAAAUAAAAGUGACUACUUUUGUAGGUUACCCAAAAGAAAUAUUAUUAAAUGAUGCGACCUAAUUUGAAAAUGGAUAAAAUUUACCUAAUUUUAUAACAAAAGCCCAUUUUCAACCUUCUUCUUUUUAUGAAAAUUAAUUUCUAAAUUACAUUUAAUUACACUUUUAACUUGUGUUUGGGCAAAGUUUAAAGUCUACGUCCUUAUUUUGUUAAAACCAAAGAAAACACCUUUUCAACUAAAAGAGUAAACUCAAAAAAGUAAUUAUUUAUUAACUAAAGCCACUAAUUAAACAUUCUUAAUAAAAUAAUUAAAAUAAAUUAAGGGAUUUUGGGUUAAGUAAUCGUCAGCUACAAAGUUGACUAGCCGCCACCAUCUUUUCUUCAACCACCUUUCAUUCUCCUCCUUUGUCAUUUCUUUAAUUUAGAAAUAUUUUAUGUUUUUUUUAAAUAAUUACUUUUUAAAGGAUUGAAUGUACAUUUUAUUCGAUAUCAACUAAUAAUAACGUGACACGUGACAUAUUCUUACUGAAUAUCACACAUUUUUUUAAUAAAAUGAAAAAUAUUAAUAGUUUAGAUACUACUUUUAACCUAAACAAUUUUAAAUACCUAAGUGAAAAAAUUAAUACAGUUUGAAGUCAAUUUUGUAGUUAAACCAAGUGUGAAGCUAGAAUUUUUUUCCUGAAAGGAUUGAGAUUAAAUUGUAUAUUUUUAUAAGAUAAAUUUUAAGACGAGAUUAAAAUUUUAUCAUUUGGGUUUAUUUAUUUACUGAAAAUUUUAUAAAUUAUUAGGAGUUAAAUAAUUGUUUUUAGGGGGUCCGACCUUUGCUUGCCCCCACCUUCUCCCCUAGUUAAACCCUUAUCAAACCAAAUGUUAUAUAAUAUAUAAUUAAAAUUCUCUAAAUGGUUUAGUAAUUCAAAAUUUAACAAAUUACAUGGUAUAACCAAAAAAAAUCAGCUUCAAAUCCACUUUUUAAGUGUGCAAAAGCAAUCAAGCAAAAGAAACAAAGGACCACUUUAGCCGACAAGAGAAAAGCUUAAGGAUUUCGUCGCUAAAAGGUAUUCGGGGGUAUUUGACACGUAAGUGGUGUAAGUCCAAAAGUAAUACGUGGUUUUCAAGUAAUGCCCAUAAAAUUCAAUGACGCCGUCACUAAUAAUUGUAGAUUGUUUGACCCGACUUUCUUUUUAGGCAAACAGAAGAUUCUUGUGAAAUUCAAUUAAUUGUUUUUUCUCUUUAUAAAAAAAUUAGUUCUGUUUUUGUAUUUUCAUUUUUUUUUCUUUGCAAUUUCGUCGGUGAAAGAUCUAAUAAGCAAUGACGAAACGGUGGAAAUAAAUUAUAUUUUCCCCUACUAUUCCAAUCUACAUUUUAACUAUCUUGACUCUAGAAAGUUAGUGGAAAAUUAUAUUUAAAUUUCCAUUUUCAUUUAGAUAUCUAAAAAUAUCCAUAAUCCCUAUUUAAUGUUUAAAUAAAAGGAUAAAUGUAUUUUAAAACAUUCGAAUUUAUGCCCUUCUACACUAACAAUAAUACUGAUAUCAACCGUACUAAAACUUCACCAACUUUUAUUUUAAAUAUUUAAGAAUAUAAAAAUUACUGGACCAAUGGUGGAGUGACAAAUAACUUAUGUUCAAAUCGGCAUUGAUUUUAAGUUUGAUCAUCAGAUAAUCUUUUGUAAAUAUAUAUAAGUCGAGCAUCUUGAACAAUUUUUUUCUAUAAAUUUGAAUUUUUCACUAGAAUUUCGAAUGUAAAUAUAUAAAUACACUAAAUUAAAAUGAAUUAAAUCUUUUCAAAAGUCAGAUUAUUCAUUCGAUCGUAAAGAUGUGAUUUAUAUAAUAAGUCGAGCUUUGAAUAAAUUUUUUAAAAUUAUUUUUGUCAAUUGAAUAAUAUUUUAUUUGUGAAAGACUUUUGAGUAAUGUGAUAAGGAUGCACUUGCAUUUGCAUUAUCCAAAGAAUUAAGAAAAGAAGUAAAAGAAAGAAAAAGCCUAAACUAAAAAGUGUGAAAACAUAUAAAGGUUAUCCCUCUUAUCUCAACCAUGUAACUCAUGACCUUACUUGGUUCGCAUACAAAAGAACCUACAAUAAGUAAAACCAUUCUACCAACUAUCAACUGCCACCUAAUAUUCAAUUGACUAUAAAUUCCACGUGGAAAUAUUUAUUGGGUAUGACCAGUCACAACAUUUUGCUGAGAAAGUUAGACUCUUCUAGACAAUUGAAGACUCUAACUUGUAGGAAAAGGCUUGCAACUCGUUCGACUCAGCAACUCGGUCAUGCUGACGCAUGCACGAGUUGAACUGAUUUCACACUCAAAACUCACAACACGCUAAUACCAUAUUUCAAUUAAAGUGACAAAAACUUGAUAUAGAUAAAAAAAAAUGACUAAAACAAGGGAUACAAACGUCAUUCCAGAAGGUCAACUAUAAAAGUCAAAAACUUCCAUCUCUAUAAUUUCCUAUCAAACCAAUCUAUAAAUAAAAAUCCCAUUUUACUUCUUAUUUGAAUAGAUCAUCAAAUACCCCCAAAACAACUUCCAUUUUCACACCAUACCCCCAAAAAGCACUAUGAAGAGAAGCUUUCCUAAUGAAAUUGAGAACAAUUUGGCUUUGGCAAAUUGUUUGAUGCUCCUUUCACAAGGAAGAAACCAAUAUGAUCAUAUCAUCUUCGACGAUAACAACAACAAUAACCCUACUAGGGUUUUCGAGUGCAAAACAUGUAACCGACAGUUCGCUUCGUUCCAAGCUCUAGGUGGUCAUCGAGCGAGCCACAAGAAACCCAAGUUGCUCGAUAGCGGAUCAACGGAGAACCAACCACCAGCGAAGCCUAAGACACAUGAGUGUUCGAUCUGCGGGCUGGAGUUCUCAAUCGGACAAGCCUUGGGAGGACAUAUGAGGAGGCACAGGGGUGGUUCGAGUGAAAACCAGCACCAACAUGGACCUUUGAGUUCUUCGACGUCAUCUCAAGAGACCGUAAGGACACCGAUUGUGAAGAAACCGAAUAGCAGAAGGGUUUUAUGUUUGGAUUUGAACUUGACUCCAUUAGAGAAUGAUUUAGAAUUGAUUAAGCUUGGCAAAGCAGCUCCACCAAUUGAUUGUUUCUUCUAAACUCUUACUUUCUGAUUAGCUAUAUGAUUUUGAUUUUGUUUUUAAAUUUUCUAGAGGGGGUUCAUGUAUAUAUUUGUUCAUUAAUUUACAGAUAGAGAUGUAUAAUGAAUAUAGAGAUAUAUAUCAUUAUAUUUUUCUUUUAUUCUAAAUUAACAUAUUUUCUGAUUAUAAUUUCUUUUUGGUGAAUUUGUUUACAUCAACAUGACUCUUUAACCAGAAGACAAACAUAACUUGUUUGUUCAGUUCUUUUCAUGUUUCAUGAGUUUUUCUUUUUUGGCUUGAUAUUUUAUUUAGGUAAAAUUGCAUGUAUUAUUCAUUUUAGGCGAAUCCUUCUAGAUCAUUUUUAGUAUUUUCUGGAAAUAUGUAUUUUUUUAAUCCCAAGAUAAUUUUUUUUUCAAAAGAAAAAAAAAGUAUGCUAUUUGUCUUACUAAAAAUGGCAAAGUGUAUUUGGCAUAUCAUCAUAGGGUGAGUAAAAUUCGAUUCGAUUUGAAAAAAUUAAUUUUUUUUAAUUUCGAGUUAAUCUAAUCGAGUUAUUCAAAUUAUUCAAGUCAACUCGAAUAAGUAAUUCGAGUUUCGAGUUUUGAGUUCGAAUCGAAUUGAAUUUUACAAUUCGAAUAACUCGAAUAAUUCAAAUAACAGAUUGAUAUAAAUACCUUUUGAUCCCUGUCAAGUUUGAAAAUGAGCAAAUUGGUCUCUUUCUCAACAAAAAUUACAAAACAAUUCAAAAUAAUUUUUCAAAAAUUUAAAAUAAUUUUUAAAAUUCAAAAUAUUUAUAAAAAUUCCAAAACUUAUAUUUUUAAAAAAUUAUAAAAAAAUUCAAACAAAAUUCUAAAAAAUAUAUAAAGAAAGUUAAAAAAUUAAACAUUUUCUAGAAUAAUAAUUUUGGGAUCUAAAUAAGUUAAUUAAUGUUUCAAGUUUGCCAUACUAAUGUUUUUUCUUUCUUUGAAAAAGUUUUCUAGUAUAUAUGGUUUCAAAUUUAUGUACUCUAACAUGAAAUUAGUUAUACUGUAAGAAGAUUUUAAUUUGACAUGUUCAAAUUUUUAAUUUAACUUGAACAAUUUCACUCAAUUCAACUUGACUCGAUUCGAAAAUUUUUUUAUUUGAGUUAGGAUGAUAAAAUAGGACUCGUCAACUCGAUUAACUCGAAAUUGUUUCGCUUGAUUCGAUCGAACGCUCACCCCUACAUCACCAUAUGUUUGUAACCAAAAAAAAAAAAAAAAAGCUAGGGCAAAUGCUUUAAUGUAAUUAAUAGAAAAAAGUUAACCUCGAAUUUGAAAUUACAUAUUUCGAAAAUAGAUGAAUUAGAACUAUCAAAUUAUAGUAAAGGGACCUUUUAUGGAAUUUGACCUUUUAUUUAUGGGUAAAAAUGAGAAAUUAUUAGAAGUAACGUUUACAUUUAAUAGAGGAUUAAAUUAGCUGUGAGUUGAUCUAACUUUGCGUUUUCUCUAAUUAAAAGCAAAAUUUGACAUAUUUAAUAUGAUACAUUAAUUAAGCUAUAGUUACUAUUUUAUAGCUUUCCACUUCAAUGAAAAUGAAACUUUUGGAAUAUGCUUUUUGUUUUUCAUCCAAUUCUCGACAAUUAAUAAACUAACCAUUUUUAAAAUUUGCUAUAAAAAUCUCUUGGAAUGGACAAAAUUAUUGGUUUAAUUCAAUAAUUUAUAUAUAGUAACAUUAUUUUUUCUACACUUUUAAUUAAAUAUAGCAAGGUCUCAAAUUAAAUCAUAAAAUUUUUAUAAAUUUAAUACAUAUAAGACUGAUAAAUUAUGGUGCUUCCAAAGUAAGAGUAUAACUCAAGCAAAAGUCUUCUAUAACAUUAAAACUAGAAAAUUUAGGUUAUUAGAGUUUUUUUCCCCCCACCAAUUUGUCGUUUUACAUGAUCUCACCAUUGAAGUUAAGUUUGGGUUUGAUUUUAAAAAAGCUAAGCUAGAUAACCAAAGUCUGGUCUAAGUCUGGUCAGUAAUUUUGGGUGUUACAUGAUGACAUAUAACGAUAAAAAUAAAAGAGUUGUUUAGGAUUUAUUUAAAGAAGAAUUUCAUUAUUAAAUCUUAUGGUAUAAGUUGAUUGAGUCUUACUUCGAUCGACAUGGAUAUUAUUAUCAAUAUAGGAGGACGUGGGUUCGAGUGUGCUAAAGUGCAUUAUCCUCCUAUUUAUGGGUUGAGGAGGGGCUUAUGGGUAGUUUUAGGCAUUGUAUCAAAAAAGCAGAUAUAAUCAGAAACUAUAAUGAGAUUAUUAAAAAAAAAAUCUUAUGAUACAAGCAACUAUUUAAACUUAAACUAUCUCAAUAUUUUGCUUGAAUUCUCUCCCAAUCAAACUUUCGCUGUGAAAGCUCUUUCAACUCUGAAUAUUUAGUUGUUUUAUGCUUGCUUUGAUGAGGAUAAAAUACUUCUUUAAUUAUUUUAUGUGAGUUUUGAUGCGCCAACAUGCUUAACCACAACUCGAGUUUUUAAGGGUGAAUUUUUUUUCCCAUCAUGUUAUUGACAGCAGUUUUGUGCUUCAAUUUGAUGGGAUAAUAAAAAAGAAAGCAUAUCUUUCAUCUUAAUUUGUUCGUAUUCUUCACAAGGUCAAUGGUAAUUGAUAGCAAGCAUAGAGAUUAUACCUGUCCUCUUGUUUAAGAAGUUUUUUGUUAAUGGAGUAAAUUUUAUUCAAAACAAAUUAUUUAAAAUAUAUAUUUAUUGUUUUUAAUUUUAAGGAGUUUUUAAUUCUUCACAAAAAAAUUAAUUUUUUACUGGAAAUAUGAAGAAAAAAAUUUAAUUUUUAAAAUAUGUUUUUGUAAUUAUUUAUAUACUUUUAAAGUGUAAAUACCAAAUUGACAAAAAACUAUAAAUGUUGAAGACUACAAGAGUUAUUUUACCCUUUUUUUAUAACAGCUACAUCACUAAUUCUAAUAGAAAAAUUUAUAGAGGGACCAAGAUUUUUAAAUAGAAAAAGUAUAAGGACUUAAUGUCUCAAAAUUAAAAUAUAGGGACUAAAUUUUAAAUUUUAGAAGAGUACAAGAACCUUUGACAGAUUUAAACCUAUAUUUUUAGUUAAAUCAAUAAUAUCUAUAUAUAUAUAUAUAAACUUUAUAUUCCAUGAAUUUUAGGUGCCUAUAACUUUCUUUUACUUGUCCAUAAAAAUAUAAAAACAUUUAAUUGUAUCAUUAAGUUAUAAUGGGAAAUUAUGAUAGGAAAUUAAAUAAAGUUGUAUGAUUCGUUAGCAGAAAUUAAUAUUAAAACCAAGAAUAGACAAAAUAAAUAAGAAAAUUAAUAUGGAGAUUGAUUUUAUUUUUGCUACUAAACUAGCAAAAUUUCAAGCUGUCCCCUAAUUUAAAUCUGACUGCCUUACAACACCCUUAAAUAAAAUAGCACAAAUUGGCAGAGGGGAAAUGCUUACUUGGAGAGGGGGUGAAAAUGGCGUUGGAGAAGCAUCAUACGGAAAAUUUACAGAAUUUAGAUAAAGACUUAAGGGAGGAACUUGAGAGCAUUCUCAAGAAGAACUCUUUUGGAAGCAAAAAUCUUGUUGUGACUAGUAGACAAAGGGGGACUGUAAUACUAAGUAUUUUCAUAGUAAAGCUAUCAAGAGACGAAGGAUUAAUCACAUCAAGGCUCUGCGUUUAGAUGGGUUAUAUUGGUGUUACGAUGAGGAUGUUCUUAAAUCUAUAGCCAUUCUUCAGAAGCUCUUCACUUUGAAUGACUAUUGUGGCGGGGUCCUUUGUAUUAAGAGUCAUUUUCCUAUGCUUGACCCAACAACUAUUGAUGCUCUUAAGCGUCCUGUCAGUAAUGAUGACAUUAAACGGGCGCUCUUUGACAUGGCUCCUCUCAAGGCUCUAAGGAUAGAUGGUUUUCAUGCACAUAUUUAUUAGAGUGAGUGGAAGCAUGUGGGUGCCUCAAUUUCUAACAUGAUUUUUGAAGUUUUCAAUGGUGGAUCUUUGGACCCUUAUUGGUAGAUCACUUAUUGUUUUGAUUCCAACAGGGGUGAGUGUUGAAAUUGGCCAACCAUGCUGCUGUUUGAAGUGCAUGCAGCUUGAUGACAUGCUGCAGCACGUAUACUUGCUGUAACAGCAAGGUUUUCUCUUUAGUUUCUUUGUUAAGCUACUUAGUUGAAAAUGAACUAAGUUGGUAUUGUUCUGAUGUUUUUAGGUACUGAUUGACAUAAUCAGCUUGUGUGCAAGUUAAGUUUUACUUGUUUCAAAGUAAAACUAGUGGUAGUAGGUAGUAUUUGGUGAUGUAUUUGACUAUAUAUAUAUGUUGUUUUUCUAGUUGAAUGAAUGAGCUGAAUGAGCUAUCAGCCAUAAGCUCCCUUGCUGCACAUUUGUGAGCAAGUAAAAAUAUUUUUUGCAUCUUGCUUCAUUGUUCUGUGCUCUCUGUUUUCUUCCCUUGCUCCUUCUCAUCCCCAACAAAUGGUAUCAUGAGCCUAAGUCUUAAGGGACCAUUGAUUUUGCUUCCCCUGCUCAACAGCGGCUCAAACUUAUAAGGCCCCCAAAUAAGCUUGAAUAAGCUGAAGGAGGAGUUUCAAGGAAAGGUGUGAGCUUUCCAAAUGUGCAAGCUUAGCAAGAUGUCAAAGCUGCAAGCUUAGCAAAGUGCGAGCCUGUUGAAGACACCUGCUGAAGACAAUAUGCAAAGAUGUGAGUCUGUCAAAGGUGUGAGCUCAGCAACAUGUGGAAGCUCAAUGUGUGUUGUAUAGUUGCAAGCCUGUUGAAGACAGUAAGCAAAGUGUGAGCCUGUCGAAUUGCAAGCCAAAAUGGCAGAAUGAAGGCAAGCAAACUAUACUCAUGAACUGUUUGUGCAAGAAGAAGCAAAGAAACAAGGCAAGAUGUGUUGUCAACCAAGGCUGUGAAGGAGGAGAAGACUCCAUUUGGUGAACAAAUCUUUGGCACAAAAGACUGGGAUAGUCAAGUGUGUAAGUCAGAUUUGUUGUUUGUGAAUGAAGCCAAGGUUGAAAAUGAAUUGGUCAGCUUGAAACAAAACAUCUAAGGGCUGCCAAGUUCAAAACACUUGAUGAAUGAUUGGUAUUUGCAGCAUGGAGUCCAAGGAGGAGUGUUGAAAUUGGCCAACCAUGCUGCUGUUUGAAGUGCAUGCAGCUUGAUGACAUGCUGCAGCACGUAUACUUGCUGUAACAGCAAGGUUUUCUCUUUAGUUUCUUUGUUAAGCUACUUAGUUGAAAAUGAACUAAGUUGGUAUUGUUCUGAUGUUUUUAGGUACUGAUUGACAUAAUCAGCUUGUGUGCAAGUUAAGUUUUACUUGUUUCAAAGUAAAACUAGUGGUAGUAGGUAGUAUUUGGUGAUGUAUUUGACUAUAUAUAUAUGUUGUUUUUCUAGUUGAAUGAAUGAGCUGAAUGAGCUAUCAGCCAUAAGCUCCCUUGCUGCACAUUUGUGAGCAAGUAAAAAUAUUUUUUGCAUCUUGCUUCAUUGUUCUGUGCUCUCUGUUUUCUUCCCUUGCUCCUUCUCAUCCCCAACAGUGAGUCUAGAGUCUGUAUCUCUAUAUUGGUUCAUCAACCUCUGUACUGUUCCAUACAAGAACUUUACUAAAGUUAUAGUCUACAAGUUGAAACUGGUUAUACCAAUGUUGGUUGCCCAAACUUAAUUAAAUUUUGUUCGUAGAGGUAACGUUAUUGAUAAUAUUAUUAUUUCUCAAGAUGUGAUUCAUUCCAUGCAUGCAAGAAAAGGGUGGAAAGGUUGGAUGGCAAUAAAAAUGGACCUUAAAUAAGUUUAUGAUCGAGUUUGUUGGGAUUUCUUAGAAGACUCUUUGUAUGAUGCUAGAAUUCCAAUGAAUCUGAUUAGAGUUAUGCAUUGUGUUACCUCGUUGUCCAUGCAAAUCUUAUGGAAUGGUUCAUAUACAGAAGAUUUCAAACUGACAAGAGGAUGAUUCUGUCAAGCAUGGAUUUUGGAAAUCAAUCAGGUUUAAUAGAGGAUGCCCACAUAUUUCUCACUUAUUCUUCCUAGAUGAUUUAAUCCUUUUCUACGAAGCGGACAAUAAACAAGCAAUGACUGUUAAUAAAGUGCUUAAAAAGACUAGAGUUUUUUUUCUCUACGAAUGUGACCGAAUCAGAAGCAGUUUUGAUUUGCGACCUCAUAAGUUUUCAAAAGGCUACUAAUUUGGGAAGUUAUUUAGGGGUACCACUUUUCUAUAAAAGGAUGAUUAGGAGCAUUAUUAUAGCCCUACCUCAACUUGAACCCAGUUGAGCUCUUUGUUCAGUCGCCUAAAGCCCACUGAAAGGAAUAAUUGGAUAUGAAUUCUCACUCUCCUUUAAAUCCUGAAAGAUACCACUAAAUAGGAGCUUUCUUCCAUACAAAAUCCUAAUACAUUAAGCAUUCAUCCUAAGUCGCUCUAUUUGUUCGACUUUCAACUUUAGAAUGGGUGAACCAGCCUCCUUUAACACCUCCCUUUCCUUCUCCACUUUCGUUGAUGUCAUAUAUCAACAAGCACUUUCCAAUUUGUUGUUGAUGUAGUCUAGCAAAGACUUGGUGGAUAAAAUGUACAAUUACUAUCAAUGGCGGGCUGUAUUACUUUUUCUAAGUUUGUGUUGAAAAUUUACCUCAACUACUGUAACAAAAUAAUCUAGCUGUUUUUAGCCAUUUUUUAUUUGUUGCUGAUUUUUAGAGAUUUUUUUAAAGAUUAUAAAUCUUUUAGUAGCUUAUUUUUAGUCAUUAUUUGUUGAAUUUUUUCCCAUAUAAACAUUAGUUUCCAGUUCAAUGAAACAUACGUUUUCCAUAAAAAUUACUUCUACUUUCCUCUUGCCUUUGUUGUUUUUCUUACAACAAGUUUUUCUCAAAAUGUUGGGUUUUUGACAGCAGCAAAAGAAGAGAACAGAGAGCACAGAACAAUGAAGCAAGAUGCAAGAAAUAUUUUUACUUGCUCACAAAUGAGAGAGCACAGAACAAUGAAGCAAGAUGUAAGAAAUAUUUUUACUUGCUCACAAAUGUGCAGCAAGGGAGCUUAUGGCUAAUAGCUCAUUUUGCUCAUUCAUUCAACUAGAAAAACAAUACAUUUAUAGUCAAAUACAUCACCAAAUACUACCUACUACCACUAAGUAGCCUAGUAACUUGAUAAACAUUGCUUGUAUACAUAAACAAGUCACCUAAACUAGUCAUUCAACACCUAAUGCAUCAAGUUGUCAUCAACUUGUUCAUUUUCAACUAGUUUGAUUACAAUGAAACUAAACAAAAAAACCUUGUUGUUACAGCAAGCAUAAGUGCAGCAUGUUUACAAGUUACAUGCACUUAACCAAAAACAUCACAGCAGCAUGGUUGGCCAAUUUUCAACACUUCUCCUUGGACUCCAUGCUGCAAAUACCAAUCAUUCAUCAAGUUUUAAGCUUGGCAGUCCUUAGAUGCUUUGUUUCAAGCUAGCUCUGCUCAAGCAAUUCAUUUUCAACCUUGGCUUCGUUCUCAACCAAAUCUGACUUACACACUUGACUAUACCAGUUUUUUGUGCCAAAGAUUUGUUCAUCAAAUGGAGUAUUCUCCUCCUUCAUAGCCUUAGUUGACAACACAUCUUGCCUUGUUCCUUUGUUCACUACAAUCCUAUUUCUUCUUGCAUAAACAGUUUGUAAGUAUAGUUUGUUUGCCUUCAUUCUGCCAUUUUGGCUUGCACCCACUUGAUCUUGCGUUUAGAUCGUCUGCCACUUCGGCUUGCAGUUCGACAGGCUCACACUUUGACAGGCUCACACUUUGCUUAUUGUCUUCAGCUGGUGUCUUCAACGGGCUCACAACUAUACAGUGCUCUCACCUUUAGAUGAGCUCGCACCACUUGCUGAGCUCAUAGCUCACACUUCUCGCUAAGCUCGUAGCUUGAGCUUGUGGCUUGCAUAUUUUUACUGAGCUUUCAGCUUGCACAUUGGAAAGCUCACAUACUUUCCUUGAAACUCCUCCUUCAGCUUAUUCAAGCUUGUUUGGGAGUCUCACAGGGUUGAGCUGUUGCUGUCUUCUCUACAAGCAGUCCUUAAUGACAUGCUUGUGCUUUGGCAGCUUCUUUCUUUUCAACAAGCAGCGGAAACAAAAUCAAUGGCCUUCUAAGACUUAGGCUCAUGAUACCAAUUGUUGGGUUUUUGACAGCAGCAAAAGAAGAGAAUAGAGAGCACAGAAUAAUGAAGCAAGAUGCAAGAAAUAUUUUUACUUGCUCACAAAUGUGCACAGACCUACUUGGACCUCUAAAAACUUUGUCAUUCAAUGGGAGUAAGUAUUACAUAGUUUUCAUUAAUGACUAUACUAGGAUGUGUUGGAUUUCUUUCCUCAGAUUCAAGUAAGAGGUUGCUGACAUGUUUUGAAAACUCAAGCGAUGGGCUGAAACUCAAAGUGGUUGUAAGAUUCAAUCUUUAAGGUCUGAUAAUGAAAAUGAGUACACAUCUGAUCAAAUCAAUCUAUUUUAUGAAGAAGCUACUCCAUAUACUCCACAACAUAAUGGAGUUAGUGAGAGGAAGAAUCGUACCAUAAAUGAGAUGAUCAGAUGAUUGUUGUUUGAGAAGUGCUUGCCAAAAGAGUACUGGCUGAAGCUGUACAUACUAUAAUCUUUCUACUUAACAGGCUUCCAACAAAAGCAGUGAAAUGAAAGACACUGUUUGAAGUUUGGUAUGGUUAUAAACCUUCUUUAAAAAAUCUAAAGGUUUUUAGAUGCUUGUGUUUUGUGUCUGUGCCAUAGAUCAAAAGACAUAAGUCAGACAAAAUAGAAAAAGAUAAAAUCUUUUUGGGUUACAACAAAGUUUCCAAACCUUACAAAAAUUUUUAGCCUCGUACAAGGAAAUUUUUAUAAGUAAAAAUGUGCAUAUCAUGGAGGAUGAACAAUGGAAUAGGAAAGAAGUUCGGCCAAUAUCAAUUCCAAAACAAAGUAAAAAGCUCCAGCUGAAGGAAGAUAAACUUGUUGGUGAUGUCCCUAUAAGAGGCACAAGAUCACUUUUUGAUAUCUAUCAAAGAUGCAAUGUAGCCAUUUUUUAGCCAAUAGAUUUUAGGGAAGCAGAAAAUGAUCCCAAAUGUAUAGCUGCAAUGAGAAAAGAAAUCAUCAAGAUUGAGAAGAAUCAGACUUGGAAACUUGUGAAAGAAUAUAAGAUAGAAAAGUCAUUGGAGGUGGAUUUUUAGAACCAAUUUAAGUGUGGAUGGCUUUUUCAACAAGUACAAAGCCAAACUUGUUGUAAAAGGCUAUGCUCAAAUCUUUGGUGUCAAUUUAUUUGAUAUUUUUUCACAUGUUGAUAGAUUAGACCAUCAGGUUAUUACUGGCUAUAGUUGCACAGAAGGAUUGGAAAGUGUUUUCAGCUAGGCAUUAAAUCCGCAUUCUUGAAUAACUUUCUUGAGAAGAAGAUAUAUGUUGAGAAACCUAAAUAUUUUCAAGCAAAAGGCAUGAAAAUGAAGUGUAUCAGCUCAAGAAAGCUUUGUAAGGGCUAAAGCAGGCACCUAGAGCCUGGCACAACAAAAUUGAUGACCAUUUGUUGCAACUAGGUUUUAGAAAUAGCCUUAGUGAAGUUAUUCUCUACAUUCAAGGUGAUGAAAUAAAUUUUAUAUUAUUUCACUAUAUGUAGAUGAUUUGCUAGUUACCGGAAGCAAUGAUGAAUUUGUUAAGAAGUUCAAAAGAGAUAUGCAACAUACUUUCGAGAUGGCAAACCUGGGAGAAAUGAUUUAUUUUCUGGAAAUGAAAAUCAAACAAAAGCAAAAUGAAGUGUUCAUCUGUCAAAAGAAAUAUGCAAGUGAGAUUGAAAAAGUUUAGAAUGUAAAAUUGCAAAGAAACAACUACUCUAAUGUGUCAAAAAGAAAAGUUGAGCAAGAAUGAUGAAGCUAAAAGAGUGUAUGAGCCUCUUUACAGAAGGAUGGUUGGCUCUCUCAUGUAUCUUACAAUUACUAGACCUAACAUUUUACAUGUUGUAAGUCUUCUAUCUAGAUUCACUAAUUGUGCAACUAACACCCAUUUAGAGUAGUGAAAAGGGUGAUGAGAUAUGUUAAAGGAAUGCUAAAUUUUGGAAUCAAGUUCUAUGCAAGUCAAAAAUCCUUGCUAUAAUGAUAUUUUGAUAGUGGUUGGGUUGGUUCGCCGGAUGAUAUGAAGAGCACUUCUAGUUAUUGUUUUAAUCUUGGUUCAGGGAUAUUUUCUUGGUGUUCUAAAAAGAAAUAAAUUGUGGCGCAAUCUAAAGUUGAAGCUGAGUUUAUUGCAGCUACAGCUGCUGCAAAUCAAGUAUUAUAGCUUAGGAAAGUGUUAUUCGAUAUGAAUUUAAAGCAAGAAGAGCAUACAGAAGUGUUAGUAGAUAAUCAAGCAGUUAUUACUAUCUCAAUGAUCUUGUUUUCAUGAAAAACCUAACAUUUCAAUAUCAAAUUAUUCUUUUAUAGAGAUGUGCAAAAGGAAGUUCUAGUUGAAUUAAAUUACUACAAAACUGAUCUUCAAUUAGCAGAUAUGUUUACCAAAGCUUUGCCUAAGCAAAUUUGAAUCUCUUAUAUAAAUGCUUGGAACUUGCAAAAACUAGAGUAAGGAGAAGUGUUGAAGAUCUACCUUAGCUACUUUAAAAAAAACCUAGUUAUUUUUAGUCAUUUUCAAUUUGGUGCUGAUUUUAAGAUUUUUUUUUUAGAGAUUAUAAAUGUUUUAGUAGUUUAUUUUUAGUUAUUGAUUGUUAUAUUUUUUCCCUAUAUAAACAUUAUUUUACAAUUUAAUAAAACAUCUUACCUUUGUUUUUCUUUAUAGUAAAUUUUUAAUAGUAUAUAAGAAAAUUAAUAAGAUUGUUAGAAAUUUUUAGGGGGUUCAAUAAAUGGUUAGAGAAAGGACGCUCUUGUUAAAUGGAAGAAUUGUUGCCAACCCGUUGAAAAUGGCGGUCUUGGCAUUCGAAGCCUUAUGGAUCAAAAUAAAGCAUUAUAACUAAUUCUGAUGCUUAUUGGACUAGAAUUUUGAAGAGCAAAUACAAAAUUAUGGAUGGAUGCACUCGUUCGAUAUCAAUAGCCAACUGUUCUUUUCUAUGGAGAUCACUGGAAAAAGUUUGGAAUAUAUUUAGAGAACAAACCUGUUGGUGAACUGGAAAUGGGAAACUGUGCGAUUUUGGAUAGAUGAGUGGGUGUUGGACCUGGAGAGACUUAAGGACCAUUUAAUAAUUUCGCAUACCGACUUUUGAGGAUGUUAGUCUGGCUGAUAUGGUAGAUGAUAAUGACAAUAGGAGGUGGAGUGUUUUUGCUCAUUUGUUGGACUCUUCUGCUUUACUGCACUGCGCAAUUACGUAUCCACAAUGCAACAGUCGGGAGAGGAUUUUGUGUGUGGAUAGGUUCAAACCAGAAACCUUUCACUGUUACUAACGCUUAUAAAAUGAUUGCACAAGCCAAUUUUGAUAUGAAAGAUAAUUUUUGGGAGAGAAUUUGGAAAUUACAAAUUCCUCAACGCGUCAGAUGCUUCCUUUGGUUAACUAUGAGGAAUCGACUCUUAACUAAUCAGGAACGUAGAAGGCGCCAUCUUUGCUUUGUGCCAUAUUUGUGGAGAGGACCAAGAGACCAUCCUACAUGCUUUACGCUACUGUUAUAUUGCAAUGUCUAUCUGAUCAAGACUUGUUUUCGUUGAAGGUAAACAAAGUUUCAUUUCCUUGGAUUUGGCUAACAGGUGGAUGGAUGGAACUGAUAAUAGGUAUGGUUGGAGUGUAGAAUCUAUUUCAUGGCAUUUUCUUUUUCCAAUUAUUUGCUGGUAUAUAUGAAAAAGGCCUAGGAAGUUUAUCUUUGCAGAUCAGUCUUACAAUACAGAGGAGUUAAUUAAGCAAAGUUGGUGUUUGACCAAACAUGCCGCUCAUGUUUCACUAUUGGCAUCGAUUAGAGGAUGAUUCAAAUGAUCAGAAGUGUUGGAUCUUGCCUCCAUCUGGUUGGAUAAAGAUUAAUGCAGAUGGAGCGGUAGCUUCGAAUUUUUCUUAGGCGGGUUGCUGCUGGAAUUCUAAGGGAUGAAUUUGGCAAUUGGAUCGUUGGUUAUUACAGAUAUGGGAGUCGGUUCAGCCUUACAAGCAGAACUUCUAGUAGUUUGGGAGGGUUUGAAUAUUUCAUGGCAAAGAGGUUACAGAAAGGUGGUGGCGGAGAGUGAUAAUGAUGUGGUGGUUUAGCUGAUAUCUGGAAAUUCGAUGGAGCGAUGUUCACCAAGUCUGGUACGGAAUAUUCAGGAGUUUUGUCGGUGUAGUUAGGAAGUUGUUGGGGAUGAAGAGGAGCAAAUGAAGAAAACAGAGAGCACAGAACAAUGAAGCAAGAUACAAGAAAUAUUUGUACUUGCUCACAAAUGUGCAGCAAGGGAGCUUAUGGCUGAUAACUCAUUUGCUCAUUCAUUCAACUAGAAAAAACGAUACAUUUAUAGCCAAAUACAUCACCAAAUACUACCUACUAUAAGUAAUCAUACUUUGAAACAAGUAAAACUUAACUUGCACACAAGCUGAUUAUGUCAAUCAACACCUAAAAACAUCAAAACAAUACCAACUUAGUUCAUUUUCAACUAAGUAGCUUAACAAAGUAACUAAAUAACCUUGCUGUUACAGCAAGCAUACGUGCAUGCAGUAUAACAGUAGCAUGGUUGGCCAAUUUUCAACAGAAGUUGAGGUUCUAAAGAUUUCCCUUGAAUCGAAUAAAGCUACUGAUUUCAUGUCUAAAGUUGGUACAACUCAUGCUGCAGAAGUUAGAUGCUUUGAGAACCCAAUCCCAAGCUGCUGGAAGAUAAUUUGAUCAAUUAAAAGGCAUAAAAAAACAAAACCAAGUAAAAAAAAUUUCAUGCAUUCAAGUCCUAAUCAUACCUCAUGUUCAUCCACAUUCAAACUAUUCAAACUAUCCUUAUAAAUUCAUAUAAUAACCCAAGAUAAAGUUAAACAGAACUAAGAAUAAUGCAUGCCAGACCGUCUUAGCACUUAUGCGUAUUUCUGAUGGAACCUUUACCAUAAAACAGGUGCUUUGGUAUCAAUGUAGGAAUAAUCCUAUCAGACUCUCCACAACAAGAUUUUUUUUCCUCUUCUUAACAGAUUCCUUUGCCAAUUUAAUGGCCUUCACCUUUUGUGCAGAAUCCUUCAAGCUCUCUCCCACUGCUACUUUACUAGCUAGUCGUGACCUUAACCGAAAUGUAGACCUCCCACAGAGCUUUUUGCUUACUUGUUUGCCAUCUAUAUCCAUAGCACCCUAGCACUCCCUUUUCUGACACCUUGACUUGCUACUAGCACGGUUAAUUGCAAGAGGGGGAUCAAGCCCCAAACAAGAUAACUGAUUGCUCAUCCUCUCUGUUGUGAACUUUCUAUCUGUGUCAAACUUUCUUGGUAUAAAGGGUCGACUUUCUCCAGUGCUUUUCUUCAGCCUAUGUUGUUGAAUAAGCAAGCUUUUCUUUUUCCUAAUCUCAGCUAGUGCUUAUUUCUCUUCCAGGGAUCAUUCUUGACCUUCCAUCUCAAAGUCAUCACCUUCCUCCUCUACUUACCGAAGACCCUCUUCACGUUCCAACUCUUCAAGCCUUAACAAAAUAUCAGUGUCAAUAAAGUUGUACAAAUUGUGACCAUCAACAAUUUUAGUCAUUAUAUCCUCUUUCGAUUCAUUAUUUUCCAAGACAUAGUUCUUACUUAAACUAGCAGAAUAAACACCAGUGCCACCAUUUUCAUCCUCCAAAUUCUUUUCAAUUUUCUCCGCAACUUGCUUAACUUUAGCUUCCAAAACUGCUUGAGGUAUGCAAAGAGGUCUUUUCUUCUGAUCAUGUGGUUUCCGUAAUACAACAUGAAACCUAUUAAGGUAGUAGUUCAUCUUUUAUUUUAUUUCAUCUUCAACUCAACCCUUUGAUUUAAUAACCCUUCGUAGGCUGCAUUCUUCACACCAAUCACUCCAUCCUCAAUCAAAGUGCUCAUAAUCAAUAACACCCCUUCACCUCCUUGACCAAUCAAAGUGCUCAUAAUCACUUUGAUUUAAUAACCCUUCGUAGGCUACAUUCUUCACACCAAUCACUCCAUCCUCAAUCAAAGUGCUCAUAAUCAAUAACACCCCUUCACCUCCUUGACCAAUCAAAGUCUUCAUGGCUUCAGCUUUUAUCUCCAUGAUCAAUUUCUUGUCUUCCUCAGAUAUGCCAUCCAAUGGCUACAAAUUAGUCUUAUUGCAAACAAUAUCAAGGGUUUAUGAUGGGCAUCAAAACCACUAAAAAUAAUUUUAUACAAUUAAAAUAACUCUAAACAGUAGUAAAGAGUAGUAAGGUCGAGUCCAUAAGGAUUGAAUAUUAUGAUAAACUUCCGUAUUUUUCUUAUGAACAGAAUUCCAGUUGAGCCAAUAAUCGUGACAAUAGUCAUGUUCACGACUCCAAACGGAUCUGCUGAAAAAUAAAUUAAAUAAAUUAGGGCAGUUUGAAAUUUCUAGAAAUUUAAUAAUUGGGAGAGCAGAAAUAAACAAUUAAAGAAAUUAGAAAUAAAAUAAAAUUAUAAAUUAAAUUUGAAUUUUGUGAAUAGAAAUAAUAAGCCUUAGCCCUAGACUCGGUGAAUCUGGUCUCUGAGUCGAUCCUCGAAAAUGACUUUUCUCCUCCAAACAAUAAGCUGGUUAUAGCAACUAAUAACGUCCUAACCACCAAUUCUUCCUCUCAUAAUUGAUUUUGGUACGCCCUGCAAACCAACCCUUACCAAUUUUUUAAUCACGAUACACGCAUUCGCAAUUCAAGACUUCGGUAGCCUUGCAUUCCGACGAACUCAACUCGGAUUGACGGCCUCAAAUGCAUGGGACGUUUAAAUUCGAUCACUAUCUCCCUUAAUUUGUUCAUGAAAAUCCAAAUAUAGCACGGCUGACUCGUCUUUCCAACUGUACGCCAAAACGACUCCAACUCAACGCACUUUUUGAAUUGAAAUCAAGUUAACUUAAGGGGUGAAUUUGUUAAUCCCGAUAUUCCGGAGAGAUUGUGAAUAUCGAUUUGAAAGAUUUUUAGUGCGUAUACGUUUCUCACGAUUCCUGACCAGAAAGAAUACCGGCCUAAAAGUAAUUUGAAUUUAGUGAAGCAUGAAUUUAAUAAUGCUUUGAUUGGUUAUGAAAUUGGAUUUGGAUGGAAAUAGUGAUAGAUGAUAAGGGGAGGGCUUGGGAAACAAUUAAACCAAAAAUUGAAAUAGAAACAAAGUUGGCAGGAUGCAUGCAGAUCUUUCAUGCAAAAUAAGAAAGAAAAUAAAUCUAUUUCUAUUCAAUUGUCAGGCAAAUCAAGGUGUGUUUUUUCAACUUCACAAUACACCAUAUUUAUAUACAAAUUAUAUGCUAAAAUUAGGCUAAUCCCACCUACCCACAUGAAAUAAAAUAUCAUUUUUUUUCUAAAUUUAGUUUUUACAAGGUCAAAAAUCUGAUUAAUUCUUAAAUAUCCCCAAAUUUUUGAUUUAAUUGUUCAUGCUCCAAUUGAAUUCUUUUCUAUUUGUUUUUACAUUAAAGCAUCCGAAUUUCGUUCCUGGCAAGAUUUAAACAUAAAAUUCACCAAUUAACAGGAAUUAAUUCAAGAACAAGUUGAUUUGAGCACAUAAAAUAUGCAAAAUAAACAUGCUAUCGAUUUAUUCAUAAACUAAGAUUUAAUGUUGUGAAAAAGAGCUGCAUGUUGGGCAAUGUUGUACCCACAUGACCCAGAUACAUCCAGAAAGAACAACACUGCAGCUCGUAGGCUAGCCAAUGCUGUAAUGCUGAACCUCUUGUUUCGAUCUUUGAAAGGCCUGUCCAAAAUUCCAGGGGUAUCAAUUACUUGAUAUCCAAGGUACUUAUAAUCCGUAUGACCCACAAAGAGUGACUUGGCAGUGAAAGCAUAAGGCUGAACAUCCACAUUAGCCCUAGUGAUUUUGUUCAUAAAUGAACUCUUACCAACAAUAGGGUACCCACAAAUCAAGAUGAUUCGAGUAUUUGGAUCAAUAGAUGGCAACCUAGUCAUAUUUUGCCUAAUCUGCUCAAGGUAGGCCAAACUAGGGGCAAUCCUCUUUAUCACAAUACACAUACGACCAAGUGCAGCAACCUUGAGUGACUUUCACCGAUAUAACGAGUCACCAUACUUUAACAGCUUGACAUAAUCUUUAGUAAUCUUGCUAAUGAGAUUCCGAGCAGUAUUUAUCCGGCCGAGAGCAAGCUUGUAGUGAUCCUUGUUAUAAAGGGCAUGAAGAAGAUCGCCAUAAAAUGGAUGGAUAUCAUCAAGGUGAGGUUUGAAUUAACUGAAAAUUUUCCUUGAGGGUUUUGUGUUUUUUUAAUAGCUGACUAGUUUUAAUUGUAUCAUACUAGACUAGAAUUAACUCCCCAACUUCGUUUGGGUUUGUUUAUAAUUUUUUUAUUUCCAAUUAGUUAAUAUUAUAUAUGUAUAUUUGUGUGUGUGUGUGCCCGCGCGCGCGCGUGUAUGUAUUCAUAGGCCAAUUAGCAAAUCCAACCCUCAAAGCCUUUGCAUAACUCAAGUCUCAUAAGCAAAAUCCCUCGUGAAGUGCUAUUAAGGGUAAGGUUUGAGAAAUUUGGAUGGGUUUAGUAACAGUAUAAGAUUAGAAAAAUAGGUUUAGGUAUAAGAAGUUAGAGUAUUUAAAAUAUGGGUUGGGCUCAAAAUUUUGAUUCGUUUUUAAAAUUUAUAAUAUAUUAUAUUAUAUUAUUUUUAUAUACUAUGUAAUUUAUAACACAUAAAAAUUAAAUUUAUGAUAAUAUAUAAUAGUAUAAUGUAAACAUUAGAUUUGGACAACAUUUUAAUCGACCCAUAUUUUUGGUCAACCCGGGAUUGAAAAGGAUAAAAUAAUAUUUUUAAAAUAAUAUAAAAACAUUAUAAUACUAGAUAAUAUAGAUUUCAUUCCGAAAUUUUUUUAAAAUUCUUUAAAAAUUACAAAACUCUCUCAAACAAUGCCUAUGAAAUGAGUGCAAUAAUACAAGGAAAAAUGACAAAGAAGUAACACAACAAAUCUGCACAAAACACUUCCAAAAAAGAAAUUAUUUUAUGGAUCAUUCCUAUCACAUCAUUCAUAGUCCAUUUUUUAACUUGAACACAAAACCCAAAACCUCAAACUUGAAUCUCGAAUCCUAAACCUCAAAACCCAAACCCUAAAUUAAAGUUUAGAGUUUAGGGUUCGAGUUCGAGGUUCGGGUUUAAAGUUCAAGGUUUGAGAUUCGGGGUUUAGUAUUUGAGUUUAGAUUUUAGUUCAAGGUUUGGGGUUCAGAGUAAAAAGAAAAUACCAAAAAUAUGUAUCAAUGACAUGGAAAUAUUAUUGAAAUGUCAUUAAAUAAUUAGAAAAAAAUCAUAGAUGUUGUGAUAGGAAGAAUCCAUAAAAUAAUUUAUCCUUCCAAAAAAUGCAUCUUCACCAUGCAAUCUGCUACCUAUUUAUAGGCUCAAUACGGCAGCCUCUUCUUAUAGUAUACAAGUAGAGAUAAAAACAUCCUUAAGCAAUUAUCAAUUUCGAUUUUAAUAAUUGAUUUUAAAAUUCUUAAACUAUUACACAUUUAACGUUCAAAAAAUAACAUAAAAAUUUAAAUACAAUAUAAAAAAUAAUUUAUCAAAAUUUUUAUACACUCUAAAGUUUGAUAAAUUUAAAACACUAUUAACAACAUAAUAAUUAUAGAUAAAUAAUCUCCAAAACUUAUCUCAAGAUAAAUUAUGAUUAAUCAAGAAACAACACAUAAUUCACCAAGAAAAGAGGCUAAAGGAUAAAUGUAAGCCUUAUUGGAUAAGGCAUGUGGAUAUCAAUCUUCCUUUAGCCAUCAAUUCUGAUCUCAAAGGUUUGAGACAACAUAAAAUACAUCCUAAGAUCCAUUAUGGUAAAAACAUAUGUGAAGGCCUAAGUAAAAAAUGUGAAAAUCAAAAAAUACUUAGGUUGCCCCAAAAGUUUAUAAGUUUAAACAUGUUGUUUAAAUAGGCUAUUUAAACAGGGUGUUUGAAUUAGAAUUGAAACUAUCCUAACAAUCUUCUCUUUUGACUUUUUGACAAAACGUAAGCAAAUGGUACACUCCCCUAUCACCAUGCCACAAACACACAUGAGAUCAAAUAUAAAUUGAAUAAGUAACUCAAGAAAGAUGUUAUAUACAUCAUCAGAAAAAUAGCAGCAUAAAGGUAGAAACAUAGCAGAAAAAUCAUAAAACUAAUAAGCUCCCCCUAAACUUCAGCAUGAAACAGAAAAAUUAAUAGCACCAACCUAUAUAACUAGCAAUAAAUAGCAUUAGAAGGCAGAGAUAGACCAUUAGCAAUAGAUAGCACAAACUCCCCCUUACACCAGUACCAUAGCAACCAAAUCCAUUCGCUCAUCAGCACCAUCCUCCAUUUCACACAGGAGCAUAAAUAAAUAUCUCCAAAGUAGCAAGAACAAGAAAACUUCAUAACAGUAUUCAAAAAUAGCUCAACUCCUCCCCCUAAAAACAAUAAACAUCAACCACAAAAAUAACAGCCCAUCAAACAUCAACAACCAAAAAAGUAACAACACAUCACACUCAAACUCCACUUAUCAAAAACACACCAUACUCCCCCUUGUCAAGGUGUCUUCUCAAUGAUACUUAUCAACUCAACAAGCUGGAGUCCUUCUCAACAAUGCUCUUUUCUCAAAAUGUUAUUUCAUCUGUUCGAUCUUCUAUUCAAGCGUCUAUUCGAACAGGUAUCUCAUUAGGUUCAUCUCCAGGUUUGUUUCAACUAAUGCUUCAUCAGCUUGUUGUGUUAAGGAGUCUAUAAAACGGUCAAUUUGAUCAUCUUGUGCAUCUUGAUUGAGUGGAGGGAGAUUUUCUUUGACAAUUUCAUUGGUCUAAACAUUUAUUACCUCUUCUUCAAAUAUUUCCAUGGAAGAAGAAGAGGUUCCAACCUUUUUCUUUACUGCUCAUUUCACUCAAGCCAUUCUGAACCAAGAAAGCAAGUUUGUAUUUCUUGAAAGUGUAAAGAAAGUUAAUCAAGAGGAAAUAGCAGUUGAGAAAAGAAAAUAAAAGUCACAGGGCAAAAGGUUUUCCCUUUUAUAACUGAAGAGGGGUAUUUAAUGCCAACUCAACCACCGAAAAGCACCCUUAAUGCCGCCCCUAAAAAUUCUCCAUGGGAUAAAAAUUAGCCAACAUGAGAUAAAUUUGGCGCUAAAACCAAUAAAAUAAAUAGGAGCAAAUGUAGGCACUGAUAAGGUAAUGGUUGUGCCCUUCUUUAUACUUUCGAGAGAUUCAUAACAGACUACAAAUGCUCCUCUUAGCACUUCAAAUCUUUUUGCACCAAGACUCUUGAUAAAUUUAUCAGCCAGCUGGUUUUCUACUGAGAUAUAUUGAAGAAUAUCCCUUUUUUAUUCAAUAGGCUUUCGUAUAAAGUGAUGCUUGAUAUCUAGAUGCUUCAUUCGAGAGUGCAACACAGGGUUUUUGGAGGUUUUUUUUUUUUUGCAUUGGUGUAAUCACAAUAUACUGUCAAUACCCUUAUUCGGACAAUUAUCUGGUCACCUGUUUGAAAAUUUGUUGUUUGAAAACUUGUUUGAAGACCAUAGUUAGAUAAGACAGAUGCUUACUUGCAUUUUCAUUGCUUACCAAUCUGUAACAGUUAUCAAAUUACACAUUGUCCACUAGCAUUGAUGACUUCCCAACCUCCUUUCGAAAAAUUUACAUGGUAGCCUUGAUCACAUUGUUGGCUAACACUAAUCAGAUUAGCCUUGUGAACGUUUUGAAGUUUAGGCAACCCCUCACCAUCUAAACAACCUUUUCCAAUGAUUCUCCCUUUUGUACCAUCACUAAAAAGUGACCUUCUCAACAUCACAUUUUAGAACGUCCUUCAAGAAGCUAUUCUCUCAUGUCAUAUGCCUGGAAAAUCAGAUGUCAAAGUACCAAAUCUCCUUAGUCACAGCUUUCAAGUAUGUACCAAAUCUCCAAAUCAUGACUUUAACGGAAUUAGAAUAAGAUUGAGAAAAUAAUUUAAUUAAGUGAAUUAAUUAAAUUUAUUUUAAUUAGUUAAAUAAAAAAUAUUUUGAGAAUAGAAAAUUAGUUAUUGGGUUGGAUAACUUAUAUGAAUUGGUUUAAAGACCAAGAAAAAAAACAUGAUUGUACACAAUAUAUGAGAGGCCUAUCUAGUUUGUGAUUGGCGGCAAUCCCAUAGAAUGAAUUAAUUUUUCCCAUUGGAAAACUAACAGUUUUCAUUAUGUGAAAUUGGUUCGUGAAUUUAGAGCCUACUCUCUAAGUAAACCAAGGAUUCGACAAUAGCAGAAAAAAUUGUGUUGGUAGAAAGCCAUGAAAGACCAUGUCUGCUUUGCCCAAAAUAAAUGUAUUAAUUUGGUGAAAGUUUAUUGCUACAAAUAACCUAAAGGCUCAAUUCUAGAAAACAAUUAAUUUUUUGUUGUGCAACAAAACGUUUUUUAAAUCAAUUUUUUUCUAACGAUACCAACAUAUUCAUCUUUAAAUACGAUGUCAUUAAUUCUUAAUUGCCGCCCUCUGGUCAAGCUCAACAUCCUCAAAGAAUGGGCGUUAGCCGUUUUAAAAAUAGUCUUAGUAGUGAGAUCAUAAAAUUUGUAAUGCCUAAAUCUUUCAAAGUGUCAACAAUCAAAGGGACCAAGAAUAUCGUCGAACACAAGUUCUCAGUUCUUUUUUUAGAGAAAUGACCUUAUCUCUUGCGCCACAACAAAACCAAAUUCUCUGUUGUCAAUUUGUGUUUUUUACCUAUUACGAUAAUAUGCAAAGGUUCAUCAAAUGAAAACAAAGUAUCCAGUAAAUAUAGAUUAUCAUAACCUAAUAAAGAAUCAAAACCAAUCAAAUUUGAAUUAUGAAAAAGAUUAAAAUUAAAAUUUCCAAAUGAACAAGAAUAACUUAAUUUAUCCAAUGAUGUAAUGGAAACCAAGUUUCACCUAAAAGAUUAUACAAGUCUCAUUCAAAUCCAAAUAAAAUCUAGUUCUUAAUAAUAAUAAUCUAAAAGUUCCUAUUGCUUCAACUUUUACCAUAUUACCAUUGCCUAGUAGAUGUAUCUUUCAUCAUCAUUUGACUUUCAGUUGUUCUAGCAACGUUGCAUAGACACACUAAUGUAAGUUGCUAUGCUGAAAUCUAUCCACCAAGUGUGUCUAGGUACAAAAUUCAAAUUAACCUCAGAAUAAACAAAAUUAAGAAGUGCACCUAUAAAAGCACCACAAGAGAAAUAAUCAUCCUUAGUUGAUUUGUUUCUUUUGUGAUGUUGUAAUUAUAGCUUUCUUAUUUUUCUUUGCAUACUUCAUUGAAAUUAGAUUUGUGAAGAACAUAUAAAUUUCAGCAUAUUCAUUCUUAACAAACCUCUUUUCAAAGUCGCUCAUGAAUUCUUUAAUCGUGGUAAUCUUAUCUAGCAUAGUGCCUUUAAAUGUUUUUGGAAUGACAUUCUUCCUGAUCAUCAUACACAUGCAAUUUGAUCUCUCCCACCUUUUUCAUUAGAGGUACUCUCAUAUAUAAGCAAUGGACAAGAAUCAACCUUUAAUGCAAGGUCGAGACCCAUGAUUCUGAUUCUCUUGCCAUAACUUGAAUCAAACAAAACAAUCUCACGUAAGACUUCAAAUAUAAAACAAAAUAAUAAUUAAUUCGAAGAAAAGUAAACCCUAAGAUACCAAUCACUCCAUUAAUAUUUCAUCUUUGGACAAAUAUAUUAACUUGUAAGUGAUAUCUUGAUGUAGUAAUUAAACACUGACAAUAAGCAUUACAUGUUUAUUACAAUAGUUGCGAAUGUAAUGUUGUUAAAUAUUAGCAUUCUUUUGGGCCAAUCAAUAAUAACAUAAGUUACAUGCACACAACCCAAAAAUAUAAAAACAUUAUUGUUAUUUCAAUAUAUUUUUAAAUUUUUAAAUAUAUUUUUAAAACUUAUGAAUUUUUAAAAUUUUUAGAAUUAUCUAAAUAGUAAACCCAUCGAAUCAAAGAUCAUAUUGAUUAAAUUUGAUCAAAUCAAAAAUUAAUUAUUUUACUAGUUCAAUCACCCGUCCAAUUUUAAAUAUCAUAUAAUAAAGUAAUUCAAUCACCCGUACACUUUAAAUUGUGAUAAACCAUAAAACUAAAAAAAAGGUUACAACAAAUAUGAUUAAUAUUAUUUUUUAUAUAUACUUAAUAAAAGUUAGAAAGGGAAUUCCAUUUAUUGAAUUGUAUUUAUUUAAUAAAAUAUGAUUACUAUAUUUUAUAUAAAAUUGAAAUAUUUUAUUGAAAUAGUGUUAGCUAAAUUUUAUUAUUUUUAUUUCUUUACCAAUAAAUUAAUUUUACUAAAAUUUGAGAUAAAAAGAUAUUAUAGAAAAUUAAAUUAGUAAAAAAUGUACUUCAUAAUUUAUAAUUAUUAUAAAUGAAAAUUUAUUAUAAAAAUAAAUAUUAAAUAUAAAAAAUUAAUUCUACAACAAAUUUAAUUAUUAUAAUGACAUAUUUUUAUAAGAGAAAAACAAAUAUUAUAGAAAAGACAUUGAUAUAUUUCCAAGUUUGGACGCUCAUAAAAAAAACAAAAAAAAGGGUCCAAUAAUUUAUUUAUAGGGAAAAAAGUGGUCCUAUUAAUUUACCUCACAUUUGAAAUGUGUUAUAUGUAAUAAUAUUAAUACCUUUAUCAAUUUUGGAGGUUCAUCCUUUCCCAUCUCUAUAAAUUCGCAUCGAGAAAUAAACCAAUACAUCAACACAAUCUAUAUAACCAUGAAAACCACGACAGCUUCAGUGUUUCUUCUUUUCAUCAUCUUCUCAGUCACACCAUCAUCCUUUUUGUUUGGUGUGGCCAACGCUACAAACGAACCUGUGCUCGACACUGAUGGCAACGAAGUCCAAACAGGCACCGAAUACUACGUUGUGUCGGCGAUAUGGGGUGCUGGUGGUGGUGGGCUUGCCCUAGGCUGGCCUAGCGAAAACCCAUGCCCUGAAGUCGUUGCUCAAAGCCGAUCUGGUGACGAUGGUAUUCCGGUGAUAUUUUCUAAUUUGGACUCCAACGAUGGCGUUGUUCGCCUAUCCUCUGACAUAAACAUAGAGUUCAUUCCCCUCAGACCCAGACUUUGCCCAACAACAACGGUGUGGAAGGUCGAUGAUUACGACCAUUCAGCCGGAAAAUGGUGGGUGAUAACCGAUGGGGUUACAGGGAACCCAGGUGCCAACACUUUGACCAGUUGGUUUAGAAUAGAGAAGGGGGGUGCUCUUGGUUACAAAUUGAAGUACUGCCCCGCAGUAUGUGGAACAUGCCCCGCCUUAUGCAACGAAAUUGAGAGGGGCUUUGAUGGAGAAAUGGUACGUUUGGCUCUCUCCACUGGCAAUGGAUGGCCAUUUAUCUUUAAGAAAGUUGGAAAAUCAGCCAUGGAGAUUCAACAAGUUGUUCAUAAUUAGAUUGAAAGCAAUCAUUAUGCAUGAACUAGUAGUUACUACUUAAUAUUAGCUUCAAGUAAAUAAUGCUGAGAGAACUUAUUGUUAAGAUUGCCUUGUUUGAAGCGGCAGCAUGUAUAUAUAUAUAUGCUUGCUCACAAGGUUUGUCUCUCAGAGUCCUCCUCUUUGUAUUCUUUUCAGCUUAAUGAAUAAACUAUUUACUUAUUUACUUCUUUUGUUGCCAUUGAUUCUAGUUGCAUUCGACUCAUUAACUUGGAUACAUUACCUUGUAAUUAACCAAAAACUUAUGUGUGUAUAUAUAUAUAUCAAAACAAAAAAAAAAGAGUGAGAGAGGAAAAUAGACUACCAAGUACCAAGUGAAAAAUGGUGAUACUAAAUUUCCAGAUAUAUGGCGUUGUUUGUGUGUGACAAACACCAAGUAUAAAUAGGUGGAAGUAUGACUACUUAUCAAGAGUGGUAUGGCUCAAAAACUACCCUCAUCGAAUUAUUUCAUCGUACUCAUUCAUUAUCAAUAGGAAGAAGGAUACUUCCAACAAGAAAUAUUUUGAAGGGUUAGUGUUGAGUUAGCUAAAAAUCAAAGUUUAUCAGAAGCUCGAUCUAAAAUUCGCCAAAAGGAAGAUUAUUCAAAGCAAUUUCAAUGGACAAUGGGAAUGGAAUAGUCUUUGAGUGGUUAGGGCACCUUAUCUUUUGAGAUAAAGAAGGGUUGGUCCAUGUUGGAGUUCGUGACUAACCCUUACAACAAUGUCGUUUUCAAAGUUUGAACCUGUGUCAUCCUUUGAACAUGUAAUUUGUCUUACCAUUACACCUAACAUUGUUGGUGAUUUACUUUAUUAUAUUUUUAAUUAAUAAUUAUGAUAUAUAGUAUAUUUAAGAUGGAUUUUCUUAUUCAUGUAUAUCAAUUGAAUAAAAUAUUUGUAUUUAAAAUUUUAACUCGACAUAUCAAAGGUCUGCUACUCUAGCACGUCUCUGAUCUGCUGCUCUAGCAUGUUUUGGUUUUUUUAGGGUUUUUUUUUUGCUUAUUUCUCUUUGUUCUGGCAAUGACAGUUCUUGGGAUAGAGUAUUUCUUCUCAAUCUUGUUGAUUUUGAUUCGUGGCAAUGGAGGAUGAAUUGGCAGAGUUAACAUUGAAAGAUGAGGAAUAGGAGAUUUGGCUAGUACAGAAGGAAACUGAUUUUGCGACAGUGGUUUAAGAUCUUUGUCCGGUUGGAUGCUUUCUCACAACGAGUGUAAUCCACUUACGACAAUGAGAAGCGCGACUGUGAAUCUAUGGUAUCCUCUUAGAGGAGUUUAGAUCUCUAAUUUGGGGGAUAAGAGGUUAUUAUUUCAAUUUUUUCAUAAAAUGGAUAUUGAUAGGGUACUAAAUGGGGAUCCAUGGACUUUCAAUAAUCAUCUUUUGGUGUUUCAUUUUUUGGAGGAUGGUGAGGAUCCAAUGAAGGUACCGCUAAUCUAUACGACUUUUAGGGUACAAGUGCAUGAUUUACCCCCAGGGUUUUUACUGAAUAUAUAGCAAAGAAGUUAGGUAAUUUUAAGGGUAAGGUUUUUAGAUCAAUGGCAAAAGCUUGGGUAAGGGCCUCAAGAAUUUCUUACAUAUACGGGUUUAGAUGGAUGUUAGACGCUCUUUAAAGCAAAAAAAGAAGAUUAUGUUUUCACUUGGGAAGUGUUCCUAUGUCAACUUGAUAUACGAAUGACUAACUCUGUUCUAUUUCUUCUAUGGUUGUUUGGGACACAAUGACUCUUUCUGUUAGGUUAGAAUGACUAAAGGAUUAGAAGUUUUAGAGAUGGGAUGGUAUCUAUCUCUAAAAGCCCAGUCUAGGAGAGUUGCUACGAUAAACAGUGUGUGGCUGCGGGAGGAAGGUGAAGGGGAGAUAAGGGGAAAUACCCUAAGGCAUUUUGAUUUGGGGUAGGGACUGUGGGAGGAUGGAAGGAAAGAAUCUAGGAUGCCCAUAGAUCCUGUGUUGGGGUUAAAUUUGGAGGGUGAUUUGAAUAUAGUGUCGGGUAUGCAAGGGGACUCUUCAAACAUAAAGGAUCAUUUGAAUAUGGAUCACGACUCGGAGAGGUGGAGAUGGGAAAAAAAGACCCAAAAAGGAUAAUAAAAAUCAUAGUGUUUCGAUUGUGAUAGAUUCACUUGUGAUUAGAGAUGAGAGAUCGUUGGGACGAACUCACUUUUUAUCGGCGGCUGCCAGGGGCAAGAUGAUCGGUCGCAAUGAAAAUAAUUAGUUGGAACGUCUGUUGAUUGGGGUGUCCACGAGCUAUAAGAAGGCUUCGACACAUGCUGAAGGUGUAUAAUCCCCAAGUGGUCUUCUUUAUGGAGACAAAAAUUAGUAAUGUGCAAAUGGAGAAUGUGCAUAGAAGGUGUGGAUUUUUAAAUGGUAUUGAUGUUUCUGCCGAUGGUUCAAGAGGAGGUCAUUUUUUAGCUUGGAAGAAAAAUGUUAAAACGAAUUUAAGGAGUCAUUCUAGUAGUCAUGUAUAUGUUGUAUUUUAGGAGACUGAUAAUAGAGGUUUACUGGCUUCUAUUGGACAUCGAAUACGCGUAGCAGAGACAAUUCAUGGAAUUUGUUAAGAAAUCUAGGACGCUCUCAGGAGUUCCCUUGGCUAGUGUGUGAUAAUUUUAAUGAAAUUAUGUACUCUUUUGAAAAGUUAGGGUGCCAAGAGAGGAGAGGAGAAUGGAGGUCUUUCGAGGAGUCUUAGAGGAAUGUUAGUUAAUGGACAUUGGAUACUUUAGGGCUUGGUUUACCUGGGAAAGGGGAAACUUACCGAAAACGAAUAUGAGAGAGCGACUAGAUAGAGGAGUGGUGAAUGUCGAAUGGAUGAACAUGUUUUCUAGUGCAGUGGUUUAGCAUUUACCACAUUCUUUUCCAGAUCAUUGUCCCCUUCUUAAUUAUACGGAGCAGGAGAGUAUUAGGUUGAGGCAGAAAAGGUUUCAGUCUGAGGCAUGGUGGGUAAUGUAAGAAUCUUUUAAGGAGGAGGUUAAACAAACAUGUCAAUCUACUUCGGGUGAUAUGUUGGCUAGGCUAGAAGGUGUGAGGAAGGGCUUGCUGAGAUGGGUGGGUUUUGUUAGAAAUAAAAGAGAGGGCCUUAAGAAGGAACUGACUAGAAAAUUAGAGGAGAUGAUGGGAAAGGAUAGAGAUGAUGAGAAUAUUGUUGAACUAUCUUAAGAUUCUCUUGUCAUAACUUGAAGUUGGUGUCAUUUAAUAUAAGAAUACAAUUAAUGCCUGCAAUAAUGUUGGCAGGUAUAAUCAUUGUUGUAUCAAACAAAACAAUCUCACGUAUGACUUCAAAUAUAAAACAAAAUAAUAAUUAAUUCAAAUAAAGGUAAACCCUAAGAUACCAAUCACUCCAUUAAUAUUUCAUUUUUGGACAAAUAUAUUAAGUUGUAAAUGAUAUCUUGGUGUAGUAAUUAAACAUCGACAAUAAGCGUCACAUGUUUAUUACAACAGUUGCAAAUGUAAUUUUGUUAAAUAUAAGCCUCCAUUUAGACCAGUCAAUAUUAACAUAACUUAAGUUACUUGCACACAACUCCAAAAUUAUAAAAGUCCAAUUGUUAAACCGAUUUGGUUCCUUUAAUAUAGGAAAGCCGAAUUGCAUAAACAAUCAAUGUAUCCCCUAUUUUAUUCAUGUUUAUCACAAUGUUUGGAGUGCUCACUCUUUUAGGGUGUGCUUACCAUUUAGGUUAAAAAGCAUCAUUCAACCCAAACAAUUUUUUAAAACCAAACAUUAAUUUUAAACUAGCAUUUUAGGCCAACCCAAAACUUCUAGCUUUUACCUUUCGGAAAGGUGCUUUUCAAUUAAAAACCUUUUUAUUCCUCAUUAAAUCUUCUUAUUUAUAACAUAAUGUCUAAAAUAGAAAUUUUAUUUUUCUAAAAACACUUAUAGACAACAAUAAUGUUAAGUAUAACUCCUAUUUUUAGUCAAAUUUGAAAAAUAAUCUUUUAGUUAAACUCUGUUUAUUUAUUUCAAUCAAACACUGAUUAGUUUAGAUUAUUUUUUUAUUAUUUGACAUAUGAAUUUAGCCUAUAAAUAGGCUCUUUUACAACCUUAGAAAUAACACCCAUUAGAGAUUAGAACUCAUAACACAUUUAGAGAAUUUUGUGUUUACGUUUUGAGAGUUCUUUGUUUUCGGGUUUUCGGGGUUUAGUUUUAUCUCUAUCUUUUAUACUCUUCGUUCUUUUGCCAUUAUAAUAAAAUUAUCUUUGCCCGUGAUUUUUUAUCCUCUUUGGAGGAGUUUUUCCAUGUUAAAUUUGUCUGUUCAAUUUCUCAAUUUAUUCUGCUAUUUUUGUUACUUGUUGCUUAAUCGGGCCGAUCCCUAACAAGUGGUAUCAGAGCUAGUUCAAAGAUCAGCCCAUUUAGAUAUGGCAACAACAGGGUUUGAAAUUGAGAAGUUCGAUGGUGAGACAAAUUUCAAUCUGUGGCAAGUUCGGAUGAUGGCAAUUCUAGUUCAAUCCGGUUUGAAAAAGGUUGUUACCGGGAAAAAACCUGAGAAUCUAAAUAAAACAGAAUGGGAAGAGCUUGAUGAAAAGGCCUUGUCUGCAAUCUAGUUGUGCCUCGCGAAUACUGUAUUGCAGGAGGUAUUGAUGGAGAAGACCUCAUCCGCCUUGUGGAAAAGGUUAGAAACUUUUUAUGCGACUAAGUCUCUAGCUAACCAUUUAGUGUUGAAACAACAUCUAUUUACGUUUCGCAUGAACGAAGGUAAGCUUCUUAGAGAUCACACAGUCAAUUUAUUACUCUUUUAAAUGAUUUAAAGAACGUUGAGGUUCAUAUUGAUGAUGAAGAUCAAGCUAUGCUAUUAUUAUGCUCUUUACCCCCUUCAUACAAGUCUUUUAGGGAGACCCUGAUUUAUGGCAAAGACAAAAUCUCGUUCGAAGAUGUGAAGGGUCAUUUGUUGAGUAGAGACAAACUCGACAAUGAGCUUCAUUUGGAUACCAAGGCAGAUAGGCAAGUUUCCAUUUUAGUAGCAUCAAAGAAACGAGACAAAAGGUGUCGCUAUUGUAAAAAGUUAGGUCACGUCAAAGCAGAUUGUUAUAAACUGCGAAAUAAAAGAGCUGCUGAGAGUAACGAGGAAGAUGUAGCUGGUGCUAAUUUGGCCGAUGAAAGUGGUGAUGAUUUCUUGUUAGUGUCAACAUGCGAUAACUCCAAACUCACGUCCAAGUGGAUCCUAGAUUCGGGAUGUUCUUUCCACAUGUAUCCCAAUAAAAAAUGGUUCUCUACAUACAGUUCGGUUGAAGGUGGAUUUGUGUGCAUGGGAAACGAUUCAUCUAGUAAGGUAGUUGGUAUUGGAACUGUUAAAAUCAGGACACAUGAAGGGACAAUUAGGACACUCUCAGAUGUCAGGUAUGUACCUGAUUUACGAAAGAAUCUCAUCUCCUUGCAUAUUUUAGACUUGAAAGGAUGCAAAAUCAACAUCGAUUCGAGCGGUAUUAAAGUAUCUCGUGGAGCUUUCGUUUUGUUAAAAGGUAAAAGAACUGACAGUCUUUAUAUUCUGGAAGGUUCUACAGUGACUGGUGAAAUCGGACAUCCUUCAUCCGUUAUAAAGUCGAAGUCAACUCGUUUGGAGCAGAGGCAACUUGGUCAUAAGAGGGAAAAUGUAUGACUGUUUCGUUGAAGAGAGGUUCUCUUUUGGAUGCAGGUUUUGAAAAGUUAAGGCACUAUGUUCGUGAAAAUCAGACCCGAUUAGUUUUGAUUUAGCAGUGUACAAGUCGAAGGCUAGAAGUCUUCUAGUUUCUAAGUACAGAUUCGACUUAGUUAAUUCCCUGCAUAGUUCAAGAUAGGCUCGUGGCGGGCUUUGGCAAAGAUGGCGUUGUGGAAAUGUGAGUCAAGGUGGAGAUUUGUUAAGUGUGACUCCUAUUUUAAGUCAAAUUUGAAAAAUAAUCUUUUAGUUAAACUCUGUUUAUUUAUUUCAGUCAAACACUGAUUAGUUUAGAUUAUUUUUUUAUUAUUUGACAUAUGAAUUUAGCCUAUAAAUAGACUCUUUUACAACCUUAGAAAUAACACCCAUUAGAGAUUAGAACUCAUAACACAAUUAGAGAAUUUUGUGUUUACGUUUUGAGAGUUCUUUGUUUUCGGGUUUUUAGGGUUUAGUUUUAUCUUCAUCUUUUGUACUCUUCGUUCUUUUGCCGUUAUAAUAAAAUUAUAUUUAUCCGUGAUUUUUUAUCCUCUUUAGAGGAGUUUUUUCACGUUAAAUUUGUGUGUUUAAUUUCUCAAUUUAUUCCACUAUUUUUAUUAUUUGUUGCUUAAUAGGGUCGAUCCCUAACAAAUAAUUACUAUCAAUUUUUUCAAAAUCACUUUUCUAUGGCACUGUUAAACUUAAAUGAUAAUCUGGCCUUUAAUCACUCUUUUUUAACAGAGAGCUUAUCUCUUAGCAAUAGUUUGGGCAAACAAAAAUAAUGUAUAUAUGAAAACGAAUAUUGAAUUUGAAUGUACAAUCAAUUUUUUGAACAAUUAAUUAAAAAGAAUGUUUGAAUUCAAAAAUUUUAAAAAUUUUGAUAAAAAAUGUGGAAGCGCAGACUUGUGUGAUGAAUAGUAAUGAUAAUAAUGAUAGAAGUUGUUUUCCUGGCACAAGCAACUUAUGGGAUUCGUCCAUUUGGUUCUAUAUUUCUCCGCUUCCUUGAGUGUUUAAGAGUUAAACGACAAAUUAUUAAGUAGAAAACACCAAACGAAUUGAAUUAUUUUCUUAAGAUGGUGUCGGUAAUGUAUCUGUGGAUACCCAUUUGAAUUUUUAGAAAACUGAAAAAAUAAUUUAUUUUUUCGAUUGAAUCAGCAGCAAGAAAAUAAGAAAAAAGACAACUUUGAGUUUGAGUUUGGAGCUCUGAGAUUUCGUUCGGUGAUUUGAACGGUGAGGUGAUAUGUUUAAAUGCGGGAAAUAAUAUAUAUCGGACUAGCAACAAUAUGAUGGAGUGAAAUAGAGAUUGAAGAAAGAGUAAUUUGAAGCUUUGGUCAUUAUAUUAAAGGAUUUCGAGCCGAUUUUUAGGAAAUCUAAAUCGUAGAAGUGAACAAAUAUUCUUCUUUUGUGCCACAAUCGACACAAAAGGCUAUUGUGAAUGGCAACAUUGACAAUUAUUGAGUACGGUGGCUAAAAUUUUUAAUUAAAAAAAGGAAAUAAAUAAAAUAAAAGGAAAUGAAAACAAAAAGAAAAAUGUGAAAAGAAAGAAAGAAAUAAUAAUAAUAAUAAUAAUAAUAAUAAUAAUAAUAAUAAUAAUAAUAACGUGAACUAUCUUAAGGUUCUCUUGUCAUAACUUGAAAUUGGUGUCAUUUAAUAUAAGAAUACAAUUAAUACAUGCAGUAAUGUCAAGGUAGAAUUGUAGUUGUAUCAAACAAAAUAAUCUCACGAAAAUAAUAAUUAAUUCGAAUAAAGGUAAACCCUAAGUUACUAAUCACUCCAUUUAUAUUUCAUCUUUGGAUAAAUAUAUUAAUUUGUAAAUGACAUCUUUGUGUAGUAAUUAAAUACUGACAAUAAGCAUCGCAUGUUUAUUACAACAGUUGCAAAUGAAAUUUUGUUAAAUAUUAGCCUCCAUUUAGGCCCAUCAAUAUUAACAUAACUUAAGUUAUAUGCAUAAAACCCCAAAAUUAUAAAAAUUUUAUUGUUAUUUAAAUAUAUUUUUAAAUUUUUAAAUACUUUUUGUUUAAAUUUUAUAAUUUUUUAAAUAGUGAACCCGUCGGAUCAAAGAUCAUAUUGAUUAAAUUCAAUCAAAUCAAGAAUUGAUUAUUUCACCAAUUCACUGGCCCAAUUUACAAGAUUAUGUAUUAUGUAUAAUUAUUAUUAUUAUUAUUAUUAUUAUUAUUAUUAUUAUUAUUAUUAUUACGUGUCACUCAUCAUUUGAUUAUGAGAAGAUAAGAAAGAUGAAAACAAAGUGGACCUAAUAAUUAACCUCACAUGUGAAAUGUGUUAUUGAUGCAUCGUUGAGAGCACCAAAAAUAUCCUAUCCCUAUAAAAUAACGAAAAGAAUAGUAAAAGAGAAUUAGGGCCAAAUCUUCAGACUGGAUUUGCACAACUUCUUGUUCCUCGAGAUCCCGGGCAUAGUCGUGCCCAAGAAAAAUGGCGUACCUGAAAAAAAUAAAAAAAAAUAGAAUUAAAAAUAUGGACGAAUUGAGAUUGUGUAACUUGAAAUUGAAAUUGUAAAAAUAAACAGAGUCGUCAAAACAGAUUCUUGGAUUGAGAGAUUCUAGCCUCUAGUUAUCUCGAUCCUCAUUGGUUCAAUCCUAGGCUUUUAGGUGAUCCUUCUCGAACAGAAUAAGCUAGUUAUAGUAGAAGAGGACACCUACGACUACCAACUCUACUUAGAUUUUAGACUUACGAUUUAGAGGAACCUAACUCAAGCCAACCGUCACUUUUGUUGGACCGUCUUAAACUAGAUCAUCAUUUCUUAAUGGCAAAUACCAUGUCAUUUUGUCUAUUGGGCUUAACAACCACUGACACAGUAAGCUAACGAACCGACUGUGUCACCUUCCCAAAACAUACAAAACGGUCGCCUUUGCACAAGAUGAAAAGACUUUUGGAAGGACAUAGACAAAAGCGUUAGUCCCGUAAUGCGGAGAAACGAUGAAUUAAGCGUCAGUCCCGUAAUGCGGAGAAACGAUGAAUACUCACUGAGAAAGCUAAGUGCAGAUUUUAUGCCUCAUGAACCUUUUUUGAGGAAUCAUGACAACCUUUAGCUAGAUGAGUUUAGUGGCUCAUGUUUUUCGGGAAAAAAAAAAGAAAUAAGUUUACUAAAAUGGAAUUUUAUUAAAUAAAUAAAAAGGAACAAAAAGCUAAGAGCUUUAGAGAGAGGGAGUUUUUACAGAAAAGAUUAGUGCAAUUUGUGUCACGCCGUCCCCUAUUUAUAUUACUUAGAAAACCUAGUUUUUUCCUAUUUAAAUUCUAAAAGAUAAAUAAAGAUAAAAGCUGAAAUUAAAUCUAAAUAAUAAUCUUAACAAUAAUCCUAAUAGAAUUCAAUUUAAAUAGAGUCUUGUGUUUAUAAAAUCUCUUAUUUGAAUUGUUGCCCCCAAGUCUUCCACACUUUGUAUUUUUGGCACCAUUUCUUUCCUAUUUUGCAUUUUGACCCAUUUUGUUUCAAAUUCACACUUUUUGCCCCCAAAUUUCCUUUUGGCUUCAAUUUAAUCCCUACCAGAUAAAAACCCAUAAAUAGCUCAAAUUAGUAGGAUUAUAUUCAAAAUAAGUAUGUAAUUAAUACAUAAAAAUAUGUUAUUCCAGAGUAUUAUCAAAUUCCCCCUACUUAGCCCAUGCUUGUCCUUAAGAAUAGUUCCUAUCUACUGUGAAAUUUAGAUUUUACCAUGAAAGAAAUAUUACUCCAAAGUUUUAUAAAAAUUAGGCAUAAUGCAUAUGAAAAAUAAAGAGAACCUUUAGCUUACUUUAAGUAAAACUGGAAAAGUAUUCCAAUUUAAACAUACAAAAAUCAAAACCGACUUGGAUCAUUUCAUGAAAAUUAGGUAAUUUACUAAACUUACCAAGACACCCUAUUUGUUUCCACCCUUAGUCCCCAAAUGCAAUUCAUUAUUAUUACUUAUUUUUCUUUUUUUUUUAAUAAAAUGUUGAACCUUUUGACGCAAAGACAGAUGACAACCAAGCAGCCCACCCUGGUUAUUCAGCCCAACACAUUCCUAAAAAAAUUUUGUUUAAUUCCGGUUAGCAGAGUUUGUAAUACCCCGAAAAUUACUACAGUAAUAAAUUAAGAUAAUAUUCUUGACAUAGUAAAAUAAGGAAAUAAAGUGAUAAAAAGGGUAAUUUUGAGUUAUGUCAACAUUGGGAAGUAUAUUAUGACAUAUUAAUUCAAGAAAGGAUUAAAUUGUAAAAGUGAGAAAAAUUUUAUUGCCCAAGAGUAAAUACUCAAAAUUUGAGGGGUUAAAGUGUAAAUAUGAAAAAUUUGAAAGACCAAUAGUGUAAAUAUUUUAAGGGUGGAAUAAUCUAGAAACUAAGAAAAAUGGAUGAAUUGGGACCAAAUUGACUAGGUGAAGAAUUAUGAGGGACUAAAUCGUAAUUUUACCAAAUUAAGUGAUGACUCAAGGAUGGAAUUUUAAAAGAUCUAAAAGGCAAAAUGGUCAAUUACAAGAAAGAAAAAUCUAGAAAAUAAUGAUGAUGUUGGAGAUAUUUUAGAUUAAUUAAAUAAAUAAAUAUUAGUUUAUUAAUAUUUUAAUUUAAUUUUUAAAUGAGAUUUUAUUAUUUUAUUAUUAUUUUAUUUAAUAUAUAUAUAUGGAAGGAAAGAUGAAGAAUUUUCAUCUUCUUCCUAUGCAACUAACGUAUGAAGAGAAAAGAAAGAAAGAAACUUUCAUUUCUUUACAAUUUGACCCUUUCACCAAAUACUCACCAUUUUCACUUAGAAAUCAAAAGAAUUUCCAUGUCCAUCAAGAGAGAAAGAUAACAAGGAGACUAUGGGGAGUUAUAAUAUCAAGUUAGGUUCAAGAAAUAGAAGCUGGAGGAGAGAAAAAAUCAAGUUAAAGGUUGCAACUAAUAGGACAAGGUAAGAACAUCAAGAUUAAUUCAAUAUAUUUUUAAGUUUGUUAUUAUUGAAAAAGCAUGAAAAUGAUGUUAUAGUAGAGUUUUCUUAAAUAAAGUCUUAUGUUCUUGAUAUAUUAGUGAAGGGAAAUAAGAGAAAGUGAUGGAAAAUAUUAUAGAGAAAAUGAAUAAGGAAGUUAUAAACUUAGUAAUCAAUAUCAUGCAUUAAAACAGUUUUGGACAGCAGCAGUAGUCUAACUUUGAAAAAUCACCAAAAAUUGUGGGAAUCGAAUUAGAGGAUGUAAAAUAUGAAGUUAAAUAUUAUUGAGUCUAGUUUAUCAUAGAAGAAACGGUGUAAGCAAUGGAAGUAUAAAUCAUGAGAUAUAAUAGGUUUUGUGAGACAAGGUCAGAAUGAUUUCGGGUUCCGCUGUUCUAACUUUGGAAAAUUAUAAAAAAUUGGAUAAAACUAAUUAGGGGUUUAAAUUUAUAUUUUUAAAAUCCUUAAUUAGUAUAUUUUCAAGAUAAAUAAACUAGGACAUCAUUAAAAUUCUGUACAAUGAGAUAAUUAAUUUUUAGUGAAGAGAGUUUGGAACAGUCAAACAGUGAAAUAGGGGAAAAUUUAAAGAAUAAACUGUACUUAUUGGUUGAACCAAAAGUUCUGAAAUUUUUAUGGUAAGAAUAUAUGUGAGUCUAGUUUCAAUUAAAAUUAACGGAUCUUAAUUUGGAGCUCUGUAGCUCAAGAUAUAAAUAAUUUUGUGACUAUGACUCAAGUGGACAGCUUUGAAUGAACAAAUAAAUAAAUAGUGAAAUUAUAGAUAAUGUUACAUAUAAGCAUGUUAUAUACAUUAAGAAUGUGGAAUGGAGAGGAGGAGGAGGAAAAAUAUAUGAUUAUUCAACUAGCAUGAGUUUUCAUUAAAAAUGGCCAAUUUGCAUGUUUUAGGUUCAAGGAUUAAAUUGAAUAAAAGUAAUAUUUUAAGGGUAAAUUGGUAAAAAUGUCAAAAAAGUGACCAAAUUUCAUGAAUGAAUUGUUUUAUUAUUUAAAUUAGUAAAUUGAAUGAAAUAUUAAUUUACAUCAAGAUUGGGUGGAAAUUUGAGAAAAAUAGAAAAUUUUCAAAAUGUCCCUGAAUUUUGGUAUUUCUACAAUUUAGCCUGGUAAGUUUGUGUGAACUGUAUUCUGUAUAAUUUUAAUUGAAGUGAAUUCUAUUUGGUAAUGAAUAUUAUAUAUGUGUGUGUUUUAUUAUUGGAAUGGAAUUAUUAUUGGUAAUAUGGAUAUUUGAUGCAUUGAAAUGAUUAUCGGACGCUCAAUUGAGUUGGAAGCUUGUUGGAGAUAUAUCAUAUUAUCCAUUGGUUCUAUCGAUAAUUUUGGAUGAUUUGAUUCGGUUAUAAUGGCAUGUAGAAGUUAAAUUGGUUAACGUUAACUCAUUAAUGUUUUAAUUUUGAUUGGUUAUAAAUACGAAUGUUUGAUGAAAUGAAAUGUUUGUAAAUUAAUUUGUAAACUCCAGUAAUGCUCUAUAACCCUAUUCUGGAGAUGGAUACGGGUUAGGGGUGUUACAGAGUUUUACCUAACACGUUACACAACCUUUUGACGCGAAAUAGGAUGACAACCCAAGCACCCUACCCUGAUUACUCAGUCAGUCACGUUUUAAGCUACACUCAUAACCAUGGAGGCAUAAAAAAAUUUUAUUGUAAUGAAAUAGAAUUUUAAUUUUGGAGGACUAGGAAAAACAAUCAAGUGUCAAAAAUAAGUUUUGGCAACUCCCUAACAGUCAUGAACAUAAAUUUAGCAUACAAUUGUAUUAGGUGUCCUCUUUGCAUUUAGACUUAAUCAAUUAAAAGUAAGAUAGGGCUAACUCCAUUAAUCAUAAUUAUUUUAGCCUAAUAGAAAUAAAACGUCAGAGUCGAAGUCAGAAUCGUCGAACACAACUGCUAGUUGGGCCGAAAGAGCUUGUGGCCAUCGACGAGUCCGGUGUCGAGAGGGGUCGGAAGCCGAAGAUGGUGGUGGCGAUGGUAGGUGUGAAGCAAGCGAUGGGGGAAACGGUGGAGGAAAAGAAAGGGCUAACGGUGGUGGUGAAGUCGAGUGGGAAGGUGCGGUGUCACGUGGAGGAGAGGGGGACUGGGAGGGUGCAGCUUCGGCUAAGUUGACGUGUUGGGGUUUCAAAAAUCAAUGUCAGUGGCUGUUGACGGAAAAAGAAGGUUUGACAAUGGCACGACUUCUAGUCCUAACCAUGGUGGUGGGAAAAAAUCGAUGGUGGGGGUAAGGGAGAAAGCUAACGGCGGCUGGAGGGGUGCUUGGGUGAAAAUAGGGAAAAAUUUAGGGUUUGAAGGUGUAGAAUAAAGGGUGUUUGGUUGUAAAAUGGGUGUUUGGACGUAGGUUUUGGGUAAGUUUAAAGUAAGGUGUUUGGUUGUAGUUGCUUUAUGCAGCAUCUAGGGUUUUUGAGGCAUAACAAAUGACAUGGGGCUCUCUGUCUAUCUUUUGUCCCAACACGGCCCCCACAUUGUUCUCGCUUACAUCGCACAUAAUUUAAAAUGGGUAGUUCUAAUGUGAUGCUUGUACUAUAGGAGCGGAAACCAACUUCUAUUUGAACGUGUCAAAAGCCUUCUUACAUUUUGGGCUGAACUCAAAUUUCUUAUCUUUCUGCAAUAAUUCGUAUAGUGGUUCAACUACCUUUGAGAAGUUCUUUAUAAAGCGCCUGUAAAAUCUUACAUGGCCAAUGAAAAAACAUAUUUCCCUUACAGUUGAGAGAUAUGGCAAAGAAUUUAUAAUGUCAGUUUUGGUCUUAUCAACCUCAAUCCCUUUAGCUGAAACUAUAUGUCCUAGAAUUAAACAUUUAUCUACCAUAAAAUGACACUUUUCAUAAUUCAAGACAAGAUUAAAUUCUAUGCAUCUACUUAAAAUUAUCGUGAGGUUUUUAAGGCAUUCAUCAAAACAGUUCCCAUAUACAAUAAAAUCAUCCAUAAAAACUUCGAUGAUGUUUUCUACAUACUCAGAAAAUAUACUCAUCAUACAUCUUUGGAAGGUGGCUAGUACGUUGCAAAGUCCGAAUGGUAUCCUUCUAUACACAAAUGUGUCGAAUGGGCAUGUAAAAGUGGUUUUUUCUUGGUGGAAGAAACCUGAGUAUCCAUUAAGACAGUAAAAGUAAGUUUUACCAGCUAAAUGCUCAAGCAUUUGAUCUAUAAAAGGAAGAGGGAAAUGGUCUUUUCUAGUAUAAGAAUUCAACUUCCUAUAAUCAAUGCAGACAUGCCACCCAUUUUGCACUUGGGUUGGUACCAGGUCGCCCUCAUCAUUUUUCUUUACUGCCAUGCCUGUUUUCUUAGGCAUGACCUGCACCGGACUUACCCAUCUACUGUCAAUAAUGGGGUAUAUUACGUCAGCAUCUAGAAGCUUAAUUAUUUCAUUUUUACCACAUCCAUCAUAUUCGGGUUCAACCAUCUUUGCACCUUCGCUUUGGUUUCAUGUUUUCCUCCAAGUAGAUCUUCUGUGUGCAUGUCAAAAGGCUUAUCCCUUUUAAGUCAGCAAUGGUCGAGCCAAUCAUCUCUUUAUGGUUUUUUAGUACCUAUAUCAAACUUUCCUCUUCAAGCUUAGAGAGUCUAUAAAAUAACCUAUCCCUAUAAAAUAACGAAACGAAUAGUACAAGGGAAGUAGGGUCAAAUCCUUAAGGACUGGAUUUACACAACUUCUUGUUCCUCGAGAUCUCGGGCACAGUCAUACCCAAGAAAAACGGCAUACCUGAAAAAAUAAAAAAAUAGAAUUAAAAAUAUGGACGAAUUGAGAUUAUAUAAAUUGAAAUUGAAAUUGUAAAAAUAAAUAGAAUUGAAAAAAGGGAUUCUUCGAUUUAAGAGAUUUUAGCCUCCGGUUGUCCCGAUCCUCCUUGGGUUCAAUCCUAGGCUUUUAGGUGAUCCUUCUCAUAACAGAAUAAGUCAGAUAUAGUGGAAGAGGACGCCUACAACCACCAGUUCUACUUAGAUUUUAGACUUGUGUUUAAAUAGAGUCUUGUGUUUAUAAAAUCUCUUCUUUGAACUUUUGCCCCCAAGUCUUCCACACUUUUUAUUUUUGACACCACUUAUUUCCUAUUUCGCAUGUUGGCCCAUUUUGCUUCAAAUUCACGCUUUUUGGCCCCAAAUUUUCUUUUGCCUUCAAUUUAAUCCCUACGAGAUAAAAAACCAUAAACAACUCAAAUUAGUAGGAUCAUACUCAAAAUAAAUAUGUAAUUAAUACAUAAAAAUAUGUUAUUCCAGCAUUUUCAGUUAUAUAUAAGGGUUAAAUCAUAAUUUAGUCCCUAAAGUUGUACCAAAUAAUUUGUUUAGUACUUAAAGAUUGUAUUGCAUCAAUUUGGUACCUGAAGUUCGAAAAUGUUUAUACCCAUUACUCCAAAGCCUAAUUCCAUUAAAAAAAACUAUUUUUUCGAAAUAAAUUCAAAAAUAAAAAUAGAGAAAUAACAAAAAAGUCUCAAUUUAAAAAAAAUUGAAAAAACUUAAAAUUUAUAAAGAAAGUCAGAAAAUAUGAAAAUAUAAUUUUUAAAAAAUACAUAAAAUAAAAAUUAGCGAAAAUUCAAAAAGAAAAACAAAAUUAAAAAUUUAGAAAAACACUGAAGUAAUAUAGAAAUAUAAAUGCCUACAGUACCUAUUAUUAACGUUGAAUUUUCUAACUUUUUCCUAAAAAAUUGCUUUUAGAUUUUAUUUUUUAAAAAUACAUUUUUUUUAAUAAUUUGAGUCUCAUGGCUAUAAAGUUCUUUUAAUUUAGCAAUAUGUCAUAUUUUAUGUUUCUAAAAAUAUUUUAGUCUCCAAAGGUGUAGUCUCGACCAAAAAAACAAACAAGAAUUUGAUUUUUUUUUCCUCUAAGUCUUCAGAAUUUGUGAUUACCGUUUUUAAUAGUAAUGUUGUCACUAAAAUUCUAUUCUGUAUCUACCUUAUUUUACUAUUGCACUUCAUACUUAUUGAUGAUUUAAUUUUAUUAUUAAUAAUUAAUUAUGAUAUAUAUUAUAUUUAAGAUGGAUUUUCUUAUUCAUGGAUAUCAAUUAAAUAAAAUAUUUGCAUUUAAAAUUAAAACUAUGACAUUAAAUUUUUUUUAAUUUAAAUCAAUUUGACUCUUUUAACAUAGGGAAGUCGAAUUGCAUAAACAAUCAAUGUAUUACCUAUUUUAUUCAUGUUUACCACCGUGCUUAAAGAAAUGCUCACUUUUUUAGGGUGUGCUUACCAUUGAGAUUGGAAAACAUCAUUCAACCCAAACAAUGAUUUCAAACCAAACAUUAAUUUUAAACUAGGAUUUUAAGCCAAUCCAAAACUUUUACCUUUUACCUUUUGAAAAAGUACUUUUCAAUUAAAAAUCUUUUUAUUCCUCAUUAAAUCUUCUAUUUUAUAACAUUACGUCUAAAAUAAAUAUUUUAUUUUUCUAAAAUUAUUUAUAGACAACAAUAAUAAACACUAUUAAUUUUUCUAAAAGCACUUUUUCACUGUAAUAUUAAACUUAAAUGAUAAACUUGCCUUUUAACCACUCUUUUCUAACAUAUAGCAUAUCUCUUAGCAACGAUUUGGGACAACAAAAUUAAUGUAUAUAUGAAAACGAAUAUUGAAUUUGGAUGUCCAAUCAAUUUUUUGAAUAAUUAAUUAAAAAUAAUUUUUAAAUUCAAAAAAUCUAAAAGAAUUUGAUAAAAAAAUGUGGAAGGGCACACUUGUAUGAUGAAUAGUAAAGAUAAUAAUGAUAGAAGUUGUUUUCCUGGCACAAGGAACUUAUGGGAUUCGUCCAUUUGGUUUUAUAUUUCUCCACUUGCUUGAGUGUUUAAGAGUUAAAGGACAAACUAUUAUGUAUAAACACCAAACGAAUUGGAAGGCUUUUGUCUUCUUCAAAUUUUACAUUCAAUAUCAUCAUCACAAUCAUGGUAAUUUACUUUCAUGAAUAAACUUUUAUGUCCCAUUUAACCUGAAUUAUUAAAAAUUAUUAAGUCAAUUAUAUUUUUAAGAUGGUGUCGUUGUCCAGCGACAUUGAUUUAAAUUUUUUUUAAAAUUAUUUUAAAAAUGAAAAAAAUUUACUUUUUUGAUUGAUUCAGCAGCAAGAAAAAAAAAAGAAACCUUUUCGGAUUCAAAACUCUAAAAAUCUGUUCAUGAUCUGAACGGUGAGGUGAUGUAUUUAACUGUGAAGAAUAAUUUAUAUUCGACUAGUGACAAUCUGAUAGAGUAAAACAGAGAUUAAAGAAAAAGUAGUUUGAAAUCUUGAUCAUUGUUUUAAAGGAUUUGAAGUCGAAUUCUACAAAAUUUAAAUUGUAGAAGUGAAUGAGGAGAAAAAGCCCCUGUGAAUGGCAACAUAGAUGGUUAUUGAGUAUGGUCGUUAAAAUUUUCAUUUAAAGAAAAAGGAAAUAAAUAAAAUAAAAUGAUAGGAAAACAAAAAUAAAAACGUGAAAAGAAAUAAAGAAAGAAUAAUAAUAAUAAUAAUAAUAAUAAUAAUAAGAGAAUUUUGGGGGCGAUGCUUUUGUACAAAUCUGCAACUACACGUGAAGUGGAAUAAAAAGUUGAGCAUGUCGCUCAGCCUUGCGCUUUCGAGGCGCUCCAUUCAUCACGAAUGGGGCCAGAUUUCUCAAUGAGUGAAAGUGGUACUAAUAAUUUACCUCACAUUUGAAAUGUGUUAUAAAUAUAUAUGUGGAUGAAUUUUUUGCUACCAUGCUAAAAUUGAAGAUUUUAAUUUUGGUGGAUUUUAAGUUUUUAUAUAUUUUAAAAUUUAAAAUUUUAAUCUUAAUUUAAAUGAUAAUCGUUAAAUUUGUUGGGUCAAAUUUUGUUAUUAGUCAAUUACUAUGCAUAAAUUAUGAACUUAAUUCAUGUAUUUCAAUUUGAUCACUUUCAGUCAUUAUAUUUUUCAGUUUUGGAAUUCUGGUACUACUUAAAUAGUAACUAUUAAAUCCAUUUACUAUAAUGAUAUAAGAUUUUUGUGAGUAUUAUGUAAAAUAGCUACUUAUCACAUUUUUAAUGUAUAUAUUUAUUAUAUUGUAUAUACCAUUUCAACUAAAUUCAUUUAAUUUUUAUAAAUUUAUUAUAUAAAUUUAAGUACAAAUAUGUGUCAUUCUCUAAUAACAAUAAUAAUAAUAAGUGGAUGACAUAAGAUGUGUCAAAACAUUUAUCUUCAAUUCUGAUGCAGAAAGGCAGGCGGUCAUUUUUAGUAAAAAUACAUAAAUAUAUCACUAAAUUAUUAGUAGCAUUCUGUUUUCCUUACUAAAUGAUAAUACUCUAGAAUGACAUAUUUUUAUUUAUUAAUUAUAUGUUUAUUUCGAGUAUGAUCCUAUUAAUUUGAGUUAUUUAUAGUUUUUUUAUCUGAUAGAGAUUAAAUUGAAGGCAAAAGGAAAUUUGGGGGCUAAAAGCAUGAAUUUAAAGACAAAAUGGGACAGCAUGCGAAAUAGGAAAAAAGUGGUGCCGAAAAUAUAAAGUGCGAAAGGCUUGAGGCAAAAAUUCAAAGAAGAGAUUUAUGAACAGAAGACUCUAUUUAAAUUUGAAUUUUAUUAAGAUUAUUGUUAAAAUUAUUAUUUAGAUUUAAUUUCAGCUUUUAUCUUUAUUUAUCUUUUAGAAUUUAAGUAGGAACAAACUAGGUUUUUUUUUUUAACUACAAUAAAUAGGGGAUGGAGUGACACAAAUUGACACUCAUCUUUUCUGUAAAAGCUCCCUCUCCCAAAAAGCUCUAGCUUUUUGUUCCUUUUAUUUUUCAAUAAAAUUUCAUUUUAUUAAACUUAUUUCUUUUUUCCAAAAGGCAUGAGCCACUAAACUCAUCUAGCCAAAGGUUGUUGAGAUUCCCCAAAAAGGAUUCAUAAGGCUUAGAAUCCGCAGCUAACAUUUUUAACAAGUAUUCAUUGUUUCUCAGCACUACGGGACUGACGCUUCCAUCCAUGUCGCUUCAAAAGUGAUCUUUUCAUCUUGUGCAAAGGCGGCCACUUUAUAUGUUUUGGGAAGGUUGCACAGUGGGUUCGUUAGCUUACUGCGUCAGUGGUUACCGAACCCAAUAGACAAAAUGGCGUGGCAUUCGCCAUUGAGAAAUGACGAUCUAAUGUAAGACGGUCCCAAAAAAGUGACGGUUAGCUAGAGUCAAGCUCCUCUAUAUCGUAAGUCUAAAUUCUAAGUGGAGCUGGUGGUCGUGGGCGUCUUCUUCCACUAUAACUAGCUUAUUCUGUCAUGAGAAUGAUCAUCUAAAAGCCUAGGAUUGAACCCAAGGAGGAUCGAGAUAACCUGAGGCUGGAAUCUCUCAAUCCAAGAAAUAAAAGUUAGAGGUGGUAGGGACUCAGAGUAACCCACCGUCGAAAAUAGAAGCAAACGACAAAGUUGAGUCUAGGGUUAAUGAAAACCCUACUCACACGCUAGAAAAUGAAAGAAUAGGAGUCAAUCCACCAGAAGAAGUGCUUAAUGCUACGGUUAACGAAAACCCAAAUCUAACACAUCAACCUAUAGCUCAAACGAUUCAGCGGCCGAAGCUCCUGCAGAACAAUCGUUGUUAUGCAUUGCGUAUCCUACUAUGGAUACUAAUUUUGAACUGAAGUCAGGAUUAAUCUAGUUACUGUUGACUUUCCACGGAUUAUAAAAUGAAAAUUCACACAAACAUGUAAAAGAGUUUCAUAUGGUUUGUCUUAGUAUGAAACCUUAGGGCGUAACUGAGGAUCAAAUCAAAUUGCGUGCUUUCCCUUUUUCCUUAGCAGAUUCUACUAAAGAAUGGUUGUUUUAUCUACCUCCUGGAUCUAUUACAACUUGGACUAAUCUUUCUAGUUUGUGUCUCAACAGGUUUUUUCCAAUAUUGUGUGCAGCUGAGUUAAGAAGGGAGAUCAUUGGGAUAAGGUAAAAAGAAGUAGAGUUUCUUUACGACUAUUGGGAGCGAUUUAAGAAGUUGUGUGCAAGUUGCCUACAACAUGGUAUAACCAAACAGUCUCUACCCCAAUACUUUUAUAAAGGCUUGAAGCCCAUAAAAAUGAACAUGGUAGAUGCAGCCAGUAGAGGGACGUUGGUCAAUAUGACUCCCCAACAGGCAAGAGACUUGAUUUCCAUGAUGGCUGCAAAUACUUAGCAAUUUUGAGCCAAUCCUGAACCCACUAGAAGGGUUCACCAGCUAAGUAAGUCAACUUUAGAAGAUAAAGUUGAUAGACUUACUAAUAUCGUGAAUUCUAUUUUUGUACUAAAAAUAGGAACAGCCCGACUGUGCAGAAUUUGUGCAACACCCGAACAUACAAUUGAUGCAUGCCCUAGUUUGUGUGACGAUACUAUAGCCUAUUUAGAUGUUGUGAGAAACUUUUUGGACCGUCCCAAAGGCGAUAUGACCCCUAUGCAAAUACAUAUAAUCCAGGAUGGAAAGACCAUCUUAACUUGAGUUAUGGGCAAACCUGCAGUAUAACCAGCCAUACCAAAACCAAUUUCCACAAUAAAUGCAAGAUUUAGGUACCUCUCUAGAAACCAUGGUCAAUAAAUUAGUAGCUAAUGUAUUUGAUUCCAACAGCAGAUAAAACAACAAACUGUUGAUUUCCAAUAGCAAAUAAAUGGCAAACUCUUGAUUUCCAAAAGGAAACAAAGGAUUUUCAACAUAAAAUCGAGGCGUCUAUAAGAUAGUUGACUACACCAAUUGAGAAAAUAAACUCACAUGGAAAGCUGUCGUCACAAACUGAACCUAACCCAAGACAACACACAAAUGCAGUGACGUUGUGAAAUGGAAAAGUACUAAUAUCGAAUCAUUGUUGGAAUCUUGAUCAAGAUUCUGCACAAAAAAAAGCAAGAGAAUGAUGAACAAGUCCGAACGAAACCUCCAUUACCCAUAAUUCAACCUUCAUUUCCAGGACGAUUGAACCAACAUCGGAGACGUAAAGAGGAAAAAAAGAUCCUCGAAACAUUCAAAAAGGUCGAGAUCAACAUACCAUUAUUGGAUGCCAUCAAACAAAUUCCACGAUAUGCCAAGUUCCUUAAGGAAUCUGCAGUGUUGCAGCGGAGGAUGCCAGUUAAAUGUAAAGAUAAGGGCAUGUUUGCAAUACCAUGCAAAAUAGGCCACUUAGAAAUUAAAAAAAUUAUGUGUGAUUUAGGGGCCACCAUAAAUGUAAUGUCUUUUUCUAUAUAUGAAUCACUUAACGUGGGUUUUUUGAUGAAAACAAGUGUUAUUAUUCAAUUAGCAAAUAGGUCUAUUGUGCAUCCCGAAGGAGUCCUUAAGGACGUAUUAGUGAAAGUCAACAGACUUAUCUUUCCUGUAGACUUUUAUGUGAUAAAAAUGGAAGAGGAUAACGCUCCUGAGUCUUUGGAUAUCUUGUUGGGGUGACCUUUCUUUAGUACUGCAUAUACUAAGAUUGACGUGCGUAGCGAAACCCUCACGAUGGAGUUUGACGGGGAGAUCGUGAAGUUUAACGUUUAUGGCACCAGAUCUGGAAUUAAAACCACUUUCUGAGCAUCUCAAAUGCAUAUUUUUGGAGAAUGAUGAGAUCAUUGUAGACUUAAAAGGGAUCAACCCCUUGACAUGCACACAUAAAAUUUUCUUGGAGGAAAAUACGAAACCAAAGAAAGAGGUGCAAGGAUGAUUGAACCCAAAUAUGGUGGAUGUGGUAAAAAAUGAGAAUUUCCAAGCCUAUACGAAUGAAAAAAAUUAGCUGGAACAUCCCCAAUACUAGUUGGGGCGUCAAGCUAACGACGUUAAAUAAGCGCUUGUUGGGAAGCAACCCAAAUUUAUUUUGUUUUAUUUUAUUUUAUUUAUAUUUAUAGUUAUAGCUAUAUUCUUUAUUUUCUUUAUUUUCUUGCAUGUUAAUAAAUUUUAACUCUCUUCUUAUAUCCAAGAGAAUCGAGGAAUUGAAAAAAAUAGAUUUGGAAACAGGCGAAAAUAGUAACGAAAACGACAUGAGGAGUGUCCUAAACCCUUUCUUUUCAUCAUAUUUAUUAAUAUUAUUUUUCACACCGAGGAAUAUGUGUUUAUGGCUACUCUUCUCAAUAAUGUUGUUUUCAAGGUUUGAACCUGCAUUAUCAUUUGAACAUGUAAUGUGUCUUAUCAUUACACCCAAUAUUGGUGAGUUACUCUAUUCUAUUCUUAAUUAAUUAUUAUGAUAUAUAUUAAGUUUAAGAUGGAUUUUCUUUUUCAUGUUUACCAAUUGAAUCAAAUUUUUGUAUUUAAAAUUUUAACUUGACAUAUCGAAAGUCUGCUACUCUAGCACGUCUCUGGUCUACUACUCUAGCAUGUUUUGGUUUUUCUUUAGGGUUUUUUUGGCUUAUUUCUCUUUGUUCUAGCGACAGCGGUUCUUGGGAGGGAGUGUUUCUUAUCAAUCUAGUUCAUUUUGAUUCAUGGAAAUGGAGGAUGAAAUGGUAGAGUUAACAUUGGAAGAUGAGAAAGAGGAGAUUUUGCAAGUACAAAAGGAAAUUGAUUCUACAACGAUGGGGAGAUUUUGCAAGUACAGAAGGAAAUGGAUUCUACAAUGGUGGUUUAUGAUCUUUUUCUAGUUGGAUGCUUUCUUAUGGUGAGUGUAAUCCAAUUUCUGGCAAUGAGAAGCACGAUGUCAAAUUUAUGGCAUCCUCUGAAAGUAAUAGGUUGAGGUAGAAAAGAUUUUGGUUUGAGGCAUGGUGGCUGAUGAAAGAAUUUUUUGAGGAGGAGGUUAAACGAAUAUGUCAGUCUACUUCAAGUGAUAUGUUGGCUAAGCUAGAAGGUGUGAGGAAAGGCUUGGUGAGAUGGGUGGGUUCUAUUAAAAAUAAAAAGAAGGGCCUUAAGAGGGAUCUGACUAGAAAAUUGGAGGAGAUGAUGGGAAAGGAAGGAGAUGUCAAGAAUAUUGUUGAACUAUUUUAAGAUUCUCUUGUCAUAACUUGAAGUUGGUGUCAUUUAAUAUAAGAAUACAAUUAAUGCAUGCUGUAAUAUUAGCAGGUGUAAUUGUAGUUGUAUCAAAUAAAACAAUCUCACGUAAGAAUUCAAAUAUAAAACAAAAUAAUAAUUAAUUCGAACAAAGGUAAACCCUAAGAUACUAAUCACUCCAUUAAUAUUUCAUUUUUAGACAAAUAUAUUAAUUUGUAAGUGAUAUGUUGAUGUAGUAAUUAAACACUGACAAUAAACGUUACAUGUUUAUUACAACAGUUGCAAAUGUAAAUUUGUAUAACAUUAGUCUCCAUUUAGGUCAGUCAAUAUUAACAUAAUUUAAGUUACGUGCAUACAACCGAAAAAUUAUAAAAAUCUUAAUGUUAUUUAAAUGUAUUUUUAAAUUUUUAAAUAGUUCUUGUUUAAAUUUUAUGAUUUUUUUUAAUUUUCAAUUUUUUUAAAUAGUAAAUCUAUCGUAUCAAAGAUCAGUUUGAUCGAAUUCAAUCAAAUCAAGAAUUGAUUAUUUCACUCGUUCAAUCACCGGUCCAAUUUACAAGAUUAUGUAAUUUAAAGAAUUAUUAUUAUGAAAAAGAAAAGAAAAGGAUAAUACCCAAGGGAGCCUUUUGGACCUCCUUCUUCUUCUUCAAACAUAAAAAUAGAGAAAAUAACAAAAAAAAAAUCACAAUUUUUAAAAAACUGAAAAAAAAAAUUAAAGUUAUAAACAAAAUUCAGAAAUUAUGAAAACAUAAUUUUUAAAUAUUGAAAUAUAAAUGUCUACAUUACCUUUUAUUAACGUUGAAUUUUCUAACUUUUUCCUAAAAAAUUGCUUUUAUAUUUUAUUUAAAAAUGCAUUUUUUUAAUAAUUUUAGUCUCAGGCCUAUAAAAGUUCUUUUAAUUUAGCAAUAUGUCAUAUUAUUAUUAUUAUUAUUAUUAUUAUUAUUAUUAUUAUUAUUAUUAUUAUUAUUAUUAUUAUUAUUAUUAUUAUUAUUAUUAUUAACUUUACAUUGAUUUUCUUAUUCAUGGAUAUCAAUUAAAUAAAAUAUUUGUAUUUAGAAUUUUAAUUAUGAUAUUUAACUCUCUUUUUUUAAUUUGAAUAGAUUUGGUUAAUACUAAUUUGUAUCUAAUUCAAGGAGCAAUAUUAGUUUAUUAUUCUAAUUUGGUAAUUAUCAUAAUAAUUUAUUAAUAUUUUUAAAUACAUAUAAUUAUAAAAUUUAUUAUUGAAAAAUAUGGAACGAAUGAAGAAGUACCUUAAGGAGUAUCUACUCCAUGACCAAUUGUGACAAAUUAGAUUGUUUUCAUAUUUUUGUUAUUAGCAAUUUAUUGAAUAGAAUUUAUGGGCUAUGCUGAUUAAAUGGAUUAUAUCUAACACAUCAAUGAAGAUCAUAUCACUUGUGGAAAUAUAUUUGGAAGAUUGGAUCGAAUUGGAUAACCCUUAUCGAAAUAUUUUAUAUAAUUGAGAGACUUGUAUAGGUUGUCAUACCUAGAAUUGAGAGCACUUAAUUGGUUCAGGUGAGUAACAUUAUUUGUGAAGUGCAUUUGAUUGUUUGUGUUGUGGAUUUAUAUGCUAAAUUCACAGGGUGAAUUUAAUUACUAGGGUCCUAGUCUUCAAAGAUACAAAAAUGAGGAAAUUGUCAAUAGGGUGUAAUAGAUUUAGGGUCACUUGUUAUAAGUGUUUGAAGAUAGUUGAUAUUUCUCACUGAGUUAGGUUCCAUUGACAUAGGGAAGCCGAAUAUAACAUAAACAAGCAAUGUAUCCCUUAUUUUAUUCAUGUUUAUCAUAGUGCUUGAAGGAGUGCUCACUCUCUUAGAAUAUUUACCAUUGAGGUUCAAAAGCAUCGUUCAACCCAAACAAAGAUUUCAAACCAAAACAUACGGUAAAUAAUUAGCUUUUCAAACCAAACAUUAAUUUUAAUCUAAAUUUUUAAUCCAAUCCAAAACUUAUAAUUUUUACCUUUUGAAAAAGUAAUGUUCAAUUAAAAACUUUUUUAACCCUCGUUAAAUCUUCAACUUUACAACAAUGAUAAAUACUAUCGAUUUUUUCAAAAACACUUUUCACGACACUAUUGAACUUAAAUGAUAAACUGGCCCUUAACCACUCUUUUUUAACCUAUAGCUUAUCUCUUAACAACUGUUUGGGUCAACAAAAUUAAUGUAUAUAUGAAAACGAAUAUUGAAUUUGGAUGUCCAAUCAAUUUUUUGAAUAAUUAAUUAAAAAGUUUAUAAAAACACACUAAUAUUUAUUUUACAACUGAGCUUUCCCGUUUUUAUAUAGAGAAGGAGAGCUAAAAUAAGCAGAUAAGAAGGAAUCUGCUUUUACAACACUCAUUAAGAUAAAGGACAUGACUCAGCAAAUUUUUACAAAAGUUAAAAGAAUUUGAUAAAAGAAUGUGGAAGGGCACACUUGUACGAUGAAUAGUAAUGAUAAUAAUGAUAGAAGUUGUUUUCCUAGCACUAGGAACUUAUGGGAUUCGUCCAUUUGGUUCUAUAUUUAUCCACUUGCUUGAGUGUUUAAGAGUUAAAAAGGACAAACUAUUAAGUAGAAAACACCAAACGAAUUGGAAGGCUUUUGUCUUCUUCAAUUAGUAUGACCUAUAUUUCUUAUUAAACUUCGUAUUUUACAUUCAAUAUCAUCAUCAAAAUUAGAGGUAUUCAUAGGCCGGGUCGGGCCGGGUUCGGACUGGGCCUAGAAAAAAAAUUUUGGCCUGCUUCAUGAAUAAACUUUUAUGUCCCAUUUUAAUCUGGAUCAUUAAAAAUUAUUAAUUGAAUUUUUUUUUAAGAUGGUACCGUUAAUGUGUCAAGUGAUACCAAUUUGAAUUUUUAAAAAAAGUUAUUUGAAUUAAUUUGAUUUCAUUCGGUGAUCCAAACAGUGAGGUGCUAUGUUUAACCACGGGGAAUAACAUAUAUCCAAAUGGCGACAAUCUGGUGGAACGAAACAGAGAUAGAAGAAAGAGUAGUUUAAAGCAUUGGUCAUUAUUUUAAAGGAUUUGGAGUCGACUUUUAGAAAAUCUGAAUUAUAGAAGUGAACGAAGAGAAUAUCUCUUUUUUGGUGCCGUAAUCGACAUAAAUGGCAACAUCAGUAGUUAUUGAGUAUAGUGACUAAAAUUUUCAAUUAAAAAAAAAAGGAAUGGAAAGGAAAACAAAAAGAAAAACGUGGAAAGAAAGAAAGAAUAAUAAUAAUAAUAAUAAUAAUAAAUAAAAAUAGAAUUGUGGGGGCGAUGCUUUUGAACAAAUCUUGAUUUAAACUAUAUAAAGAAAUUAUGUGUUAUAUAUAUAAUUAAUUAUGUACUUAUACUUAAUAUAUUAUAUAUCAAAUGUCAUAUUUUUAUAUUCUCGGGAAGUGGUGACAUACGAGUACUUGAUUCGAUUUAUUUCUUUAUCUCCCCAUGAAUUGUAUGUUUGUAACAUUAGGGACAGAAUUUCUUCAAUUCCAACUGACUGGACAUAUUGUGUCGAUUUUUUUUAGUAAUAUACCUAGAAAUACCCGUUGAUUCCCUAUAAACGCUGUUUCGAACACAACUGGUACACUCCAAAAUAAUCGUUAUUCGAACAUCAUUACUCUUGGCCAUGAACCUCCUUUGAGUUUUUAAUUCACCCAACUUUUUUAUUUUCAGAUCAAAAGCGAAGAAGAAAGGAAUAAAAAAAAAAGAAGAAAUCAAAGUUGCUAACUCAAAACCAAAUCCUAGAAAAAUUUGGUUGCAAUCAAUAUAGCAAGUCAAUAUAAAUUUAUAGUAAUAGCNNNNNNNNNNNNNNNNNNNNNNNNNNNNNNNNNNNNNNNNNNNNNNNNNNNNNNNNNNNNNNNNNNNNNNNNNNNNNNNNNNNNNNNNNNNNNNNNNNNNUUAAUUGAAUUUAAAAUAUUCAAUUAAAAUAAAUUAAACUGUAUAAAUUUUAUAAUUUUAAAUUAUUAUUUUUGUAUUAAUUUAAAAACAAAAUAAAUAUUAUAUACAAUGAUUUAGUUACAGCGUGUCAGCUUGAAGUCUAAGACUUUAUAACAUAUAAAUUUAAUAGAUAAUUAAUAACUAAAAAAUUAAAUAGCAAAAGCAUAAUUGCGCCACUUCUCACCAUUUUAAUGUAUGCAACUUAUUAUAUAUUUAUAUAUAUUAUCAUUUUAUUUUAAAUAAUUUAAUUUUUAUAAAUUUAGGGAUAAAUCUCAAAAUUAUACAUGAAUUUUAAUUUAAUAUGCAAUUGCAUACAUAAACUUUAAUUUAGUGCAAUUAUACACGUGAUACUCUAAUUGUGGUUCAAAUACAUACUUAAAAAUUUAAUAAUACAUAUUUAAAUAAAUAAAUAAAUACAUCAAUUUUUUUAUAUUGGAUAAAUAUAAUUAUUCAUGUAUGCAAUAUAUAACAUAAAAUGAUGUUAUAUCAAUUAAUUGUGUUAAUAAUUUUCAAGAAUUGGAUCAAAUCAAAAUUUCAAGUAUAAAAUUGCACAAAAUCAAAGUUAAUGUAUACAAUUGCACAUUAAACCAUAGUUCAUGUAUAUUUUUUACAUAUAUCCCAUAAAUUUAUUACAUAAACUUUUUACGUAUAUCAUAUAUAGAGUUGUCCGUGAACCGAGCCAAGGAAUGCCCGCUCGAAAAAAUGAGAGGGUUUGGGAAAAAAACCCGAAUUUUCAAUAAAAAACCCUGUUAUUUUUGCUGCUAUUUUUCCAUAUUUUGGUGUUGUUUUCUCUCUUUUUGCCGCUAUUUUACUACCAUUUGACUAUUAUGUUACUACUAUUUUUUUAAUGUUUGGAUAUAGUAUAAUAAUUAUUUUAUUGUUAAUUUUGUCACUAUUUUAGAGGCAUUUGCUUGUUAUGUUGUACUUAUUUUAGUUUUUAUUUAAGUAUAAAAUAUUUUUUAAAAUUUAUUUUUAAUUUAUUGAGAAACAUGUAAUUAAAUAUUUUUAGUGUAUUUGUUGUAUUAUAUUUGUUAAAUUUUAUAUAAAAUUAAAAAUAAAAAAAAUGGACCGAGAUGGGAGUUUAACAAAAAUUUAGGCCCAUUUUUCAGGUCGGGCCGACUCAAACCUAACAAUCGGACUUAAAAUUUUGUUAGAGCUCGGUCCAUCCCAUGAACAACUCUAAUUAUAUAUAUAUAUAUAUAUAUAUAUAUAUAUAUAUAUAUAUAUAUAUAUAUAUAUAUAUAUAUGUCANNNNNNNNNNNNNNNNNNNNNNNNNNNNNNNNNNNNNNNNNNNNNNNNNNNNNNNNNNNNNNNNNNNNNNNNNNNNNNNNNNNNNNNNNNNNNNNNNNNNNNNNNNNNNNNNNNNNNNNNNNNNNNNNNNNNNNNNNNNNNNNNNNNNNNNNNNNNNNNNNNNNNNNNNNNNNNNNNNNNNNNNNNNNNNNNNNNNNNNNNNNNNNNNNNNNNNNNNNNNNNNNNNNNNNNNNNNNNNNNNNNNNNNNNNNNNNNNNNNNNNNNNNNNNNNNNNNNNNNNNNNNNNNNNNNNNNNNNNNNNNNNNNNNNNNNNNNNNNNNNNNNNNNNNNNNNNNNNNNNNNNNNNNNNNNNNNNNNNNNNNNNNNNNNNNNNNNNNNNNNNNNNNNNNNNNNNNNNNNNNNNNNNNNNNNNNNNNNNNNNNNNNNNNNNNNNNNNNNNNNNNNNNNNNNNNNNNNNNNNNNNNNNNNNNNNNNNNNNNNNNNNNNNNNNNNNNNNNNNNNNNNNNNNNNNNNNNNNNNNNNNNNNNNNNNNNNNNNNNNNNNNNNNNNNNNNNNNNNNNNNNNNNNNNNNNNNNNNNNNNNNNNNNNNNNNNNNNNNNNNNNNNNNNNNNNNNNNNNNNNNNNNNNNNNNNNNNNNNNNNNNNNNNNNNNNNNNNNNNNNNNNNNNNNNNNNNNNNNNNNNNNNNNNNNNNNNNNNNNNNNNNNNNNNNNNNNNNNNNNNNNNNNNNNNNNNNNNNNNNNNNNNNNNNNNNNNNNNNNNNNNNNNNNNNNNNNNNNNNNNNNNNNNNNNNNNNNNNNNNNNNNNNNNNNNNNNNNNNNNNNNNNNNNNNNNNNNNNNNNNNNNNNNNNNNNNNNNNNNNNNNNNNNNNNNNNNNNNNNNNNNNNNNNNNNNNNNNNNNNNNNNNNNNNNNNNNNNNNNNNNNNNNNNNNNNNNNNNNNNNNNNNNNNNNNNNNNNNNNNNNNNNNNNNNNNNNNNNNNNNNNNNNNNNNNNNNNNNNNNNNNNNNNNNNNNNNNNNNNNNNNNNNNNNNNNNNNNNNNNNNNNNNNNNNNNNNNNNNNNGUCAUUCUCUAAUAAUAAUAAUAACAAUAAUAAGUGGAUAACAUAAAACUAGUAGUAAAGAGUAAGAAGACAAAGAAGAAUUAAGUGGAUAACAUAAAACGUGCGAAAACAUUUAUCUUCAAUUCUGACACAUAAAGCCAACUAGUAUUUUUGGGUAAAGUAUAGAAAUGGUGAUUAAAUUAUUGUUGAUGUUCUAUUUUAAUUUUUAAUUUUUUUAUUUUAGUUAUUAAAUUUUUUGAAAUUAAAUUUUUUGUUAUCAAAUGUUAACAGCAGUUUAAAAUUUAACAGAAAUACUGAUGUGAACUUUCUUAUUGAUUUAAUAAUAAAUUUAGCCUUCUAAUAUUUAUAUAUUCUAUUAAUUUGAUACUAAAUAUAAAAAUUUAACAAAUUUAAUUCUCAAUAUUUACAAAUUUUAUUAUUUUAAUUCAAAUUCUAAAAAAAUUCAAUAAAUUUAACCCUCAACAUUAAAAAAAUUGAUAAAUUUCAAUUUUUAAAAUUUUGUAAAUUCCUGAAAUAUAAAGCAUCAUUCUCCACCUCAUGGGAUUCCAUGUAAAUGGAUUUUCUUGAAUUCUUUACCAAGUUGUCUUGAGUUUAAUUUCUUCUUAUUUAGUUUGUGGAAUGAAUGGUAUAUAUAGUUAGAUGUCACUGCAGCUGACAAUGAAAGGUUUGACAAAGUUGAUAAGUUCAGAGGUUUUGAUGCUGAGCUUCAAAUCAGUCUUGCCUCCACACAAUCAAGAAAUGAACUUUAUAAUUUUUGAUUGAGUCUUAACUCGAUUAACAUGAGUAUUGUUAUUAAUAUAGGAGGAAGUGAGUUCGAGUGCGCUGAAACACAUUAUCUUCUUAUUGAUGAAUUGAGGAGGGGCUAUGAAUAAUUUUAAAUAUUGUAUUAAAAGAGUAGAGAUAAUUGAAACCUACAAUAAUAUUGUUCAAAAAAAUUACCUAAAAACAUGAAAUCUUACUCCCUGAAUUUUCUAAAAACACAAUAUUUCUCCCUGCCUUUGAUGGUGUAUACAUGCAUGGCCAUGUGUGAGCUCCUGCAUUUUAACUAAUCAACACAGAUAAUACCUUCAAUGAGACAUUAAAAUUAACUUCUUCUUUUCUUUUUUUUUCAUAAAAUUUAUAAUUUUGUAUUUCAAUGAAAACAUCUAAAUCUAAGUUGAUCCGAGUCCAAAAAAAUCUGAAGCUGUAAAAAGUUUGAUCUGAGGCUGCUCAUUCGCCACCUCUAAUAACCAUUUGAUAGAGGUUUAAUAAAGAGGAAUUUAGAUUUUAGGAAUUUACAAAAUUUUUAAAAUUAUUAUUUUUUAUUUUGUAAAUGUUGAGGGAUAAAUUUAUUGAAGUUUUUAAAAUUUGAACUGAAAUGUCAAAAUUUGUAAACAUUGAAGGCUAAAUUUGUUUAUUUUUUCUAUUUAAGACCAAACUGAUAGAAUCUGUAAACAUUAGAAGACUAAAUUUAUUAUUAGACCAAUAAAAGAAAUGCCCAAGUUAAUGUUUUCUCAAAUUUCAAACCGCUGUUAAUAUUUAAUGACCCAAAUUUUUUAUUUCAAAUAAUUUGGUGACCAAAAUAGAAAAAAAAUUAAAAGUUUGAUGACCAAAGUAGAACGUGGAAAAUAAUUUAAUGAUAUUUUUAUACUUUAUUUUUUUUAUGAUUAUUUAUACAUAUCAAGUGGAGUUAAUUUAGGGAAAAGAAUCAAUGGUUAAGGUUGUUGUUGAUACUUAUCAGGGUCCAGAUUUUGCUAAUGUAAUUUUCCUUAUCAUAGUUUGUAUCUUAAUUUUGUUACCAAAAAUAUAUUAGUAAUAAAUAAUAUAUGCACGAGAAAUGUACGUAUGAUUGAUUUAAACAAUACAUGUUGGAGUAAUUUACAUAUGGAUUUAAAAUAAAAUUUAAAAAUAAAAUAAAAUUUUAAAAAUCCAAAAGUAUUUUUUCUUUUAAAAAAAUUUAAAAAUAAUUUUUAAAUUAUUUACAUGAUUGAUUUAAAGGAUAUUUUUCUAUUAAUUAUUUUUCUAUUAAAUUUAUUUUACUUUAUGUAUAACAAUUUAAAGGGUUUGUAUAUAUGCUAACUCGCGAGUCAAUUAAAAUUUGUAUUAUAUUCAUUGAAUUUUUUUAAAAUAUAUUUUUUAUUAAUUUAUUUAUUUAUUUGAGACCGAUGAUAAACUUGUAUUUAAAGUUAUUGAUGCACACUAUAAAUUCAUAUAUUGAAAAUGAUAGGUGCUAAAAGUAACAUGUUUUAGUCUCAUUCUUAAUGUGUUUUUGGAUGAUUAUUCGAUAUAAAAUGGUUAAUUUUAUGCUCCUAAACUUUUCAAUUUAUGUUCUACACUUAAUAGAGCAUUUGGGAGCAAAAAAAGCGAAAAACGAGUGAAAAUAAAAAAUCGGAGCAAGUAUCAAAAGCCACACAGGCUGAGCCAUUCUACACGGGUUGGACACACAACCUAGUGAGCCACACGACCGUGUGCUAGACUGUGUGAAAAUCACAAAUUACACUCCAAACGGCGUGAAAACACGUUAAUUUUAAGGUUUUUUAAGCAUUUUAAUACCUAUACAUGACAAAGAUAAGAAGAGGGGAGAGAGCCGUCAAAAAAUAUUAAAGAAAACAACUUGAAAAACACUAUUGAAGCCAACUUUGAAGCAAAUUUUCAUCAAGAUUGAAGAUCUCAUUUUGAUUUCUUUGAAGUUUAUUAUGAGUUUCUUUAUUUAUUGUGGUUAGACUGUCUUUAGGAUGUUUUUAUUUGCUAUCAUGAACUAAUUUUCUAAAUACCUAGGGAGAUGAAUCCUAUCAUGAAUUAUGUUAUUUGAUUUCUAUUUUUACGCAAUAAAGACUUAGAUCUUAUUCUCAAUUAUGUGUGCUUAAUUCUUGGUUUAAUAUUUCUAGGCUAUUAAUCCAUGUUUGAUGUGCUUAAAUCAAAGGAGGAAUAAACCCUAUUUAAGAGUAGAUCUAGCGUAAAUGAGUGAAGUUGCAUGCAAUCCUAGAAAUAGGACAGCAUAAAUCUACUAGAUUAGAGCCAAAUCUAAUAGGGGAAUCCAUAAAUCGAGUUAAAACGAUGAUAGAGGUUUUAAUUAGAAAUAAAUUUCAAUUAAUUAACCUAGAGUCAGUUACUCUUAGUCUUGAAGAGAUAUAUUAGCAUAAUUUAGGGAUUCUUACAGAUCAAUAUACUAAGUGACAAAGUUGCAUAAUAUAGAUUGAUAAUGACAAAUGAAGUCUAGGUGGAUUCUUUCCAGGGUAUUGUCUCGCUUCUUGGUUAUUAUUUGAUUAUUUUCUUGAUUUGUGCUUUGUUGUGUUAUUUAGUUAAUUUUAGUUUCAAUCAAUCACUCCAAUUUAUCAGUUAAAUAAUAGAAAAGACGGUAAUUACUGGUACUUUUACUCUUCAUGAAAACGAUAUCUUUGCUCACUGUAGCUAUACUAUUAAUUGAUAGGUGCACUUGUCUGAAUUAGAUUUUUAGUUGGUUUACGACUGCAAUCAAAAAACUCAUUAAGUUAGCACAAACUAAGUUAAUUAUUCGUUGGUUGCUUCUUCUUUUUUCUGAAGUUUCGAUUUCGUCUUUUAUGUACAAUAAUUUUGAUAUAAAAAAAUCAGAUUCUCGACACUUAAUAUAUACCUUUGAAAUAUAAACAUAUGCAUCAAUUCUUUUAGGUUCCUAACAACUUACUUGUCCAAAAUUCUUGUAUCUUUCAGUUCUCCUGAUUGAAUCAAAAUUUGACUUCGUAAUUAUUUUUGAAGGACCUCAAACUAUCAAUUUAUAGCAUAAAUUUUCAAUAGCUUUCAUUCUUUACAAAUUGGUCCCUAAUUAAUCAACAAUGGUCUUAAAGCUUAAGCUUAGGGUCCCGUUGUUUCACUGAAAAUGGCUUCAGAAAAAUAAUUUCUAGAAAAUGACUUACUUUCAUAGAAAAGUUAAUAUUUUCUAUUGUUUGACAACUUUCUUAAAAACAUUUCAUAAAAACUGUUUUCAAUGAAACAAACAUGCAUUUGAGAUUUUCUUAUCUUUUCAUUAUUUAAUUAAGUUUAUUUUAUAUCUAUAAAUUUAUAUUUUACAUUUUUUUUGCAUAUAAUAAAAAUAUUUUUUUUAAUUCAGGUUCAUUACAAUGUCACUUUUUAGUUACAUGACUACCAAGUGAGUAUUUUUUUUAUUUAAAAAUGUGACAUCAACAAAAUUGACAAAAAUAAAUUAGCAAUGUCAACAAUUAGACUUGAUUUUCAAAUCUAAAAAGUAGAGGGACUAAAUUCUUGAAAAUAAAAGUACGGAGACUAAAUUGAAAAUUUGUGAAGAAUACAUAGACUUAUCACAUUUUUUAACUUUUAUACUACAAAAUAUUUAUCAUUAAUAUAUUUAUAAUUAUAAUAAAGAUUUAUUAUUAAAAUAUUAAUAUUAAAUAUUUUCAAUAAGAAGAAUAUUAUUUAAAGUUAUUGUUUUUAAAAUUUAUUAUUAAAAUAAAAUUGAAAUAUUAAAUAAUUUAUUAAAAUAAUAAAUUUUAUUAAUAAUUAAUUAUAUGACUAAAUAUAAAUGCUUAAAUAUGUAUGUUUAAUAAUAUUGAAAAAUAUAAUAUUUUAUAUUAAUAUUUUAAAUAUUUUUAAAAUAAAAAAUUUAUUUUCAAUAUAAUAAUAUUAAUCUUGCUUUAAAUGAAUUUUUAUAUAAAAAUAAAAUUACCUAUAGAUGAGCUCUUUUCCAGAAAAUGACUUAUACUUUUCAAAAGGAUAAGUCAUUUUAUAGGAAAAAGAGUUCAAUUUUACAUUGACCUGUAAGUCAUUUUCUGUUGACCAAACUGUUUUCUGUAAAACAAACAUAAGAAAAUGCAUAAAAUAUUUUCCGUAAAACCUUUUACAUUUAAACAAACGGACCCUUAAUUCAAGCUUGUUCCAACAUAACCCACUUCACUAUUAGCAUGACUCUUCCUUAUAUUAUGUUUAACCAUUAACCCAUCUCAUGAUUUCUAACAAAAAUUCUCUAAGUUCUCUUUAAUGGAAACUUGUAUUAGCUCCAACAAUAAGAAAUUCUAACCAUUGGGUUGGUUGUAUCAAGUUUCAUAGUUUAAAAAAACUAUAAAAAAAAUUAUUGAGAAAAAAAUUUGUUUACCUUUGAUGGCCUUGAUGUAGAACAACUUGGUUUCUUCUUCUACUUAGUUUAAAGAAUGCAUGAAGAAGAAGAAGAUUUCCCCUCUCCCUCUAUCUUAAAUAUAUAUAUAUAUAUAUAUAUAUAUAUAUAUAUAUAUAACCUAUUAAUCAAAGUAAUUAACUCACUAAUUAACCUUAAUUAGUUAUGAUCUAAUGGCCAUAAACUUAUCAUAAGAAAAUUAGUGGAAAUGUGUGGCAUUGAUAAUGGUUUGCCAAUAAUCAAACUUUGGGCAUGGUAAUAUUGCAAUCAAGUCCUUGGUUUAAUUACACUUUAAGUACUUGCUAAAUUCUCUAAUCAAUUCCCACUAGUUGGGUCACUUGAACAAUUGGGUCCAUGUAUUAUAGUUACAACUUAUCCAAUUUAAUCAAUUAAUGAUUUGACUUUAUAAUUUCAUGUACAACACACAAACUCCUCCGGUAAAUUCUCAAGCUAGCUUUAUUUAAAAAUUUGGCCUCAAAACUAGCUUUCCAAAUGUUCAUGAAAAUUGAGUAGUUACAUUAUGGUAUUUGUUUUGUUCAGCUUAUUUGUCAGGCUCUAUUCCUUUGAACUUAUGUUUGUUGACUUUGGUGUCGCUUAAAUGAAAAUGUGGUGAACAAUCUUAUGGAUAGGAGGAGUGUAUGAUUGAGUAUGUGUAACACCCCUAACCCACAUCCUUCGCCGAAUUAAAGUGACAAAGUGUUACUAUACAAAACAGAACAUUCCACGACAACACAUAAACAAUUAUGCAAAUUAUCAUUAAGUAACCAUAUUAAAAUAUAACGUAAGUAUCCAUUCGACCUUUAAAUCGAGCUUAUAUGGUCUUAAAAUAGCUUGGGAUCAAUCUAGGAUCAAUUUGGAACAAAACAUAAAUUUUAAGAAAAAUCUAAAAAUUUUGGGAAACAUGGGUCACACAACCGUGUGUCUAGGCCGUGUGACAUAUCCCAGACCUUGUGGGCAUUCAAAAUCAGGACACGCAAUCAUGUCCCAACCCGUAUGUCUACCUGUGUGAAUAUUCAAAAUAAGGUCUCACGGUCAUGUAGAGGCCAUGUGCUAAACCGUGUAUAUAUUCAAAUUAUGAACACAUGGCCGUGUCGCAAGCCAUGUGCUAGACCAUGCUCAAAACUAUUUUGAGACACACAGUUGUGUCUUAGGCUGUGUGAAAUUUUCACUUUAAACAACGACACACAGCCGUGUGCCAGUCCGUGUACACCAAAAUGUACCUUAAAAAUCAAAUUUACCAAAACAUGUUUACUUAGGCAUCAAGCAACCUAAUUGCCAUCAGUCAAACUCAUUCAAAACACAAUUAAACAAGUUCAAAACAUCCAUCCUAAGUGCCUAACCAUUGUGCCCUCAUUAACACCAUAAUUCAAUAAUCAAAUCAAUCACAUUUAAACCAAGAUUUAAACAUUCAAAUUAUAAAAUCAUCAUUAACCAUUCAUACCAAAAAACUGAUCAUUUUAAGUCAUAAACACCUAGCAAUAUUCACAUACUUUAUAAAGCUUAAGUACCAAUACCAAAUAAGAUCCAUACACACAUACAUAUCAAACAAAACACAUAUUCACAAGUAUCAUUCAAGAUUUACAACUUUACAUGUAAUUAACAUAAUUUCAAGUCACUUAUUACAUGUCAUACAACCCAAAACAAACACUAAACAAACUACCAAUAGUUUCUCGAAUAGUGUGAUUCUUGAAAUCAAAUUGAUCACCCGAAGCGUCAAAAAUAAAUCUACAAGAAAGCAUUGGAAGAGACACAAGUAAGCUUACUUAAGCUUAGUAAUUUCCACGGAUUUAAACAAUCAACUUACCGAAUAAACUUAUCUAAUAUAGGGUAUAGAAAAGUCAUAAACUAUAAUCAUGUCAUCCAUAAUCAGAUCACGAGUGAGUCUUAAACUUAAAUAUGAAUGAAUCAAUUCAAUCAAUUACAUUAUAUCAAUAAAUUAUACCCGAUGAACGUUGCAAUGGAUUUGGGUACACGGUUAACCAACCAAACACACCAAAUCACUCAAAUGAGCUAACCAUUUGAAAGUACACAUGGGCACCAAGUGCCAAGCCCGUAGGCUAACAUCCCUCCAAAACACACCUUGUCACCAAGUGCCAAGCCCGUAGGCUUUACAUCCGCCCCCGAAACACACCUGAAGCACUGCAAUAUAACGCGAUAGUUCACAACAAAUGUUGAACUUUAGUAUAUUCAAUAAACAUGAAUAAGAUCAGAAUCAUCAUCUCCACAUCCACCAAUCUUGUACAGCGCAUGAUAUAACCUAUUGGCAUGCCAAUUGUAUCCUAUCAUACAUUCAUCGGCUCACAUAUUUGUCAUUUAACAACAUUUAAUACAAUUUCUUUCCCAAAUCAUUUCACUUACCACAAUGCAAUACUUCCAUGUCAUUUAAUAAUUUCAAUCCACAAGUAAUUAAAUAUUUAAAUUAUACUAAAAUUAAACUGUACAAACUCACUAGGGCCAAACUACAGAAACAACAAAAGUUCAGGGACUAAUCAACAACCUUCCCGUUUUCCACAAUUAUCAACUUGAUCUUGAUCUAUAAUAUAAUUUAUUUCAAUUAUUAGCCUCAAUUUUCAUAUUCUAAUCAUUUCAAUACAUAUGAUCUCUUAUUUAUAAAUUUACACAAUUAUCCAAAAUUUUUACACAUUAUUCAAUUUAGUCCCUAUAACCAAAUCAAGCUUAGUUCUACAAUUAAAUUCUCAAUCCAUAGAACUAAAUUUUAACCACAUCCAAAACAAUCCAUAUAUGCUAAAAUUUUCAAGAGUAACAUGUCUAUUUCAAUUAAAUCACUAAACAUCAAAUUUUUGUAAAAAUAAAUUUACAAACUCAAUACAUAUAGUCACCAAGCUUCAACCCAAACUAUUUACUACUACAAAUCUUCGAAAAUUUCAAUACAUAAUUUCUAUACUUUGAUAACUUCACAAAUAAACUCCAAAACUAGCUAAAUUCCAUUAUCAAUAGCUCAAAACUUAAAAUUUAUCAUAAAUAAACCCAGAAAAUACUUACAUGCAUUAAAAACUAACAAAAACCAAGCUCCCAAGCCUUAGAACAAUGGUGUUUCGGCCAAACCUAAGAAAAAUAAAGAAGAUGCCCACUACCCCACUUUUUGUUUUACUUUCCUUUUAUUAUUAUAAUAAUCUUUAUUUAUGAAAUUAUAACAUUAUCAAACACCAAUUUAAUAUUUUUUCUCUCUUUACCUCCCAUAUUAACUAACUAUAUAUGGGCUAAUGGCAACAUAACCCCCCUUAGUUUACUAAUUUAAGCUAUUAUAUUAAAAUAAAUCUAUAAUAAGCAACUUUUCCACCUAUUACAAAUUAAUCCUUUUUCUUUAAUCAAUUCACUAUACGUUAAUUUUUCUAAAUUAACCAAAACUUAAUAUGACACUGAUGACUUUGUAAAUAUUAAAUAAUUAAUAAUUCUAGACUGACACGUCGAAAGUGUAGUCCUAAAACUAUUAUUUUCGACACCACUGGAAAUCGGACUGUUAUAGUAUAGUUCUACCUCUUAGGGGAGACAUAUUCUAGUUUCCUUUGACUUGUUUAGAUGAUAUGUUAAUCAUUAGCUACUGGUUUUGUCAAAAUGCCAAUGGUGAGAUUGUUUGAACUUUGUUCAUGUUCGAACAGUAGAUUAAACAAUGCUUUGAUGCAUUCAAAGAAUUUAUGUUGGCAUGUUUGACUUUAUAAUGAAAUGGCUUAUGAUUUAAUCUCGUUGAGUAGCAAAUGGGGGGGGGUGAUUUUGUGUUAUAACAUGUGAUGAUCAUUAUCUUUCAAUCAACUACCUUGAAGAAGAACGGGAGAAGUUUGAACUUUUGUGGACUUCGUAAUAUUUGAAGCUGCUAAGAUACUUGUUUAUAAAGAAUUUUAUGAUAUAACUAAUCAAAAUAAUUCAUGUCAUAAUUUUUGGAGUUUUAAACUUAUUAAGACUCUAGUAUUGGCCUAUAAAUAGGCAUAAUUACCGCACAUUGAAAAUAGGCUUUUGGAGGGUUUAAGUUGGAUACUUUGGUGAAUUUUUCUUGUGUUUUAUACAAACACUCUUUUUUUUAGUUUUAUUGGGGGAUAUUUGCUUGAUUGUAAGUGAGAUAUUUUGGAGAGAGUGAUUUGUAAUAAUUUAAGUUCAAUAUUGAAGUUGCAAAUAACUACAAGGUAAAGGUAAUUAAUUUGGACUUUAGUCAAUAGUUAAUCGAGACGAAUUGUAAAUAAAAAUUAUUUUUUAAGCGAAACUCUACAGAAUAAAACUAGUGAACUCAAACUGCGUUAACAAAUAUUACAUAUUAUCUUUCCUUACUUUACUCGUUACUUUACCUUAUUUUAAAAAAAAUUUGUCAUAAUGUAUUAUGUUUGAACCUUUCCGAUCGAAAUAAAAAAAUGAGAUUGAAAUUGUGAUAAAGCUAAAAAAAGUUACAACAAAUAUGAUUAAUAUUAUUUUUAUAUAUACUUAAUAAAAGUUAAAAAGGGAAUUACAUUUAUUGAAUAUUAUUUUAUUUAAUAAAAUAUAAUUAAUAUAUUUUAUAUAAAAUUUAAACAUUUUAUUGUUUGUUAGCUAAAUUUUAUUAUUUUUAUUUUCUUUAUGAAUAAAAUUAAUUUUCCUAAAAUUUGAGAUAAAAAAAUGUUAUAUAGAAAAUUAAAUUUGUAAAAAGUGCAGUUCAUACUUUAUAAUUAUUAUAAAUGAAAAAAUAUUAUGAAAGAUAAAUAUUAAACAUAAAAAAAUCAAUUCUAAAAUAAACUUAACUAUUGUAAUAAAAUAUUUUUAUAUAAUAAAAAAAGAAAUUAUAGAAAAGACUUAUUGGAUAUAUUUCCAAUUUUCGACAUUCAUAAAAUAAAAAAUAAAAAAAAAGUGGUCCUAAUAAUUUAUUUAUACAAAAACAAAAAAUGGUCCUAUUAAUUUACCUCACAUUUGAAAUGUGUUAUAUGUAAUAAUAUUAAUAUCUUUAUCAAUUUUGGACUUUCACCUUUCCCAUCUCUAUAAAUUUGCAUGCAGAACUAAAGCAACACAUAUCAACACAAUCGGUAUAACCAUGAAAACCACAACAGCUUCGGUGUUUCUUCUUUUCAUCAUCUUCUCGAUCACACCAUCGUCCUUUUCGUUUGGUGUGGCCAACACUACAAACGCUCCUGUGCUCGACAGUGAUGGCAACGAGCUCCGCACUGGCACCCCAUACUUCGUUGUGUCGUCGAUAUGGGGUGCUGGUGGUGGGGGGCUUGACCCAGGCAGGCCUAGAGGAAAGCCAUGCCCGGAAGUCGUUGCUCAAAGAGGAUCUGGUGACAAUGGUAUUCCGGUGAUAUUUUCUAAUUCGGACUCCAAAGAUGGCGUUGUUCGCCUAUCCUCUGACAUAAACAUAGCGUUCGUUCCCCUCAGACCCAAAUUUUGCGAAACAACAACGGUGUGGAAGGUCGCUGAUUACGACCACUCAGCCGGAAAAUGGUGGGUGAUAACCGAUGGGGUUAAAGGGAACCCAGGUGCCAACACUUUGACCAGUUGGUUUAGAAUAGAGAAGACGACUACUGAUUUUGAUUACACAUUUAAGUACUGCCCCGCAGUAUGUGGAACAUGCCCAGCCUUAUGCAACAAAAUUGUGAGAGACUUUGAUGGAGAAAUGGUACGUUUGGCUCUCACCACUGGCCAUGGAUGGCCAUUUAUCUUUAAGAAAGUUGGAAAAUCAGCCAUGGAGAUUGAACAAGUUGUUCAUAAUUAGAUUGAAAGCAAUCAUUAUGCAUGAACUAGUAGUUACUACAUAAUAUUAGCUUCAAGUAAAUAAUGCUGAGGGAACUUAUUGUUAAGAUUGCCUUGUUUGAAGCGGCAGCAUGUAUAUAUAUAUGCUUGCUUACAAGGUUUGUCUCUCAGAGUCCUCCUCUUUGUACUCUUUUCAGCUUAAUGAAUAAACUGUUUACUUAUUUACUUCUUUUGUUGCCAUUGAUUCUAGUAGCAUUCGACUCAUUAACUUGGAUACAUUACCUUGUAAUUAACCAAAAAGUUAUGUGUAUAUGUAUAAAGAGUGUGUGAGAGAAAAAAUAGAAUACCAAGUACCAAGUGAAAAAUGUUAAUACUAGGAUUAUUCAAAGCGAUUUCAAUGAACAGAAAUGGAAUAGUCGUCGGGUGGUUAGGGCAUUUUAUCUUUAGAGAUAAAGAAGGUUGGUUCAUGUUCGGAGUUUGUGGCUACUCAUUUAAUAAUAUCGUUUUUAAAGUUUAAACUUGUAUCACAUUUUAAACACGUAAUGUAUCUUACCAUUACAUCCAACAAUAUUAACCAUUUACUCUAUUGUAUUGUAUUCUAUUCUAUUAUUAAUUAAUGAUUAUGAUAUGUAUUAAGUUUAAGAUGAAUUUUCUCAGUAAUGUAUAUCAAUGAAAUCAAAUAUUUGUAUUUAAAGUUUUAACUCCACAUUAACUUUUUCUUUAUUUUGUCCGUUUGCUGGCGAUGAUUAGGAGAUUAAUGGUUGGUAUUUGUGGUUAGUAGCUUAUAACUCGAGGGUUGAUAGUGGCCCGACUCCACUUAAAUAAAAAAUUUUACAUUUAAAUUUCUUUAUAAUUUAUAAAAUUUUAAAUUAAUAAUAAAAAAAUUAUAUUUUAACUCUCUAAAAUUAAUAAAAAUGAUAAAAAUGUAGAAGUAAAUUUAUACAAUUAAUGAUAAUAAUGAUAAGAAGUUGUUUCCUAUCACAUGGAAAUUUAUGGCAUCUUCCAUUUGGUUUUAUAUUUGUCCAUUUGCUUGGUUAAGAGUUGAAAGACAAACUAUAAUUAAAUAUACAAAACCAAACGAAUUUCAAGGGUUUUCUCUUCAAUUAUUGUCGAAUUUAGCUAAUUAUUAGUAAUAUUUAUUAUUUAAUUAUAAAAAUUAUAAAAUAGUGACUUAAUUAUAAAUAUAUAUAUAUAUAUAAAAUAGCCAUCUAAUUAUUUAAUUUUUUCUUUUUUAUCAUCACCGGAAUAAUGGUGGUAAUUUUUAUAAUUGACAUAAUAGUAACUUUAACCAUUAAUAAUUAUACAUUAUGUCAAUUUAGUCUUGAUUCUAAAAAAUUUAACCUUUGACAUUUACACAUAUAUAAUUUGAUAUUUUUAUAAUUUUAUUUUUUACUAAAAAUAAAUCAUGAAAAUAAUAAAAUAUGCAUAAAAAUAAAAAUACAGCUACCGACUAUAUCUCUUAUUGUAGAUUUAUAACAAUUAUCUUUUCAUAAAGAUAUUUUAUUAUAAAAUAUAUAAUAAGCACUUCCCUGUAACAAAUAAAAUUGUAGUAAACAAAUGAAAUUAUUAUAAAGAAGAAUUUUCUAUUUUCAUAAUAAUAAUAAUAAUAAAAGAAAAGAAAAAAGUGGUUCUAUUAAUUCACCUCACAUUUGAAAUAUGUUAUAUGUAAUAAUAUUAAUGUCUUUAUCAAUUUUGGUGGUUCAUCCUUUCCCAUCUCUAUAAAUUUGCAUGCAGAACUAAAGCAACACAUAUCAACACAAUCUGUAUAACCAUGAAAACCACAACAGCUUCGGUGUUUCUUCUUUUCAUCAUCUUCUCAAUCACACCAUUGUCCUUUUCGUUUGGUGUGGCCAACACUACAAACGCUCCUGUGCUCGACAGUGAUGGCAACGAGCUCCGCACAGGCACCCCAUACUUCGUUGUGUCGUCGAUAUGGGGUGCUGGUGGUGGGGGGCUUGCCCUAGGCAUGCCUAGAGGAAAGCCAUGCCCGGAAGUCGUUGCUCAAAGAGGAUCCGGUGACGAUGGUAUUCCGGUGAUAUUUUCUAAUUCGGACUCCAACGAUGGCGUUGUUCGCCUAUCCUCUGACAUAAACAUAGAGUUCAUUCCCCUCAGACCCAGAUUUUGCCAAACAACAACGGUGUGGAAGGUCGAUGAUUACGACCACUCAGCCGGAAAAUGGUGGGUGAUAACCGAUGGGGUUAAAGGGAACCCAGGUGCCAACACUUUGACCAGUUGGUUUAGAAUAGAGAAGGCGGGUGAUCUUGAUUACACAUUUAAGUACUGCCCCGCUGUACGUGGAACAUGCCCAGCCUUAUGCAACAAAAUUACGAGAGACUCAGAUGGAGAAAUGAUACGUUUGGCUCUCUCCGCUGGCCAUGGAUGGCCAUUUUUCUUUAAGAAACUUCAAACAUCAGCCAUGGAGAUUGAACAAGUUGUUCAUAAUUAGAUUGAAAGCAAUCAUUAUGCAUGAACUAGUAGUUACUAUACAAUAUUAGCUUCAAGUAAAUAAUGCUGAGAGAACUGAUUGUUAAGAUUGCCUUGUUUGAAGCAGCAGCAUGUAUAUAUAUAUAUAUGCUUGCUUACAAGGUUUGUCUCUCAGAGUCCUUCUCUUUGUACUCUUUUCAGCUUAAUAUAUAAACUGUCUACUUAUUUACUUCUUUUAUUGCCAUUGAUUCUAGUAGUAUUAGACUCAUUAACUUGGAUACAUUGUCUUGUAAGAGAUAGCUUAUCUCUUAACAACUGUUUGGGUCAACAAAAUUAAUGUAUAUAUGAAAACGAAUAUUGAAUUUGGAUGUCCAAUCAAUUUUUUUUAAUUAAUUAAUUAAAAAGAAUUGUUUUAAUUCAAAAAAUCUAAAAGAAUUUGAUAAAAAAUGUGGAAGGGCACACUUGUAUGAUGAAUAGUAAUGAUAAUAAUCGUUUUCCUAGCACAAGUAUGGGAUUCGUCCAUUUGGUUUUAUAUUUAUCCACUUGCCUGAGUGUUUAAGAGUUAAAAGGACAAAACUAUUAAGUAGAAAACACCAAACGAAUAUGAAGGCUUUUGUCUUCUUCAAUUAGUAUGACCUAUAUUUCUUAUUAAACUUCGUAUUUUACAUUCAAUAUCAUCAUCACAAUCAUUUUAAUUUAUUUUCAUGAAUAAACUUUUAUGUCCCAUUUUAAUUGAAUCAUUAAAAAUUAUUAAUUGAAUUUUUUUUAAGUCAAGUGAUACUAAUUUGAUUUUUUUAAAAAAGUUGUUUGAAUUAAUUUGAUUUUCGUGUCAUAAUUGACAUAAAUGGCCAUUGUGAAUGGCAACAUCAAUAGUUAUUGAGUACAGCGGCUAAAAUUUUCAGUUAAAAAAAAAGAAUGAAAGGAAAACAAAAAGAAAAACGUGGAAAGAAAGAAAGAAAGAAUAAUAAUAAUAAUAAAUAAAUAAAAUAGAAUUGUGGGGGCGAUGCUUUUGAACAAAUCUUGAUUUAAACUAUAUAAAGAAAAUAUGUGUUAUAUAUAUAAUUAAUUAUGUACUUAUACUUAAUAUAUUAUAUAUCUAAUGUCAUAUUUUCAUAUUCUCAGAAAGUGGUGACAUACAAAUACUUGAUUCGAUUUAUUUCUUUAGCUCCCCGUGAAUUGUAUGUUUGUAACAUUAGGGACAGAAUUUCUUCAAUUAUCCAAUUGACUGGACGUAUUGUGUCGAUUUUUUUUUAGUAAUAUACCUAGAAAUACCCGUUGAUUCUUUAUAAACGCUGUUUCGAACACAACUGGUACACUCUAAAAUAAUUUACUUGAACAUCAUUACUCUUAGCCAUGAACCUCCUUUGAGUUUUUAAUUCACCCAACUUUUCUAUUUUCCGAUCAAAAGCAAAGAAGAAAGGAAUGAAAAAAAAAGAAAGAAAUCAAAGUUGCUAACUCAAAACCAAAUCCUGAAAAUUUUCAUUUCAAUGAAUAUAGUAAGUAAAUAUAGAUUUAUAGUAAUAGCAAAUAAUAAGAAUUAAGUAAUAUAACGAUUUUUAAUUCUAUUUAGAAUCAAUUAAAAUAUUCAAUUAAAUAUUCAAUUAAAAUAAAUUAAACUGUAUAAAUUUUAUAAUUUUAAAUUAUUAUUUUUGUAUUAAUUUAAAAACAAAAUAAAUAUUAUAUACAAUGAUUUAGUUACAGCGUGUCAGCUUGAAGUCUAAGACUUUAUAACAUAUAAAUUUAAUAGAUAAUUAAUAACUAAAAAAUUAAAUAGCAAAAGCAUAACUGCGCCACUUCUCACCAUUUUAAUGUAUGCAACUUAUUAUAUAUUUAUAUAUAUUAUCAUUUUAUUUUAAAUAAUUUAAUUUUUAUAAAUUUAGGGAUAAAUCUCAAAAUUAUACAUGAACUUUAAUUUAAUAUGCAAUUGUAUAAAUAAACUUUAAUUUGGUACAAUUAUACACGUGAUACUUUAAUUGUGGUUUAAAUACUCACUUGAAACUUUAGUUUUGAUUUAAUAAUGCAUAUUUAAAUAAAUAAAUACAUCAAUUUUUUUAUAUUGGGUAAAUAUAAUUAUUUAUGUAUGCAAUAUAUAACAUAAAAUGAUGUUAUAUCAAUAAUUGUGUUAAUAAUUUUCAAGAAUUGGAUCAAAUCAAAAUUUUAUGUAUAAAAUUGAACAAAAUCAAAGUUAAUGUAUACAAUUGCACAUUAAACCAUAAUUCAUGUAUAUUUUUUUUGUAUAUAUCCCAUAAAUUUAUUUCAUUAACUUUUUACCUAUAUCAUAUAUAGAGUUGUUCGUGAACCGAGCCAAGGAAUGCCCACUCGAAAAAAUGAGAGGGUUUUGGAAAAAAAUAUAUGCCUAAAAAAUGGGCUUGGAUAAAAAGACAAGGCCCGUUUAGAAAAUGAACCGGCAUUGAGUAGGGUUUUUUUGUCCGGGCUCAGCCUAACCCGAAUUUUCAAUUAAAAAAAACCCUGUUGUUUUUGCUGCUAUUUUUCCAUAUCUUGGUGUUGUUUUCUCACUUUUUGCCGCUAUUUUAUUACCAUUUCACUAUUAUGUUACUACUAUUUUUUUUAAUGUUUGGAUAUAGUAUAAUAAUUGUUUUAUUGUUAAUUUUAUCACUAUUUUAGAGACAUUUGUUUGUUAUGUUGUACUUAUUUUAGUUUUUAUUUAAGUAUAAAAAAAUUUAAAAUUUAUUUUCAAUUUAUUGAUAAACAUGUAAUUUAAUAUUUUCAGUGUAUUUAUUGUAUUAUAUUUGUUAAAUUUAUAUAAAAUUAAAAUUAAAAAAAUAUGGACCGAGAUGGGAGUUUAACAAAAAUUUAGGCCCAUUUUUCAAGUCGGGCCGAUCUCNNNNNNNNNNNNNNNNNNNNNNNNNNNNNNNNNNNNNNNNNNNNNNNNNNNNNNNNNNNNNNNNNNNNNNNNNNNNNNNNNNNNNNNNNNNNNNNNNNNNNNNNNNNNNNNNNNNNNNNNNNNNNNNNNNNNNNNNNNNNNNNNNNNNNNNNNNNNNNNNNNNNNNNNNNNNNNNNNNNNNNNNNNNNNNNNNNNNNNNNNNNNNNNNNNNNNNNNNNNNNNNNNNNNNNNNNNNNNNNNNNNNNNNNNNNNNNNNNNNNNNNNNNNNNNNNNNNNNNNNNNNNNNNNNNNNNNNNNNNNNNNNNNNNNNNNNNNNNNNNNNNNNNNNNNNNNNNNNNNNNNNNNNNNNNNNNNNNNNNNNNNNNNNNNNNNNNNNNNNNNNNNNNNNNNNNNNNNNNNNNNNNNNNNNNNNNNNNNNNNNNNNNNNNNNNNNNNNNNNNNNNNNNNNNNNNNNNNNNNNNNNNNNNNNNNNNNNNNNNNNNNNNNNNNNNNNNNNNNNNNNNNNNNNNNNNNNNNNNNNNNNNNNNNNNNNNNNNNNNNNNNNNNNNNNNNNNNNNNNNNNNNNNNNNNNNNNNNNNNNNNNNNNNNNNNNNNNNNNNNNNNNNNNNNNNNNNNNNNNNNNNNNNNNNNNNNNNNNNNNNNNNNNNNNNNNNNNNNNNNNNNNNNNNNNNNNNNNNNNNNNNNNNNNNNNNNNNNNNNNNNNNNNNNNNNNNNNNNNNNNNNNNNNNNNNNNNNNNNNNNNNNNNNNNNNNNNNNNNNNNNNNNNNNNNNNNNNNNNNNNNNNNNNNNNNNNNNNNNNNNNNNNNNNNNNNNNNNNNNNNNNNNNNNNNNNNNNNNNNNNNNNNNNNNNNNNNNNNNNNNNNNNNNNNNNNNNNNNNNNNNNNNNNNNNNNNNNNNNNNNNNNNNNNNNNNNNNNNNNNNNNNNNNNNNNNNNNNNNNNNNNNNNNNNNNNNNNNNNNNNNNNNNNNNNNNNNNNNNNNNNNNNNNNNNNNNNNNNNNNNNNNNNNNNNNNNNNNNNNNNNNNNNNNNNNNNNNNNNNNNNNNNNNNNNNNNNNNNNNNNNNNNNNNNNNNNNNNNNNNNNNNNNNNNNNNNNNNNNNNNNNNNNNNNNNNNNNNNNNNNNNNNNNNNNNNNNNNNNNNNNNNNNNNNNNNNNNNNNNNNNNNNNNNNNNNNNNNNNNNNNNNNNNNNNNNNNNNNNNNNNNNNNNNNNNNNNNNNNNNNNNNNNNNNNNNNNNNNNNNNNNNNNNNNNNNNNNNNNNNNNNNNNNNNNNNNNNNNNNNNNNNNNNNNNNNNNNNNNNNNNNNNNNNNNNNNNNNNNNNNNNNNNNNNNNNNNNNNNNNNNNNNNNNNNNNNNNNNNNNNNNNNNNNNNNNNNNNNNNNNNNNNNNNNNNNNNNNNNNNNNNNNNNNNNNNNNNNNNNNNNNNNCCCAUCCCAUGAACAACUCUAAUUAUAUAUAUAUGUCAUUCUCUAAUAAUAAUAAUAAUAAUAAUAAUAAUAAUAAUAAGUGGAUAACAUAAAACUAGUAGUAAAGAGUAAGAAGACAAAGAAGAAUUAAGUGGAUAACAUAAAACGUGCGAAAACAUUUAUCUUCAAUUCUGACACAUAAAGCUAGUAUUUUUGGGUAAAGUAUAGAAAUGGUGAUUAAAUUAUUGUUGAUGUUCUAUUUUAAUUUUUAAUUUUUCUAUUUUAGUUAUUAAAUUAUUUGAAAUUAAAAUUUUUGGUUAUCAAAUGUUAACAGUAGUUUGAAAUUUAACAGAAAUAUUGAUGUGAACUUUUCUUAUUGAUUUAAUAAUAAAUUUAGCCUUCUAAUAUUUAUAUAUUCUAUUAAUUUGAUACUAAAUAUAAAAAUUUAACAAAUUUAACCUUCAAUAUUUACAAAUUUUGUUAUUUUAAUUCAAAUUCUAAAAAAAAAUUCAAUAAAUUUAACCCUCAACAUUUAAAAAAUUGAUAAAUUUCAAUUUUUAAAAUUUUGUAAAUUCCUAAAAUAUAAAGCAUCAUUCUCCACCUCAUAGGAUUCCAUGUAAAUGGAUUUUCUUGAAUUCUUUACCAAGUUGUCUUGAGUUUAAUUUCUUCUUAUUUAGUUUGUGGAAUAAAUGGCAUAUAGUUAGAUGUCACUGCAGCUGACAAUGAAAGGUUUGACAAAGUUGAUAAAUUCAGAGCUUUUGAUGCUGAGCUUCAAAUCAGUCUUGCCUCCACUCACCCAAGAAAUCAACUUUACAAUUUUUAUUGAGUCUUAACUCGAUUAAUAUGAGUAUUGUUAUCAAUAUAGGAGGAAGUGAAUUUUAGUGCGUUGAAACACAUUAUCUUCUUAUUGAUGAAUUGAGGAGGGGCUAUGAAUAGUUUUAAAUAUUAUAUUAAAAAAGCAGAGAUAAUUGAAACCUACAAUAAUAUUGUUCAAAAAAAUUACCUAAAAACACGAAAUCUUACUCCCUGAAUUUUCUAGAAACACAAAUAUUUCUCCCUGCCUUUGAUGGUGUAUACAUGCAUGGCCAUGUGUGAGCUCCUGCAUUUUAACUAAUCAACACAGAUAAUACCCUCAAUGAGACAUUAAAAUUAACUCUUUUUUUUUGUUUUUUCAUAAAAUUUAUAAUUUUGUAUUUCAAUGAAAAAAUCUAAAUCUAAGUUGAUCCGAGUCCAAAAAAAUCUGAAGCUGUAAAAAGUUUGAUCUGAGGCUGCUCAUUUGCCACCUCUAAUAACCAUUUGAUAGAGGUUUAAUAUAAAGGAAUUUAGAUUUUAGGAAUUUACAAAAUUUUUAAAAUUAAUUUUUUAUUUGUAAAUGCUAAGGGAUAAAUCUAUUGAAGUUUUUAAAAUUUGAACUGAAAUGUCAAAAUUUGUAAACAUUGAAGGCUAAAUUUGUUUAUUUUUUCUAUUUAAGACCAAUCUGAUAGAAUGUGUACACAUUAGAAGACUAAAUUUAUUAUUAGACCAAUAAAAAAAUGCCCAACUUAACGCUUUCUCAAAUUUCAAACCGAUGUUAAUAUUCAAUGACCAAAAUUUUUUAUUUCAAAUAGUUUAGUGACCAGAAUAGAAAAAAAAAUUAAAAGUUUGAUGACCAAAAUAGAACGCGGAUAAUAAUUUAAUGAUAUUUUUAUACUUUAUCUGUUUUUUUAUGAUUAUUUAUACAUAUCAAGUGUAGCUAAUUUAGGGAAAAGAAUCAAUGGUUAAGGUUGUUGUUGAUACUUAAUUAUCAGCGUCCAAAUUUUGCUAAUGUAAUUUUCCUUAUCAUAGUUUGUAUCUUAAUUUUGUUACCAAAAAAAUAUUAGUAAUAAAUAAUAUAUGCUCGAGAAAUGUACGUAUGAUUGAUUUAAACAAUACAUGUUGGAGUAAUUUACUGAUGGAUUUAAAAUAAAAUUUAAAAAUAAAAUAAAAUUUUAAAAAUCCAAAAGUAUUUUUUCUUUUAAAAAAAUUUAAAAAUGAUUUUUAAAUUAUUUACAUGAUUGAUUUAAAGGAUUUUUUUUCUAUUAAUUAUUUUUAUAUUAAAUUUAUUUUACUUUAUGUAUAACAUUUAAAGGGUUUGUAUAUAUGCUAACUCGCGAGUCAAUUAAAAUUUGUAUUAUAUUCAUUGAAUUUUUUAAAAAUAUAUUAUUUAUUUAUUUAUUUAUUUAUUUAUUUAUUUGAGACCCAUGAUAAACUUGUAUUUAAAGUUAUUGGUGCACACUAUAAAUUCAUAUAUUGAAAAUGAUAGGUGCUAAAAGUAACAUGUUUUAGUCUCAUUCUUAAUGUGUUUUUGGAUGAUUAUUCGAUAUAAAAAAGUUAAUUUUAUGCUCCUAAACUUUUCAAUUUACAUUCUACACUUAAUAGAGCAUUUAGGAGCAAAAGAAGCGAAAAACGAGCGAAAAUAAAAAAAAAAUAGGAGCAAGUCUCAAGAGCCACACAGGCUGAGCCAUUCCACACGGGUUGGACACAUAACCGAGUGAGCCACACGACCAUGUGCUAGACUGUGUGGAAAUCGCAAACUACACUCCAAACGGCAUGAAAACACAUUAAUUUUAAGGUUUUUUAAGCAUUUUAAUACCUAUACAUGACAAAGAUAAGAAGAGGGGAGAGAGCCGUCAGAAAAUAUUAAAGAAAACAACUUGAAAAACACCAUUGAAACCAACUUUGAAGCAAAUUUUCAUCAAGAUUGAAGAUCACAUUUUGAUUUCUUUGAAGUUUAUUAUGAGUUUCUUUAUUUAUUGUGGUUAUACUGACUUUAGGAUGUUUUUAUUUGCUAUCAUGAACGAAUUUUCUAAAUACCUAAGGAGAUGAAUCCUAUCAUGAAUUAUGUUAUUUGAUUUCUAUUUUUACGUAAUAAAGACUUAGAUCUUAUUCUCAAUUAUGUGUGCUUAAUUUUUGGUUUAAUAUUUCUAGACUAUUAAUCCAUGUUUGAUGUGCUUAAAUCAGAGGAGGAAUAAACCCUAUUUAAGAGUAGAUCUAGCGUAAAUGAGUGGAGUUGCAUGCAAUUCUAGAAAUAGGACAACAUAAAUCUACCGUAUUAGAUCCAAAUCUAAUAGGGGAAUCUAUAGAUCGAGUUAAUACGAUGAUAGAGGUUUUAAUUAGAAAUAAAUUUCAAUUAAUUAACCUAGUCUUGAAGAGAUAUAUUAGCAUAAUUUAGAGAUUUUUACAGAUCAAUAUACUAAGUGACGACGUUGCGUAAUAUAGAUUGAUAAUGACAGAUGAAGUCUAGGUAGAUUCUUUCCUAGGUAUUGUCUCGCUUCUUGGUUAUUAUUUGAUUAUUUUCUUGAUUUGUGCUUUGUUGUGUUAUUUAGUUAACUAAUUUAGUUAAUUUUAGUUUCAACCAAUCACUCCAAUUUAUCAGUUAAAUAAUAGAAAAUACGGUAAUUACUGGUACUUUUAGUCUUCGUAAAAACGAUAUCUUUGCUCACCAUAACUAUACCAUUAAUUGAUGUGCACUUGUCUGAGUUAGAUUUUUAGUUGGUUUACGACUGCAAUCAAAAAACUCAUUAAGUUAGCACAAACUAAGUUAAUUAUUCGUUGGUUGCUUUAUUUUUUUCCUGAAUUUUCGAUUUCAUCUUUCAUUUUGUACAAUAAUUUUGAUAUAAAAAUAUCAAAUUCUCGACCCUUAAUAUAUACCUUUGAAAUAUAAACAUAUGCAUCAAUUCUUUUAGGUUCCUCACAACUUACUUAUCCAAAAUUCUUGUAUCUUUCAGUUCUCCUGAUUGAAUCAAAAUUUGACUUCGUAAUUAUUUUUUAAGGACCUCAAACUAUCAAUUUAUAGCAUAAAUUUUCAAUAGCUUUCAUUCUUUACAAAUUGGUCCCUAAUUAAUCAACAAUGGUAUUAAACCUUAAGCUUAGGGUCCCGUUGUUUCACUGAAAAUGGCUUUCGAAAAAUAAUUUCUAGAAAAUGACUUACUUUCCUAGAAAAGUUAAUAUUUUCUGAUGUUUGGAUGAAUCAGUGUAAAAUAUUUUAUAUUGUUUGACAAAUUUCUUAAAAAUAUUCAUAAAAGCUGUUUUCAAUGAAACAAACAUGCAUUUGAGAUUUUCUUAUCUUUUCAUUGUUUAAUUAAGUUUAUCUUAUAUCUAUAAAUUUAUAUUUUACAUUUUUUUGCAUAUAAUAAAAAUAUAUAUUUUUUAAUUCAGGUUCACUACAAUGUCACUUUUUAGUUACAUGACUACCAAGUGAGUAUUUUUUUUAUUUAAAAAUGUGACAUCAACAAAAUUGACAAAAAAAAUUUUAGCAAUGUCAACAAUUGGACUUGAUUUUCAAAUCUGAAAAGUAGAGGGACUAAAUUCUUGAAAAUAAAAGUAUAGAGACUAAAUUGAAAAUUUGUGAAGAAUACAUAGACUUAUCACAUUUUUUAACUUUUAUACUACAAAAUAUUUAUCAUUAAUAUAUUUAUAAUUAUAAUAAAUAUUUAUUAUUAAAAUAUUAAUAUUAAAUAUUUCCAAUAAGAAGAAUAUUAUUUAAAAUUAUUAUUUUUAAAAAAUUUUAUUAAAAUAAAAUUGAAAUAUUAAAUAAUUUAUUAAAAUAAUUAAUUUUAUGACUAAAUAUAAAUAAUUAAAUAUGUAUGUUUAAUAAUAUUGGAAUAUAUAAUAUUUUAUAUUAAUAUUUUAAUUAUUUUUAAAAAUAAAAAUAAAAAUUAUUUUCAAUAUAAUAAUAUUAAUAUUGAUUUAAAUGAAUUUUUAUAUAAAAAUAAAAUUACCUAUAGAUGAGCUCUUUUUCCAGAAAAUGACUUACACUUUUCAAAAGGAUAAGUCAUUUUAUAGGAAAAAGAGUUCAAUUUUACAUUGACCUGUAAGUCAUUUUCCGAUGACCAAACUGUUUACUGUAAAACAAACAUAAGAAAAUACAGAAAAUAUUUUCUGUAAAACCUUUUACAUGUAAACAAACGGACCCUUAAUUCAAGCUUGUUCUAACAUAACCCACUUCACUAUUAGCAUGACUCUUCCUUAUACUAUGUUUAACCAUUAACCCUUCUCAUGAUUUCUAACAAAAAUUCUCUAAGUUCUCUUUAAUGGAAACUUCUAUUAGCUUCAACAAUAAGAAAUUCUAACCAUUGGGUUGGUUGUAUCAAGUUUCAUACUUUAAAAAACUAUAAAAAAAAUUAUUUAGAAAACAAUUUGUUUACCUUUGAUGGCCUUGAUGGAGAACAACUUGGUUUCUUCUUCUACUUAGUUUAAAGAAUGCAUGAAGAAGAAGAAGAUUUCCCCUCUCCCACUGUUUUAAAUAUAUAUAUAAAUAACCUAUUAAUCAAGGUAAUUAAGUCACUAAUUAACCUUAAUUAGCUAUGAUCUAAUGGCCAUAAACUUAUCAUGAGAAAAUUAGUGGAAAUGUGUGGCAUUGAUAAUGGUUUGCCAAUAAUCAAACUUUGGGCAUGGUAAUAUUGCAAUCAGGUUUUUGGUUUAAUUACACUUUUAAGUACUUGCUAAAUUCUGUAAUCAAUUCCCACUAGGUGGGUCACUUGAACAAUUGGGUCCAUGUAUUAUAGUUACAACUUAUCCAAUUUAAUCAAUUAAUGAUUUGACUUUAUAAUUUCAUGUACAACACACAAACUCCUCCGGUAAAUUCUCAAGCUAGCUUUAUUUAAAAAUUUGGCCUCAAAACCAGCUUUCCAAAUGUUCAUGAAAAUUGAGUUGUUACAUUAUGGUAUUUGUUUUGUUCAACUUAUUUGUCAGGCUCUAUUCCUUUGAACUUAUGUUCGUUGACUUCAGUGUUGCUUAAAUGAAAAUGUGGUGAACAAUCUUAUGGAUAGGAGUGUAUGAUUGAGUAUGUGUAACACCCCUAACCCACAUCCUUCGCCAAAUUAAAGUGACAGAGUGUUAUUAUACAAAACAGAACAUUCCAUGACAACACAUAAACAAUUAUGCAAAUUAUCACAAUCAUUAAUUAACCAUAUUAAAAUAUAACAUAAGUAUCCAUACGACCUUUAAAUCGAGCUUAUAUGGCCUUAAAAAUAGCUUGGGAUCAAUCUAGGAUCAAUUUGGAACAUAACAUAAAUUUUAAGAAAAAUCUAAAAAUUUUGGGAAACAUGGGUCACACAACCGUGUGUCCAGGCCGUGUGACAUACCCCAGACCUUGUGGGAAUUCAAAAUUAGGAAACGCAAUCAUGUCCUAACCCGUAUGUCUACCUGUGUGAAUAUUUGAAAUAGGGUCUCACAGUCGUGUCGAGGCCAUGUGCUAAACCAUGUAUAUAUUCAAAUUAUGAACACAUGGCCGUGUCGCAAGCCAUGUGCUAGACCGUGCUCAAAACUAUUUUGAGACACACAGCUGUGUCUUAGGCUGUGUGAAAUUUUCACUUUAGACAACAACACACAGCCGUGUGCCAGGCCAUGUACACCAAAAUGUACCUUAAAAAUCAAAUUUACCAAAACAUUUUUACUUAGGCAUCAAGAAACCUAAUUACCAUCAAUCAAACUCAUUCAAAACACAAUUAAACAGGUUCAAAACAUCCAUCCUAAGUGCCUAGCCAUUGUGCCCUCAUUGACAUCAUAAUUCAAUAAUCAAAUCAAUCAGAUUUAAACCAAGAUUUAAACAUUCAAAUUGUAAAAUCAUCAUUAACCAUUCAUACCAAAACACUGAUCAUUUCAAGUCAUAAACACCUAGCAAUAUUCACAUACUUUAUAAAGCUUAACUACCAAUACCAAAUAAGAUCCAUACACACAUACAUACCAAACAAAACACAUAUUCACAAGUAUCAUUCAAGAUUUACAACUUUACAUGUAAUUAACAUAAUUUCAAGUCACUUAUUACAUGUCAUACAACCCAAAACAAACACUAAACAAACUACCAAUAGUUUCUCGAAUAGUGUGAUUCUUGAAAUAAAAUUGAUCACCCAAAGCGUCAAAAAUAAAUCUACAAGAAAGCAUUGGAAGAGACACAAGAGUAAGCUUACUUAAGCUUAGUAAUUUCGACGGAUUUAAACAAUCAACUUACCGAAUAAACUUAUCUAAUAUAGGGUAUAGAAAGUCAUAAAUCAUAAUCAUGUCAUCCAUAAUCAGAUCACGAGUGAGUCUUAAACUUAAAUAUGAAUUAAUUAAUUCAAUCAAUUACAUUAUAUCAGUAAAUUAUACCCGAUGAACGUUGCAAUGGAUUUGGAUACACAGUUAACCAACCAAACACACCAAAUCACUCAAAUGAGCUAGCCAUCUGAAAGUACACAUGGGCACCAAGUGCCAAGCCCAUAGGCUAACCUCCCUCCGAAACACACCUUGUCACCAAGUGCCAAGCCCGUAGGCUUUACAUCCGCCCCCGAAACACACCUGAAGCACUACAAUAUAACGCGAUAGUUCGCAACAAAUGUUGAACUUCAAUAUAUUCAAUAAACAUGAAUAAGAUCAGAAUCAUCAUCUCCACAUCCACCAAUCUCGUAAAGCGCACGAUAUAACCUAUUGACAUGCCAAUUGUAUCCUAUCAUACAUUCAUCGGCUCACAUAUUUGUCAUUUAACAACAUUUAAUACAAUUUCUUUCCCAAAUCAUUUCACUUACCACAAUUCAAUACUUCCAUGUCAUUUAAUAAUUUCAAUCCACAAGUAAUUAAAUAUUUAAAUUAUACUAAAAUUAAACUGUAAAAACUCACUAGGGCCAAACUGUAGAAACAACAAAAGUUCAGGGACUAAUCAACAACCUUCCCUUUUUCCACAAUUAUCAACUUGAUCUUGAUCUAUAAUAUAAUUUAUUUCAAUUAUUAGCCUCAAUUUUCAUAUUCUAAUCAUUUCAAUACAUAUGAUCUCUUAUUUAUAAAUUUACACAAUUAUCCCAAAUUUUUACACAUUAUACAAUUUAAUCCCUAUGACCAAAUCAAGCUUAGUUCUACAAUUAAAUUCUCAAUCCAUAGAACUAAAUUUUAACCACAUCCAAAACAAUCCAUAUAUGCUAAAAUUUUCAAGAGUAACAUGUCUAUUUCAGUUAAAUCACUAAACAUCAAAUUUUGUAAAAAUCACUUUACAAACUCAAUACAUAUGGUCACCAAGCUUCAACGCAAACUAUUUACUACUACAAAUCUUCGAAAAUUUCAAUACAUAAUUUCUAUACUUUGAUAACUUCACAAAUAAACUCCAAAACUAGCUAAAUUCCAUUAUCAAUAGCUCAAAACUUAAAAUUUAUGAUGAAUAAACCAAGAAAAUACUUACAUGCAUUAAAAACUAACAAAAACCAAGAUCCCAAGCCUUAGAACAAUGGUGUUUCAGCCAAACCUAAGAAAAAUAAAGAAGAUGACCACUACCCCACUUUUGUUUUACUUUCCUUUUAUUAUUAUAAUAAUCUUUAUUUAUGAAAUUAUAACAUUAUAAAACACCAAUUUAAAUAUAUUUUUUUUCUCUCUUUACCGCCCAUAUUAACUAACUAUGGGCUAAUGGCAACAUAACCCCCCUUAGUUUACUAAUUUAAGCUAUUAUAUUAAAAUAAAUCUAUAAUAAGCAACUUUUCCACCUAUUACAAAUUAAUCCUUUUUCUUUAAUCAAUUCACUAUACGUUAAAUUUUCUAAACCAAAACUUAAUACGACACUGAUGACUUUGUAAAUAUUAAAUAAUUAAUAAUUCUAGACAGACACGUCGAAAGUGUAGUCCUAAAACUAUUAUUUUCGACACCGCUGAAAAUCGGACUGUUAUAGUAUGGUUCUACCUCUUAGGGGGAGACAUAUUCUAGUUUCCUUUGACUUGUUUAGAUGAUGUGUUAAUCAUUUGCUACUGGUUUUGUCAAAAUGCCAAAUGGUGAGAUUGUUUGAAACUUUGUUCAUGUACGAACAGUAGAUUAAACAAUGCUUAAUUUGAUGCAUUCAAAGAAUUUAUGUUGGCAUGUUUGACUUUAUAAUGAAAUGGCUUAUGAUUUAAUCUCAUUGAGUAGCAAAUGGGGAAGUGAUUUUGUGUUAUAACAUGUGAUGAUCAUUAUCUUUCAAUCAACUACCUUGAAGAAGAAUGGGAGGAGUUUGAACUUUUGUGGACUUUCGUAAUAUUUGAAGCUGCUAAGAUACUUGUUUAUAAAGAAUUUUAUGAUAUAACUAAUCAAAAUAAUUCAUGUCAUAAUUUUUGGAGUUUUAAACUUAUGAAGACUCUAGUAUUGGCCUAUAAAUAGGCAUAAUUACCGCACAUUGAAAAUAGGCUUUUGGAGGGUUUAAGUUGGAUGCUUUGGUGAAUUUUUCUUGUGUUUUAUAUAACACUCUUUUUUAAGUUUUUAUUGGGGGAUAUUUGCUUGAUGUAAGUGAGAUAUUUUGGAGAGAGUGAUUUGUAAUAAUUUAGGUUCAAUAUUGAAGUUGCAAAUAAUUAUAAGGUAAUGGUAAUUUGGACUUUAGUCAAUAGUUAAUCAAGACGAAUUGUAAAUACAAAUUAUUUUUUAAGCGAAACUCUACAGAAUAAAACUAGUGAACUCAAACUACUGAACUCAAACUACGCUAACAAAUAUUACAUAUUAUCUUUCCUUACUUUACUCGUUGCUUUACCUUAUUUUAAAAUUGUUUUGUCAUAAAUGUAUUAUGUUUGAACCUUUCCAAUCGAAAUAAAAAAAAUGAGAUUGAAAUUGUGAUAAAGCUAAAAAAAGUUACAACAAAUAUGAUUAAUAUUAUUUUUAUAUAUACUUAAUAAAAGUUAAAAAGGGAAUUACAUUUAUUGAAUAUUAUUUUAUUUAAUAAAAUAUAAUUACUAUAUUUUAUAUAAAAUUUAAAUAUUUUAUUGUUUGUUAGUUAAAUUUUAUUUUCUUUAUUUUCUUUAUGAAUAAAAUUAAUUUUCCUAAAAUUUGAGAUAAAAAAUGUUAUAUAGAAAAUUAAAUUAGUAAAAAGUUUAAAAAAAUCAAUUCUAAAAUAAACUUAACUAUUAUAAUAAAAUAUUUUUAUAUAAAAAAAGAAAUUAUAGAAAAGACUUAUUGAAUAUAUUUCCUAUUUUCGACAUUCAUAAAAAAAAAAAAAAGUGGUCCUAAUAAUUUAUUUAUACAAAACAAAAAAAAGUGGUCCUAUUAAUUCACCUCACAUUUGAAAUGUGUUAUAUGUAAUAAUAUUAAUAUCUUUAUCAAUUUUGGAGGUUCAUCCAUUCCCAUCUCUAUAAAUUUGCAUGCAGAACUAAAGCAACACAUAUCAACACAAUCUGUAUAACCAUGAAAACCACAACAGCUUCGGUGUUUCUUCUUUUCAUCAUCUUCUCAAUCACACCAUUGUCCUUUUCGUUUGGUGUGGCCAACACUACAAACGCUCCUGUGCUCGACAGUGAUGGCAACGAGCUCCGCACAGGCACCCCAUACUUCGUUGUGUCGUNNNNNNNNNNNNNNNNNNNNNNNNNNNNNNNNNNNNNNNNNNNNNNNNNNNNNNNNNNNNNNNNNNNNNNNNNNNNNNNNNNNNNNNNNNNNNNNNNNNNGGGGCUUGCCCUAGGCAUGCCUAGAGGAAACCCAUGCCCGGAAGUCGUUGCUCAAAGAGGAUCCGGUGACGAUGGUAUUCCGGUGAUAUUUUCUAAUUCGGACUCCAACGAUGGCGUUGUUCGCCUAUCCUCUGACAUAAACAUAGAGUUCAUUCCCCUCAGACCCAGAUUUUGCCAAACAACAACGGUGUGGAAGGUCGAUGAUUACGACCACUCAGCCGGAAAAUGGUGGGUGAUAACCGAUGGGGUUAAAGGGAACCCAGGUGCCAACACUUUGACCAGUUGGUUUAGAAUAGAGAAGGCGAGUCAUCUUGAUUACACAUUUAAGUACUGCCCCGCAGUAUGUGGAACAUGCCCGGCUUUAUGCAACAAAAUUGCGAGAGACUUGGAUGGAGAAAUGAUGCGUUUGGCUCUCUCCACUGACCAUGGAUGGCCAUUUUUCUUUAAGAAACUUCAAACAUCAGCCAUGGAGAUUGAACAAGUUGUUCAUAAUUAGAUUGAAAGCAAUCAUUAUGCAUGAACUAGUAGUUACUAUACAAUAUUAGCUUCAAGUAAAUAAUGCUGAGAGAACUGAUUGUUAAGAUUGCCAUGUUUGAAGCAGAAGCAUGCAUAUAUAUAUGCUUGCCUACAAGGUUUGUCUCUCAGAGUCCUCUUUGUACUCUUUUCAGCUUAAUAUAUAAACUGUCUACUUAUUUACUUCUUUUAUUAAUGCCAUUGAUUCUAGUAGUAUUAGACUCAUUAACUUGGAUACAUUGUCUUGUAAUUAACCCAAAAAUUAUAUAUAUAUCAAAAAAAAAAAAGAGAGUGAGAGAGGAAAAUAGACUAGCAAGUAACAAGCGAAAAAUGGUAAUACUAGGGUUAUUUAGAGUGGUUUCAAUGCACAACCGGAAUGAAUUGUUACCUUAUCUUUAGAGUCAAAGAAGGGUUCGUGACUAGUCUUUCAACAAUACUAUUUUCAAGGUUCGAACCUGUAUUAUCCUUUAAAUACGUAAUGUAUUUUAUCAUUACACUCAAUAAUAUUAGUAAUUUGCUUUAUUCUAUUCUUAAUUAAUAAUUAUGAUAUAUAUAAAGUUUAAGAUGGAUUUUCUUAUUCAUAUAUAUCAAUUAAAUCAAAUAUUUGUAUUUAAAGUUUUAACCGAACAUUAACUUUUUUUUUUAAUUUCUUCGUUUGUUGGUGGUGAUUAGGAGAUUGAUGGCCGGUCUUUGUGAUUGGUAGCUUUUAACACAAUGGCGAAGCUAAGGAGGCUUUAAAUGUUUAAAUGAUUUUUUUUUUCAAUUGAAACUUCUUUAUAAUUUAUAAAAUUUUAAAUUAAUAAUAAUAAAAUUACAUUUUAAUUUUUUAAAAAUGAUAAAAACGUGGAAGCACAUUUGUACGAUUAAUAAUAAUGAUAAUAUUUUUCCUACCACAUGGAAGUUUAUGGAAACACCAUUGGGUUUUGUAUUUAUGUUUUAUUCGACCCUCUUAUAAGUUUUACUGGGGAGAUUUGCUUGAUUGUAAGUGAGGUAUUUUGCGGAGAGUGAUUUAUAAUAAUUUAAAAUUAAUAUUGGGGUUACAAAUAACUAUGGGAGUAAAGUAGUUUAGACUUUAGCUAAUAAUUGAUCAAGAUGGAUUGUAGAAUAAAAUCAUUUUCGAAGCAAAAUUUUAUAAAAUUAGGAAAUCUGAAUUACGUUAACAAAUAUUGAUAUUAUCUUUCUUCACUUUAGUCCUUGCUUCACCUUAUCUCAAAAUUAUUCUAUAAUAAUCUAUUUUGUCUCAACCUUUUCAACAGAAUUUAAAAUGCAACUAUUUCUAACAAGUGCAAACCAAAAACUUUUUCACAUACCAAUAAAUGGCAAGCAACCAUACCGUGGGCCCAAUGUCCCAACAAUCAUCUAAACAUUUUUUUUUCUUUUUUAAAUAAUAUGUAAUAAUUUAUAUACCAUAAAUGAAUAUUAAUUAAAAUAAUAUAAACAAAAUAGGACUCUUUAAUAUAAUAUGGAUCCAAAAUGUUUCAUAUUUGAAAUGCAGUUUUUGAUAAUUUCACAUUUCAUAUUUUAUCUUAGAACAAAAAGAAAAUUUGAAUUUAAUAUUUGGACUAUUGAUCAAUGGUGUUUAUUAUAUUUCAAGACUAUCAGAUUAAUCUGUCGAUACUACUUAUAUGGUAUGGUUUAAAUGGGUGUGUGUAUAUAGAAAUUUGAAAUUCUAUUGUAUCAAAGAAAAUUUUUUUUAAAAAUAAAAUAAAAAGGAAUUUGAAAUUUAAAAUUUGAGAUCAAAAUAAAAAAAUGAGACUUGUUAUAAACCAUAAGGCUCAAAAAAGGUUACAACAAAUAUGGUUAAUAUUAUUUUUAUAUAUACUUAAUAAAAGUUUAAAAUAUCGAAUUUGUAAUAUUAUUUUUAUUUAAUAAAAUAUAAUUAAUAUAUUUUAUAUAAAAUUUAAAUAUUUUAUUGAAAUAUUAUGUUAGGUAAAUUUUAUUAAUUUUAUUUUCUUUAUAAAUAAAAUUAAUUUUAUUAAAAUUUGAGAUAAGAUAAUUAAAUUAAUAAAAGGUAUACUUCAUAUUUUAUAGUUAUUAUAAAUAAAAAAUUAUUAUAAAAAUAAAAAAAAAGAAUUCUACAACAUAAUGAAAUAUUUUUAUUAAAAAAAACAGAAAUGAUUGAUGGAAUAUAUUUCCAAUUUUCGACGUUCAUUAAAAAAAAAAAAGAGUGGUCCUAAUAAUUGAUUUAUUGGGGGAAAAAAAGUGGUCCUACUAAUUUACCUCACAUUUGAAAUGUGUUAUAUGUAAUAAUAUUAAUAUCUUUAUCAAUUUUGGAGGUUCAUCCUUUCCCAUCUCUAUAAAUUCGCAUCGAGAAAUAAAGCAAUACAUCAACGCAAUCUGUAUAACCAUGAAAACCACAACAGCUUCAGUGUUUCUUCUUUUCAUCAUCUUCUCAGUCACACCAUCAUCUUUUUUGUUUGGUGUAGCCAACGCUACAAACGAACCUGUACUCGACAUUGAUGGCAACGAGGUUCAAACAGGCACCCCAUAUUAGGUUGUGUCGUCCAUAUGGGGUGCUGGUGGUGGGGGGCUUGCCCUAGGCAGGCCUAGCGGAAACCCAUGCCCGGAAGUCGUUGCUCAAAGACGAUCCAGUGACGAUGGUAUUCCGGUGAUAUUUUCUAAUUCGGACUCCAACGAUGGCGUUGUUCGCCUAUCCUCUGACAUAAACAUAGAGUUCAUUCCCCUCAGACCCAAACUUUGCCGAACAACAACGGUGUGGAAGGUCGAUGAUUACGACCAUUCAGCCGGAAAAUGGUGGGUGAUAACGGAUGGGGUUAAAGGGAACCCAGGUGCCAACACUUUGACCAGUUGGUUUAGGAUAGAGAAGGCGGGUGAUCUUGAUUACACAUUUAAGUACUGCCCCGCAGUAUGUGGAACAUGCCCAGCUUUAUGCAACAAAAUUACGAGAGACUCAGAUGGAGAAAUGGUACGUUUGGCUCUCUCCACUGGCAAUGGAUGGCCAUUUUACUUUAAGAAAGUUGGAAAAUCAGCCAUGGAGAUUCAACAAGUUGCUCGUAAUUAGAUUGAAAGCAAUCAUUAUGCAUGAACUAGUAGUUACUACAUAAUAUUAGCUUCAAGUAAAUAAUGCUGAGAGAACUUAUUGUUAAGAUUGCCUUGUUUGAAGCGGCAGCAUGUAUAUAUAUAUGCUUGCUUACAAGGUUAAUUUGUCUCUCAGAGUCCU